rnacentral:lncRNA from 1 species
UCAUACGGUGAACUAGCAAAGGUAACUGGUCAUUUCUCGCUCAAUAACCUAAUUGGUCGAGGUGGUUUUGGUCAUGUUUUUAAGGCAUCCUUAGAUGGUGAGAUCUGUGCUAUUAAGAGACUUGAUUUUCCGGAUGUACAAUCCGAAGGAGGUUUGGAGAGGGAGAUUAUGGUCGUCAAAAGUGUCAGUCACAAAAACCUCGUUGAAUUGGUUGGUUACUGUAUUGAUGGAGCCAAUAGAUUGCUUAUUUUAAAGUAUUUUCCAAAUGGGUCCUUGAGAUCUAAAUUACAUGGUGAGUCCCGUAUAUCCUUUCUUUUUACUUUUAUGUUCGUAUAACUAAUCCAUAUAACAUGAUUAAUCUUAAAAGUUACAAAUGGUAUUGUAGGGAGUGGGGAUGUUUUGGACUGGGAAAAAAGAAUGAAGAUCGCCACAGGUUCUGCAAAAGGAUUGGAAUAUUUACAUGAACACUGUGAGUAUUUAGUACUAUAUAUUCUUACCCGGCAAGAUCUUAUGAAUUUAUUUAUUUAUUUUUAUCUAUAUUAAUAAUUUAUUUUCUCUCAAAAUUUAUAUUUUAUAUUUUUUUCAGGUAAACCUAAAAUUAUCCAUUUAGAUAUCAAACCAGAUAAUAUUCUUCUUAAUCAAGAUUUUGAACCUAAGGUGAGAUAAUUUUAUAACAAAUAAAUAUUUUAUUUAUAUUAUCACAUAUUUAGAGUAAAAUCUUGAUAAUUGAAUAUUAAAAUUUUAUUUUUCAAAAAUAUUGAAAAAUUAUAUGAACUCCUUAAUUACAUAAUUUUAUUUUUGUGUUAAUUAAUAAAUCUGGAUUCUAAUUCUUUUUUGGUUUAGCCAUAAAUUUUUGGUUUUUUUAAUAAAAUUUAUUGCUUAUAAAAAAAUUAAUAAAUCCACCUUAGUAGGUUUCUUUUUUUUUUCAUGAUUUAAUAUUUUCUUAAUAAACCUUAUUGAAGUACGGAAAUUGUGUAAUUUAUCAAAUAGAAAGGUAAAAGAGUGUAUAUUCGUGGAAUUAAGUGUGAAGUUUCAACCUUAAAUUAAUAUAUACAUUAUAUAUAAAUAGCAUAAAUAAAUUUAUUAAUUAAUUUAAAUAAUUUGUUUAGAUAACAGAUUUUGGACUUGCUCAUUUUUUUUCGACGGUGCUACCCACAUAUCCAAAUCAUCAGUUAUGGGAACCCAUGUGUAAGAUGUAACCUCCUCUUCUAUCAUUUAAUUGCAAUGCUAUUAUUGUCUUUCUUUUUUCAGUGCCAUUAUUAUCUACCCUUAGAAUAGUUUAAAAAUAAAAUUAAAAUAGAUAAAAUAAUACAUAAAAAGAUAUUAGUACUCCUUAACUUGAUGGUAUUAGUUUCUUAAGAAAUCUUAACAUAAAUUUUAGUUCUGUUAAUUUUAUUGCAGCUAUGAAGAUCCAUUGACAACAAAACUGGGAAAGUAUUCUGAUAAAUCUGAUAUUUAUUCUUUUGGAGUUACACUUUUAGAGCUGAUUACUAGAAGAAAACCUAUACACAAUGGCACUGACAUUGUUAUUUGGGUAUGACUCUGUUUGCAUUAAUACAACUUUGAUAUAAAAAUUCUAUUUUUACCUUAUAAAGUUUUGAAUUUAGAUCUCAAUUGGAGCUAUUUAGAUUUCAAUUCAAUAUAUUUAUGAUCUAUUAAUAAAUAAUUUUUUUAAUCAAUAUCUUAUAGGCAAAUCAUCUAAUUAAAAAGGCUUUGGAGGGAAGAUAUACAAACUUUGUAGAUUCUAAUUUACAAUCCUUUGAUCAUGAACAAAUGUAUCAAAUGGUUUCUUGUAUUAAUUCUUGCAUAAAUCAACCACUAAACUCUCGGCCAACAAUGGAAAAGGUAAAACUUUUCACAUAUUUAAUUUAAUUUUAGCUAUAUAUUAUAUAAUUUUAAUUAAUUUUGUGAACUCGAGAGAUUACAUAAUUGACUUGUAAUCAUUUUAUUGCUAUGUCAUGUAGAUACGUCUAGUUCUUGAAGGAAAAUCGCCUCCAGAGGAAUUAUACGAUCAUGAAUUACAAUGGAGUAUUAUACAUAGAGGUUUAUAUUCUUUUAUAUUAAUUUAUUAGAAAUUAUAUGCAUAUUUAUACUAAAGCUCGAUCAAAUUGAUGCCUAAAUUAAUUUCCUAAAUUAAUUUUCAUUUAACUUGUGUCAUAUCUUAAAAUUAGAAACAAAUGUUGAUUUUCAACUGCAUAAAUAUUAAUUUUUUAAUUUGAAACGUAGAAUAAAUUUAUUAUUAUAUUUUAUAGAAAGAAAAUGAAUAAUAAUUUUGAGAUAAUAAAAUAAAAUAAAUAAAAAUUAUGGAACGGAAAGAAUAUUAUUUAAUUAUUUAAGUAAAGGUAAAUAAAUAGAAAUAAUGAAGCCGUGAAUAGUUUUUUGAUAGGAAAAAAAAUAAUUAAUGUCCAUGAAAUCAUUUUCUAUUUUGAGAUAGUUUAAUUUAUUUUAAAAGAUCUUAUAACAUAAUUAUUUGUUUAUAUUAUAUACAUAUUGUUUGACAAAUUCUUAAUAAGAUGAUUUAGAUUGUUUACAUAAUAAACUUAUUUUUUUAUAUAGUUAUAGUCUUUUUAGGUAAAUUUCAAUCAUAUAGGUUAUUCGAAUUUAUAUUAAAAUUUGUCUAAAACACUAAUAAUUCACUAUAUGAAAUUAAGAAAAGGAAAAAUAAAAGUAUGAAAAUUAAUUAGUAAGCAUGGUUAUUUGGCUUAAUUAAUAGAGAUAAUUUACUCAUAAAGCUUGCUUUAUGUUCACAUAUGGAACAACUUUAUUUAAAAAAAAUUAUUGUAAAAUAUAUAUAGCUUUUUGCUCUAUUUUCUUUGAGAGUUGCAAAUUAUAUUAAGAAAACAAAAAAUCUGAACUUUUCAUCAAGCUCACGAGAUCAGUUGGAAAAUUCUUAUCUUAAUUUCUUUGCUUUCUAUAUAUGUAUAUGCAAUGGUUCCACAAAUUAGAUAUAUACACUAACUAAAUAUGGCAUGCUAUGGUUUGCGUAGAUGACGAAUCUAGCUCAUACUUUGAAGAGAUUGAUCAAAUUGAAGAAUCUGGCCCAUUGCAUGAAAAGAAUUAUAAGGGUAUUAGGCCGAAGCCAAAUUCAUUUAGUGAACUAGCAGUGGCAAAUUAUAAGGGUGGGCUAAAGCCAUAUUCAUUCAGUGAACUAGCAAAGGCAACUGAUCAAUUCUCGCUUCAACGCCAAUUUGGCCAAGGUGGUUUUGGUCAAGCUUUUAUGGCAUCCUUAGAUGGUAAGAUCCGUGUUGUCAAGAAACUUAAUAAUUUUCCAGAUGUACAGUCUGAAGGAGAUUUCGAGAGGGUGAUUAUGGUUCUCAAUGGAGUCCGUCACAAAAAUCUUGUUAAGUUAGUUGGUUAUUGCAUUGAGGGAGCAAAUAGAUUGCUUAUUUCAAAGUUCUUUCCCAACAUGUCAUUGAGAUAUCAAUUAUACAGUGAGUCCCAUAUCCUUUCUUUUGCCUAUGUUCAUAUAACUAAUUAAUAUCACAUAAUUAGUCUUACAAAUUACAAAUGAUUUUGUAGGAAAGGGGAACGCUUUAGACUGGAAAAAAAGAAUGAAUAUUGCUAUAGGUUCUGCAAGAGGAUUAGAAUAUUUACAUGAAUACAGUGAGUACUUUUAAUUUUUGAGAGUGAUUUUUUUUUUAAAUUUUAUUUUUAUUUGUUUUAAUAAUUUAUUUCCUCUAAAAGUUUUAUGCUAAUAUUAUUUUCAGGUAAACUUAAAAUCAUACAUUUAUUUAUCAAGUCAGAUAAUAUUCUUCUUGAUAAUGACUUUAAUCCUAAGGUAAGAUAAUUUAUAAAUUUUAUUUAUAUCACUACAAUGUGGAAUCUUCAUCAUUAGAUUCCGAAAUUUUAUUUUUGAAAAAUUAUGUGAACCCAUUAGUUUGAUUGUUGUAAUUCAUUAAUAAUGAGGCUUAACAAGGUUUCUUGUCUUUUUUCAUGCUUUACUACUUUCUUAAUAAACCUUAUUGAAGUACGGAAAAUAGUGUAAUUUAUCAAGUAAAUAUAUAUAUAUAUAUUCAUGAAAUUAAGUAGUAAAUAACUACACCUUUAAAUUAAUAUAUACAUUAUAUAUAUGCACAGCAUAAUAAAUUUAUUAAUCUACUUAAAUCACAUGUCUUAGAUUUCAGAUUUUGAACGUUCCCUAUUCUUUAGGGAUGCUACUACUCAUGUGUUCAGAUCAUCAACUCUCGGAACUCACAUGUACGUAAAAAGAAAAAAAUUUCUUUUUAUCAUUCAAUUACAUCACUAUUAUCGUCUCUUUUCUUUCGGUACUAUUAUUAUCUAAUCUUAGAAUAAUUUGAAAAAUAAAAUAAAAAUUAAAACAAAGAAAAAAACACAUAAAAAGAAAUUAGGAUUCCUUAUUUGAAAAUAUUAGGUUUUUUAAAAAAAUCUUAAUAUAAAUUUUAAUUGUGAUGAUUCCAUUGCAGUUAUGCAGAUCCAUUGUCAACAAAAUUAGAAAAAUAUUCGGAUAAAUCCGAUGUUUAUUCUUUUGGUGUUAUACUUUUGGAACUGAUUACCGGAAGAAAGCUCAAGAUGGAUGAAAACAUUGACAUCGUUACUUGGGUAUGGCUUUCUUACUUGUAAUAAUUUAAUAUAAAAAUUGCAAUAUAAAAUUAUAAUAUAAGAAUCAAUAAGAUAAAAAAAAGAAUUAAAUUUAAAUCUCCAUUGGAUUGGAUGUAUGCAAAUAAAAUAAUAAAGCAUUCUUUAUAGUCACAUUAAAAACAUUGAAAAAGACAAAACUAUAUGCUAUAAGUUAAAUACAAAUGCACAUGUAACAUGCAGUUAUGAUUCAUUAAUAAUAAAUAACUUAUUAAUCAAUAUCUUGUAGGCACAACCUCUAAUAGAAAAGGCUUUGGAGGGAGAAUAUAUGGAUUUUGUAGAUCCAAGGUUGCAAUUGUUUGACGAUCAAGAAAUGCAUCGAAUGAUUUUUUGCUCUAAUGCUUGCAUAAAUUAACCGUUAAGAUCUCGUCCAUCGAUGAAAAUGGUAAAAUUUAUUCACAUAAUUAAUUUUGAUAUAUUUCACUAUUAUUGUUUAUUUUCAAUUAAUUUUAUAGAAACAUUGAGAGAGUACAUAUUUGACUUAUAAAUCUUUCUAUCAUUGAUAUGUCAUGUAGAUACUUCUAGCUCUCGAAGGAAUUCUUCCUUUAAAUUCUUUGUGAUGAGAUGAAUGACAACAAAUUGCGAUUGGAAGCUACUCAUAAAGGUCCGUUUCUUAUAAAGAAUGGGAAUAUCUAUUUCGAAUGUUAUUCAUUUUCUAUAGAUUUAUUAAAUAAAAAAAUUUAAAAGUAUACGGUUUGUUAUAUUUAUUCUAAAUUUAAAAUUUUGAACAAUAAAAUCAAUUUUUUUUACAUUUACUUCAAUUAAUUUUGAUAAAAAAAAUUUUAAUCUACGUGUCAUAUCACAUAGGUUUAUUUUUUGCAAGGCCUACUCAAUAAAAAAAUUCAAAAUUAACAUUAAAUUCAUAUUUAUAUUGAAAACUUUUGAACAAUAAAAUCAAACCUUUUUUAAUUUAACACAAUUAUAAUCAAUAGGACUAAAUAAAUUAAAUCUGAAAAGUUAAUGAUAAAUUACAAUAUAAUCCUUAAAAUUUUAUGUUAACAAAACAUAUAGUCUUUUAAUUUAACAUAUAGUCAUUUAUAAAUUAUAAUGUAGUCCCUAAAUUUAUCAUAUGUAAUAUUAAAUAUAUUAUAUUAAAUAAAUAUUUAUUAUAAAUAAAUUUUCAUUGCAUAAAAUAUCACAUACAAAUAUUAUAUAAUAAAAUAUUUUAUUGAAUAUUUAAACUCAAUAUUAUAAAUAUAUUCAUAUUAUUUCUUUAUUUAAAAGGAGUAGGAUAUGAACUUAAUUCACCUUUUAAAAAUAGAAGUAUCCGUCUCAGUUCAUCUACUUGGUGAUUUUGCUUUUUUCCUUUAAUAAUAUUCCUCUUCUUAUUUGAGAAGAUGGAUUGUUUUCCCAAACCCAUUGCCUUUUGGAGAAGAUGAAUAUGUUACAUUUAAUAAAACCUUAAACCUUUCUCUUCUUAUUUUUAAUAGACCAGAGUUUUCCUUAUCAUUUUAAGCUUUUCUCUUUUUAUUAUUUUCUUUAAACGAUGACUUAUUACAUUAUUUUCUAUAUUAAAUAUGACCAAGCUUAUAAAAUAAUCCUUUUUAUUUAAUCUCAAUAUCAAAUACUAUAUGAAAUUUUUUAAAAUAUCGAUAAAUUUUUUCAUUAGUAAUUCAAUAAAAAUCUAUUAGCAAAUAAUACAAUCUAUUUUUAAAAGUUUCGCUGGUAAAUUUUUACUAACAGAUUUUAAAUUUAUUAGCACCACUAUGAAAUUUACCAAUAUAAAUUCUCAUUUUUUAUUCAAUUCGGAUAGUAGUGUGGAAUUUUUCGGAUUGAGUUACAAUUUGAUGCAUAAAGAAAACAUACAUAAAAUUUAAAUCACAUAAAUAACAUAAUUUAUAUUCAAUAUUCAUUAAAAAUGUAAAUAUAUAUUUGGAAAAGAAAAAGAGUAAAUGAUAAAAUAAAGUGAGAAAAAUAGAAAUGAAAGAAAAUAAAAAUUAGAGAAAAGUAAAUAGCAUAAAAUGAGAAGAAAUUAUAAAAAAGAAAAAAGAAAAAGGAGAAAAACAAUAGAAAAGAAAAUUAUAGAGAAGAAAAAAAGAAUGAAAGAAGAGGGAAAGGAUUAUUAGAGAAGUGAGAGAAAAUAAAAUAAAUAAUUAGAGAAUAAAAUAAAUAAAGAGAAAAUAAUAGAAAAUAAUGAGUUGCAAAACUCACCCAUCUUUUCUUAUUAAAUUUUAUAAUUUUGCUAUCAUUUUCAUAUAAAUAAUUAAUUUUUAUUUGAAAUUUGAUUUUGAACGGAUUUUAAGGGAAAAUUAAGAAAAAAAAUGAAAAGAGGCUGAAUUGGAAGAUUUUCGGAUGAGAAUGUUACAACCUUGGAUAAACUUGUAGUCUAAGGCGAUGGAUAGCUCCACUUCACUCCGAUUAGUAAAUAGCAUAAAAUGAGAAAAAAUUAUACACAGAAAGAAAAAGGAGCAAAACAAUAGAAAAGAAAAUUACAGGAAAAAAAAAAAGAUGAAAGAAGAGAGAAAGGAUGAUUAGAGAAGUUUGAGAAAAACAAACAAAUAAUUAGAGAAGGAAAUAAAUGAAGAGAAAAUAAUAGAAAAUGAUAGUGGCAAAACUCACUUCCUUAUUAAAUUUCAUGAUUUUAUUAUAAUUUUAAUAUAAAUAAUUAAUUUUUACUUAAAUUUGAUUUUAGACAGAUUUUUAAGCAGAGGUUAAGAAAAGAAAUGAAAAGAGGCUGAAUUGAAAGAUUUUUAUUGGAAAUGUUACAACCUUGAACAAGCUUGUAAUAUAAAGCGAUGGACAACUUUAGAUUUUAAAAAUUUUCACUUCAGCCUGAUUUUUCCACUUAAAAUGAUAAGAUCAGUUUCAAAUUGGAUAAAAACUAAUCAGAUUAGAAUAGGAGUGAGAUAGGAGGAGUAGAAUUUAUUUUAAAUUAUUAAAUUUUAUCUUUUUAUUGAAGAAAAAAUCUAUAUAAAGUCUUUCCAAAAAUUAAAGCUACAUCAUAUUCUUAUCUUCUCUCCCUCCUCUUCUCUCUAAGCUGCCCCUCUUCUUCUCCUUCUUUUUUCUUUUUCUUUUUAUUUAGAUUUUUACAACUUUAUUAUAAUAUUUAAGGGCUAAAUACUCUCUUUUCAGUCGAAGGUUAAUCCAAAUUGAAGUUCUAUUUAAGUUGUGAGAUUAUAUACUUCUAUUCUUUUCAUCUUAUUUCUAUUUUCUAUUAAUUUCGAAUUUCGAGAAACACCACCUCCAUUUUUGUCUUUUUAAAAAUUCAAGAAGCCUAUUGAAUCUCUUGAAUAACAUAUUACUAAUUAAACUAAUUAAAUCCGUAAUUGUUUAAUUGAAUUAAUUAUAAGUACUAAUUAACAUAUUAAUUUAUGUUAAGAAAUUAAUAGAUUUAAUUUAAAUAAAUAGUGUAUUUUUAUUGAUCAAGUAGUUCUUUCCUUUAAAUGCAGUUACUAUUAUAUGCUAAAUAUGCACGUGACAAAUUUUUCCUAGAAGAUUCUGGAAAUUCUAUUCUAGCAGGUAAAGAUGAAACUUUUGUUUAUGUUUCCUCUUCGUCAUAUUGCUUGCUCAAGCUUAUAGAUACAUGAUCAAUUCUCCAACUGCAGUUCUAUGUCUUCAAGGUAUGUAAAGCUAGAUGUUUAUUUCUUCGGUGUAAUUCUUUUGGAGAUAAUUACUGGGAAAUUACCUGUUAGUGAUAUUAGUUCCUAUGAUUCCUUCAACUUAAUUGAAUGGGUACGUAUUAAUUUUUCUCUUUUAAUACAAAUUAAAAGAGCUUCUUCAUUUGAGUAUGUAAGGAUUUAUUUAUUUAUUUUUCUUAACGUUCAGGCUGUUCCUGCAAUUCAAAAUGAUUGGCCCAAAGGCAACUAUAAGUUUGUUGAUGAAAAAUUGGGGAGCAACUUUGACGAGGAUGAAAUGGAUCGAAUGAUAGAAUGUGCUUUAGCAUGUGUAGAGCGUUAUCCACAAAAUCGACCAGAAAUGAGUAAGGUAAUUUCAUAAAGCUUUGUAUUCUAUUUUAUAUUAUGCAUAUAUACAUGUGAGUUUUAAAUGAUUCAGCAUUGUGUUAUAUUUUAGUAUUUAGAUAUCAGUAUUUCCAUCACUGCUCAUAAAAUUAUUAUUUUAAAACUAUUAAGAUAACAAUUUAAAAUUGCUAUAAAGAAAAUUUAUUGUAUAUUCAUUAAAAUCAUAAUUUUAAUUCUAUUUUUUAUUCAUUAUGAAAAAAUAAUUAAACCGUUAUUUUAUUAAUUUAUAAUUACAGUUAAAAAUAUAAGAUAAUAAUUUAUAAUUAUCGGCUUAAAUUUAUUUUUAUAAUAAUUAUUAUGAUAAACUAAUAACAUUCCUGUGUUGUAAUCAUACUCUAAUUUGGGGAAGAAAAAAAACUCAAUUGCUAAAAGUUAAAUUUUUUAAGAAUUAUUAAUGAAGUUAGUUUAUUCCAUUUCUUGGCAGAUCCAGUACUUUUUUUUCCUUUUUCUAAUUACUUUUCUCGGCAAAGCAGGUUGUUGAAGUUCUAGCAGGAAACAUUCCUCGGAAAAAUCUCAAGAAUUGAGAUGAAAUGUUUGAAAAGGAAAAUUAUUUUUUUCCUUUUCACUAGAAGUUGGAAACUUCCUUGAAAGGCCGAUUGGACAUUGAAAUAAAAGAUAGACUUCAGUUGAAGUGGCAAAAGGAGUGUAACUGGAAGACUUUCUGAAUUUUGCUUGUAUUGAUCUGUCUUGGAGACUAUUGCAACUAAAAAAAAAAGUUCCGUUUGAAAUAAAUCGAAUGUAAAAAAGUGAUUUAACUUAGAGUAAUUUUUUUAAUUAACUCUUUUUAGUUAAUAAAAUUAAAAUUUUAGUUAUUAUGUUUCUAAAUAUACAAAUUAAAUUAAAUUCUUAUAAAUUUUUAGUUUUCAAACAGGAAAAUAAAAGGUUUUGGAAGGUUUGAAUCCAAAUAAGAACCUUGAGAGAAUUAUAUCACAGCCAAAUUGCUGGACUAUCUACAGUAGCAUUUCUUUUUCAAAAACAAUUGAAAAUGAGGUUACUUCUUAUUUUAUUAAUUAAAAUUUUUAAAAAAAAAUUUUAAAGGAAAUCGAAAUUUGGAUACAUUUAUCAUCGGACGAAAUUUAUAAGUGUAAUAUUUAUUAUGUUUUAAUUAUAAUUUAAGAAUUUAAUAAGCUAAUAAAAUGUAAUUGUAUAUUUAACAUUAUUUUAAUCUUUAAGUCAAAAUCAAUAAUUCAACUCCAACCAUAGGUUAUGGCACUAAUCAAGUAACAGAGAAAAAUAUUUUUAAAGGGAAAUACUUAUUUUUAAUAAAACUAAUUAACUCAGAGUUAGCUUCUUUUAUCAGUUUAUAUGAAUUUUAUUAUAUUAAUAAUAAAAAUAUAUUUGUUAAAUAUGACCAAAAUUUUAAAAAUGACCCUCUUUUAAAUUCCAAUAUUAAUUUAAUUCCAAUAAACUUAUCAUAUUUCUCCUUAUUAUCCAUAAUAAACAAUGACCAAGAUUUUAAAAUGACCCUCUCUAAUUUAAUUCUAACAUUAAAAAUGACCAAAUUUAUUAUCUAUAUUAAACAAUGACCCAGCUUUUUAAAAAUGAUCCUUUGUAGUUUCUUCAUUUAUUAAUAUGCAAGUGGGACAUAAAAAAAUCAUUACUUAAUUAAUUUAGUACGUCCUAUUUUAUAAUACACUGACGAAUCUGAAAGCUGAUUGGCCCCCACAAAUGGAUUAAUUAAUAAUUCAACCUUCUUAAUUAAUGCCGCCUUCAUUGACAGCCUGGGUACUGUUCUGAAACUAACAAUAUAGUAAUCUUACUAUUGCACCGACUCUGCAUAAUUUGUAUUUUUUUAGUACUCCCUACUUUCAAACUUUAAUUUUCGCUAUCGCUGUUUAUUUGAUGAAUUAAAUUUUAAAUUAAAUCGAUUUGAAUAAAUUAAAAAUUUAAAUUUAAAUAUUUAUAAAAAUAAAAUUAAAUUAAUUUUAAUUAAAAAUUAAAUUGAAUUGAAUCGUUGUGAUUUAAUUUGAUUCGAUUUAAUUGAUUUAAAUUUUUAAUAAAUUUUUUAUUUUUUAUAUUUUAUUUUUAAUAUUUUAAAAUUUAAUUAAAAUAUUUUAAUUUUAAUAUAAUCUAAUAUCUUUAUAUUAUUAAACAUAAUAUACUAUUAUCAUUAAUCAAUUCAGUUUGAUUUUUUUAUUUUUUCUGAUCAAAAUUAAAAUAAUUAAAAAUUUUAAAAUUAAAAAUCAAAACAAAUUGAAAUAAAUAAAAAAUUAAAUUAAAUUUUUAAAUUAAUUUAAUUUAAUUAAUUUUUUUAAUUUAAACCGAAUAUUACUCAAUCUAAUUUUUCUCAUUUGCUAUCAAAAUUAAAUAAGAUAUUUUCUUAUUAAAAAAAUAUUAUACACAUGUAAAACAUAUAGGUUAAAUAUAUAUUUUUACAUAUUUAUAUUUUAAUAAGAAAAUUGGCCAACCAGAUCGAUUGGCCAACCAGAAUGAAGAUUGCUUUGGGUAUAGCAGAAGGAUUGGCAUAUUUGCAUGAAGAAUGUGAGGUUUUAACUUAUUUAGUUUUUUUUUUUCCCAAGUUUUCUAUAUUGCAUUUUAUACUUUUUAAUUUUAUGCAUUUUUAGGUAAACCAGGAAUCAUUCACCGAAAUAUUAAAAUUGAUAAUAUUAUUCUCGAUGAUGAAUUUAAUUCUAAGGUAUGAUAAUAUACUCACAGAAGAGAUUUAUAAAAAAUAAUUCAACAGCUAAACAUUUUAUAAUUAAUAUUAAAAAUGUAAAUAAAGUUUACAUUUAUAACUAUUAACUGUUUUAAUUAAUUACAAGUAAUUUUAAUUAUAAAUAAGUGGCCUUUCAAAAUCUUGAUUUAAAAUACCUUCUGUUUAGAAUUAAAAAAAACUUGUAAGAUUCAUAUCAACUUUGAAUUUAAAUUUAACUUAUUAGUUAUAAAUUAAUUUGAAUGACACAAUAAAUUACUUCUAUCAACUUUUUUCUUUUCAGAUUAGAAAUUUUGGAAUUUCCAAAGAAUUUGCGGAUUCAAAAACUCACGUUUCCACUAUCCCAAUGGGAACUCCAGAGUAAGAUUCGUUCUUAUUUGUUUGCUAAAUUUUCUUUCUCAAAGAAAAUUGGUUGAAUUAGUAGUUCUCAUUUGAUAAACACUUUCUUUAAGUGCAGUUAUCUCGCUCCUGAGCAUUACACCCAAGAUGAUCAAAAUAAGAAGCUCACCGAUAAGUCUGAUGUAUUUUCCUUUGGUGUCGUACUUCUAGAGCUGAUUACGGGAAAAUUAGCUGCUUUUGAGAAGGAACGCAGGGAAUAUAUUUUCUUAACUAUUUGGGUACUUAAAAAUAAAGAAUUUGAUAUUUUGUAUAUUCAAUAUUCAAGGGUUUUUUAUUUUUUAUUAUUUUUUCCCUGAUGGAAUGCUUAACUGACCUUUGUACAUCUAUUUUGAUUAUUCACAGGCCGUGCCUCUAUUGAAACAAAUUUUGGAUGCAGACUAUCAAGAUUUGGAUGCUGAAAAUUGUAAAGAAAUUUUUGAUUCCAAAUUACCGAACAAUUUUGAGAAAAAUGAUAUGAAAAAGCUUAUUUAUUCUGCUGCUUCUUGUGUAUAUAAACCUGCAAAGUUACGCCCACAUAUGUGCGAGGUAAAUUCACAAAACCAAACCAGUUAUUUUUGGAUUAUGCUUUGCACGUGAUUAUCAGUAAAAAUAUAUGAAAUAUAAUUUAAAAAAUACGUAAAAAUUAUUUGAUAAUUUUGCAUAUGUUAUUAAAAAUUGGGAGGGUGACUGCAUGUGAUUUUUUGAUGCAGAGAGUUAAAGUACUAAAUGGAGAUAUGGAACCCAAAACUAUAUGGGUGAGAAGUGAUUGCAAGUACCUAUACAAUGGGUCACCUUACGCUCCAUUUCCUCAAGCUCAGGGAACCUCCAGCUCUUGAUUUCUAUCCAAUACAUGAAUUAACCUCCGCCUUGUAAUAAAAAAGUACGUGUUCUUGCUAAAUGCACGUGCUUUUCUAAGGGAUCAAUUAGUUAAUAAGAAUGUGUUCCUUGCUGUUUUUUUUUAAAUAUUAAUAAUGAUUGAUAUUGAAUAAUUUUUUCAUGUAUAUAUAUAUAUAUAUAUAUAUAUUGGCAGAAUAUAUAAUAUCCAUUAAGUAUUAUUUUAAAACAAAGAGAUAAUAAUUUUGACCAAACUGUCAAUUGCUUGAUCCCAUAAGAAGUAUUUCUGCAAAAAGAUUAAAGUAUAUGAGUAGUUAGUAAUUACACAUUUCAUAUUAUAGGUCAAAAUGCUUAAAGAAUUAUGUUUCACCUUGAAUUCCUGCCAAUAAAACUCCUUAGUGUCAUUUGGCACUGUCUUCCAACAGUGCCCUUCUGCGACCAAUCUUUCUUUUAUUAUCAGAGUAAUCCUGCGACUGUACAUCUCCAACGGAUGUAAACUACAUGAACAAUGGUGAGUUAGUAUAGGGUAACAUUGAAAUUAAUCGUAAUUAAGAAAUAAUUAAAUAUUACUUGUUAUUAAUGAGUGAAAUGGUCUAUUGGAAUGACUGUGUGCCGCCUACAGCAGUGGUCGAACCAGCUGAUGCUGGAGCAAAUGCUGGAGCAGAUGAUGAAGUAGAUGCUAAUGCAGAUCCUGAUAACUGAGAGUGAGUUUAGCAUCCAGGCCAUAAUUCUUGUUUAGAUGCAUUUAACAUAUCAUACAGUUUCUGUGCAGCAGAGUUUGACAUCUCAUAUGUAUCAUUAUUUAUUGCAUGAUAGCUUGUUGCAUCCAUGACCAUGUCGUCUAACCAAUUGAAAUUUGGGUGAUUAACACUAUCAGAAAUAUAAGACGUGUCUAAUAGUGCAUCACCAGAUCCGUCAUGCACUUCAGUUUCACCGUGCAAAUACCAAACAAGAUAAUUUUGCACAAAACUAUACUUCAUUAAAUGAUAUUUUACUGUAUUUUCAUCUUGAAAACUACAGUUCUGACACUUAAAUCGAUUGCAAGGGCAGUGAAUCUGAUCACCAUUUAAAUAAUAUGGGCAGUUCUUAGCCUUUUCUAUAAAUUCAUUGAUCCCCUCUAAAUAUCUGGGAUUAAAUAAAUCAUCUCUAAGACAGGCAUACAUCCAACUUCUUUUAGCAGUCAUAUUAACUACAAUAACGAUGUUGAUAUGAAAACAUAAAACUUAUAAACCCUAUCUUCAAACGAAGCCUGAAAAGUAACAAUUAAAUUAUGUAUUAUAUCUAAAAUAUGCAGUAAUUAUAUCAAUUUUCCUUGAGAGGAUAAUUGAUGCAAAAAAUGGAAUAAUAAUACAAAAAUCUGAAUUACAUGAUAAUUAAUUACUAAUAUCUUCAUAAUCACGCGUUUAAUUAAUUAUUAGGUCUGUAAAUUUAUUAAGUGCGCCAAAUUAUUUUAGAGAAGUGCACCUGUAGGUGCACUGGAAAGAAAUCACAAAUUUCAAGAAAUCACAAAUUUCACAAAAAUCAAAAAUUUUAAAAAUAUAAAACAUUUCACAAAAAUUUCACAAGACUGGAAUACAUGAUUAAGACAGAACAUGAAUCAGGUCAAACAUGAAUAAAAAAUCAAUCGGAACAUGAAUCAGGAAGAAAAUAGCGCACCUGUGGACACUGUCUGUCUAGAAUGGCAAGACUGGAGAGAGAGAGAAGGGUUCACUCGUGGACCAUGAUGCCGAGAAAGGGUGCACCUGUAGACGGUGGAUGGCAGGCGGUGGUGAAAGACCCAGAGGUUGGACGCAAAUUCGAAUUUCAGAGAGAUUUUAAUUUUUCAAACAUACGAUUUAGGGAUUUCAGUUAGGAUAUUGUGUAUUUGGGUUUAUAAUUCACUAACGGAUGAUUAGUCUGUUAGUGAAAAAAACAUUAGAUUAAAAAAUAAUAAAAUCACUUACGGAUUUCUAACAGAAAAAAUGUCCGUUAGUAUUUCACUAACGGACUUGUGACAGAUGGUUACGAACGUAUUCUUCACUAAUGAAAAUACUAACGGUUAUGUACUUCCGUUAGUAGAUAAUAAGUUUUCAAUGUUCCGUUAGAGAUAACCGUUAGUAUCAUUAACGGAUUUCAAUCUAUUAGUGAAGUCGGUUAGUGAUCAAUUGAAUUUUUGUAGUGUUUUGAAUACAAAAAUUUUAUAUUUUUUUUCACGACUCCAAUCGUGACUUAGCUGAAAAUUUUCGUAUUGCGUGUAAUACCCAUUAAAAUUAAUCCAAAUAACUUUUAAAUCUAUUUUUUAUUAGACCUAAAAUGAUUAACCCUAUUUAUUUAUUUAUUCAGUGCUUACUAUUAUAUAUAUAUUCUCAUUAUCCCUGUUAUAUAUUUUACCCAUGUGGGAUUGAAAUCUCAACUAAGGAGUAGGCACCACACUAUGAGCCAAAUUUGAUAAAAAAAAAAAAAGUGAAUAUGUGUUGAGAUAGGGUUUAAAUAUAAAUAGCCUUUCAACCAAUUUCAAUAUAAUUAAUCAAGUAAAUUAAAUAUUUUUAAAAAAUAAAAUAAAUGUGUAAUUAUCAAAUAUAUGUAAGGUAUAUAUGGAUAGCUAAAUGUUUUUCCUCUUCCCACGUUUAUUUAUACUAUAUUUUUUAACGUGCCUCUACACUUUUUAAACUCGUUCUGCAUAUUAUUUAUUCAUUUAAAUAGCCAAUUAAAUUUGAUAUUCUAUUAUUAUAAUAUUAAAUUCUUAUAACUAUAAUUUAUAUCUAACUAUAAUUAGAUAGAAAAAUUAUAAUAUAAUAAAAUAAAAAAGGUAUAUUAUUUUAGUUAAUUUUAUUAUUACAAAUAAAAUAUUAAAAAUUUGCAAGUAAAACAUGAAUUUAUUAUUCUUAUUCCUAGGGUCAACCGUCAACGUUAUAUUUUUUUUAAAGGAGAAUCCAAGACUGAACGCUAAAAUUUCCUACAGCUUUCUCUCAUUUCUAUGAUCUAAAUUUAUUAUAAUUAUAAGCAAAAUUCCGUAAAAAAAAUAGAAAGGUGAAAUUGUUAAAAAAGACACAUGAUUUUAUUUGAUAAUGAUAUAUUAUUUUGUAUUUUAAUUGGCUGAAAAAUAUAAAAAUUUAUUAUUGUUUAAAUAAUAAUUUCUUAUUUCAAUUUAAAUUCUAUAAUUUUACAAAGAAUAUAAUAUCACAAAUAAAAUUUUUGAUAUUUUAAAAGCUUGAAUAUUUAUUUAAGAAUUAUCAUAAUCUUUGUUGUGAAAAGAAAAACAUUUUAUUGUAUGAUUUAAUUAAUUUAUAUAUUUUAAUUUUUUUUUGAAAUUUUUCAAAAUAUUUUUUAUAUACAAUCAUUUUUUUUAUCUAAAAUAAAUGGAUCUUUAAUAUUGGUAAAUACGAUAUAAAAUGUGGUAGGACGUAAUAGAUUCAGAAAUUUGAUUAAAAUCCUGCUUUGUUCUUUUUAAGUGAAAGAAUAUUGAGAAAUUUGAUUACUAUAAAAUAAAUUUAAAUAACUUUUUAUAAAAUUAUUUAUGAUUUUAUUUUUAUAUAUAAUAAAAAAAUUUAAAAUUAAAAAAUUUUGAAUUCUUUUAUUUUAAAUAAAAUUUUAUAAAAAUAACUUCAAUUAAAUUAAAUUUUUAUAAAAUUUUUAAUUUCAAAAUGGAAGGUUAAAGUAUUUUAUUAGAAUUCAAAGUCUUGUGGUCCAGGUCUUUUAUUAUUCUUAUUAUUAUUUUUUUGUUCUGUUUUAUUAGAAAAUGUUAAUUCUAGAAGGCUGAAUAAUCAACGAUUGGACAUGCUUCCAUCUCAUUGGAUAGAUAGUCACCUUACGAUCCCAGCUCCAUAAUAAGGGGAGAUAUUUUAUCAUAGGACACGGCUUCAAAGCUCAAUAUCUUUCACACUUGUAAAUUAGUGCUUUUUUAGAUUUUAGUUUUUUAAUCUUACCAUGAAUUUUUAUUGUGCUUAUUUAACUGCAGCUAUGUAGCUACGUAUAUCCAUUCGCAAUAUUUCUAAUAAAUCAGAUUUUAUUUAUUUGAUAUUAUAUUUUUUAAAUUAAUUACCGAAAGAAUGUUCAUAGAAAAUGGUGUUGAUAUUGGAAAUUAGAUAUGUAAUAUACAUGUAGCAUACUCUAAAAAUUUAUGAUACUUAAUUAUAUAAGUAAAAGAUUUUUUUCUAUUAAUGCUAAAAAGGUAAAAAAAUAUAUAUAUUUAGUAUCUAAAAAGUAAAAUAAAUAUUCACAUACAACUUCUAUUUAUAUUAAUACAUUUGAAAUUCUAGUCUAAACUCAACUUAAUAAAAAUAUAUAUUUUUUAUUAAAUAUCUUACAGACAAAAUCUCGAAUUAAAAAAAUUUUGAUCGAAUAAAUUGUAGCUUUUGUAAAUUCUACAUUGAGGUUUGAUCACAAAACAAUAUAUUGAAUGAUUUUCUAUAUUGAUGCUUGUAUAAGUAACCCUUUAAAUUUUCGCCUAUCAGUAAAGAAAAAAAAAAUUUAUUCAUGUAUUGUAUUAAUAAUUAGUAAUAUAUAAAAUAAUUUCAUGGUUAUUAUGUCAUAUGGAUACUUCUAGCUUUCGAAGAAAUUUUAUAUUCUGGUGAAUUAUGUCACAAAAAGGUGUAGAUUAUAACUGUUUAGUUUUAACUUUAUUUCAGAAAUCUCACCAAUUUUAAUUUUUUAAAAAUUAAAAAAUUAUUAUAUCUGAAAUAAUUGUAAAAAAAAAUAAAAUAAUUUAUUUAUAAAAUAUACUGCAGAUGUAAAAAUAUGAUUAAUUUUAUUUUAAAAAAAUAAAAAUAAAAAUAAUUAAAUUAAUAUAUUACAUUCUUAAUAAUAAUAAAAAUAUAAAAAAAUUUAAUUAGUAUUAUAUUCAAAUCAAAUACAAAAAUUAAGAAAGAGAAUAUAAAAUUAGAAUUAAGAUGUAUAAUUGGAUACAAGAUAAUUAUUUAUUAAUUAAUUUAUAAAAAAUUAUAUAAAAUAUCCAAACCAAUCCAAUUGGUUGGUUUAAAUUAGGUUGGAUUUUGUGAUUCGACCUGAAGACUAAUAGCAACAAAUAAUUUUAAAAUUAAUUAAUUAAUGAAUGAAACGUCAUCAUUGAUUCUGAAAGAUGGAAAAGUUUAUCUUUCAAUUCAAAUUAAUUAUCCAUUGAUAGAGUCAUUAUCAUGAGUGUAGACAUUCAUAUACUGUAUGAGAGAUCAACCUCAUCUUCUCCGUUGUCUUAAAAAAUAAUUUAUUAAAAAACACCAACUUAAUUGUUAAUUUAUAUAACUUUUAUAUUUUAAAUAUUCUUUUGAUUAAAACAAAAAUAACAUUUUUUAAAUUAAAUUUAUACUAAAAAUUCAUAUAUAUUUAAUAUAUAAAUAUGAUAUAAUUCAAUAUUUAUUCAAAUUAUAAUAUACGGUGAUAAUUUUUUUUAAUCUAAAUGAUAAUAUGUUCGUAAUUAGAAAAUUCGAAUAUUCAGAUUUAAGUGUUCUCACGAUGUUUACCAAAAUAUUUGAUUUUACGAUGGCAAAGUCUCCUUGAGGCUUAUUUCUCACCGGUAAGGAUUAUUAUAAAUCAACCAUCAAAAAGUUUUUUUUUCAAAGAUUUUGAAUUACAAUAAAAAUUAUUAUAAGAAUUUAAACCAAAAAAAUGAAAAUUUUGAAAUUUAUACACUCAACAAUUAAUUAAAUUAAUAAAAUUUAGAUUAAAUUACUUUGAAUUUUUUAAAAAAUUUUAAAUUAUCUAUCUAAUAAAAUUAUUAUUUUUUAUUAAUAGUCAAAUAGAAUUUAACUAAAAUUAUCUAUUAAAAUAAUAUCAUCAAUAAAACUACAAGAAUAUUUAAAUAAUAUAAUACAAUAAUUAUUUUAAAUAUUUUGUUUAACUUUUUAAGCAUUUAGAUGAUAUUAAAAUUAGAAUAUUUUUUAAAAUUAAAACAAUCUCUUUUGAAUAUUAUUUUAAACUCAUCAAAAAAAUUAAAAUAAUCUCAUUAAUAAAACUAUAAAAAUAUUUAAGUAAAUUUAAAGUAUUCCGUUGCAUUCAUAUAUAUAUAUAUAGUUUUUAUAAAUGUCCUCAAAAUUUUCAAGGUAAACAUGCUUAACGAAUUUUUAUAUUUUGAAAAUAUUGCACCAUUGUUUUAUAAGUUUAAUUAUUAUUAAUUAAAUAUAUGCUUUUCAUAUAUAAUUAAUCAAUUUGGGAUGUGAUACCAUAGACGAAUUUUGCGCAACAUUCUCCACUUGAAUUUCUUUCGAUAAAAUUACCGCUAUUCCUUUUUUUUCCAUCAUAUACUAAAGUGGUUGUACAUGUAGGAUUGUCUGCAUGCUACAAUAACUCAAUAAAAAAUUAAUAAUUAUAUAAAUAUAGCAUAAUAAUAGAUGAAUAAAUAAUAUUUAAAAGUUUGUAGUCCACCAGAGUCUAAUACACAAGCCUAUCCUUUAACAUGCUACUCAAACUAUGCUCGGAUAGGCCGAGCAGAACGAGACUUGAGCCCAACGGAGAAGGAUCCAGCUCACCUUAUUUGAUGGGUCCGUGAAAAAUAGACCCCUUCACAUCUAGAACCAUGUCAGCAUGGACGCCGGAGGGAAUUAAUUAGCUACCUGACGAUGGAGAAAAAGGGUAGUACGUCCAUACAUACAGUUUUGUAUGAUUGCAGCAUGUGACACUGUAGUAAGGUGACAGUUAUACGUCAUUAAAGGAUAAAAAGAAAAAAAGAAUAAAGGAAAAAGACGUGAACUAUUCAGACUAAACUUACAUACACAUACCCAAAACUCUACCCUCUUCUAGAUCUCAUAUCAUAACUGGCGUCGUCUGUGGGAACGGAGGAGAUCUUUUCAUCACUAGAGUUCUCAUCUUGGUUACACUCACUGAGAUUCACAUGGUGAAUCAUGAUAAAAAUCACUUUGGAAAUACCCCAAAUGACCUAAGUUCCACCUAUGAAAGUCAACAGUUUUCAUUCUCCAAUUCUACGGCCUCAUCAAACCAAUCACCUGCAUUGUUUCACCCCUCGCUGAACUCGGCAGGAAACAUGUCUAGAACCACUCUUUCUGACCAAGAACUACAAAAUAUGGCUAUCCAACUACAGAAUACAGCUCACUGGCUGGAGCAAAUAUUACAGCAAAGGGGACUCAACACCCUAUUAAGUGUACCACCUAUAGCCGAGGGCUUCAACGUUAAUGAGUUCCAGCCUACCUUGAAUCACCAAGUCCCUCAGCAAAGCAGUAGGAGGAUAAGCGAAGGAGGCGAAGAGGCUUGCAGAAGAAAUGAGUCAACAGCUAGAACAAGGGCCUGAAUGAUUAGGGAGCUCAUCGAAAACGACGAAGUCAAGAGCUAUUCCUCCAAGAAGAUAGGAGGAUCGAAAAGUGAAGAGUUGGAAAGAGGCUACCGCUUGGAGAAACGGCCGAGAAGGGAAGAGGUGGAUGUGGACUAAAAGCUGGAAAGGUUGAGGAAGCAACUCUUGCCAGAACUGGGGGCACGAGAUAACAAUAACCCCCUGAUACCUAUCUCAUUACCGUUCGCGAGAUGGGUACAACAGGAGACUACUGCUAAGAAAUUCAUGAUGCCGCCGAUGACUGCAUCCGAUGGCAUGGGAAACCCCCGAGAAUAUGUCCUAAACUACAAAAUGUUUAUGGAGCUCUAGACCCAUUCUGAUGCUCUAAUGUGCAAGGUCUUUUCUACCACCCUCACCGAACCAGCCCGGACAUGGUUCAACAACUUAGAAGUAGUGGGCAUUAAGAGCUUCAUGGACCUGGCAAGUGUAUUCAUUAGCAGGUUCAUUGUAGGGGGUCCCGGCGGAAAGAAAAAUGAGCUACUUAAAGAUAAUCGGACAAAGGAGGAAUGAGUCUUUAAAGGAGUACAUAGCUAAAUUCAAUUUUAAGGCCCUACAGAUCCCUAAGCUUGAUGAGGCUAGAGAGGAUAGAGGCCAUGCAGAAAGGGACAACAUCCCAGGAGUUUUUUUGGCUCAUUAUGCAAAAAGCCACCCACUACCUUGGCCGAACUGAUGAAAAGGGUUAACAAAUACAUAAGGCAGGAUGAUGCCCUGACCACCAGUAGGUUUACCAGGGAAAUGGGAGAUAGGAGGAAAGUAGUAGAGGACAGACGACCUGAAAGGCAGGAGAGAAGACAGAAUUGGGGGCCCGAAGCAUUGAACAAGCACCAAUGGGAGAGGAAAGAGCAGAGGCUAUACCAACUCCUGAUUCCCGAGCUAAUCACUCUUGAAUGUGUCUAGGGCAGAGGUGCUUGUGGCUGUACAGGAUAAAGACUUUAUACAAUGGCCCAAGCCUAUGAAAGCCAAAGCCAGCCGAAGAGAUCCGAACAAGUACUGUCAAUACCACUGGACUUAUGGCCAUGACAACAAUGACUACUAUCAGCUGAUAAAUGAAAUAGAAAGGCUCAUUAAAAAGGGGCAUCUCAGGAACUUUGUGAAGAAACCAGAGGGACAGAGACCUCAGCAAAAUGCAAUGGCAUAGAGGCCUCACAGGCAGAUAAGAGGACUUGUGAAUGAUGACUCCAGUGGGAUGAUCAACAUGAUUGUGGGAGAAUCUGAGAUAAGAAUGAGAAGGAGGAGAAAGAAGAGGACCAGGAGUGGAGAAGGAAGUAGUGCCGAAAUCAUGUAGAUAGUGGAACAGUACCCUGUGACCAUCUCUUUCUCUCCAGAAGACGCCCAUGGAAUCCAAAUGUCUCAUGACGAUGCCCUGGUUAUUGAGGCCGUCAUUCACAACUUUCAGAUCCGCAAAGUCUUGGUGGACGAUGGGAGUAAGGUGAAUCUGCUACUUUACCGGGUCUUUCAAUAAAUGAACGUACCUGAAGUACAACUGGUCAGGGAUCAGGCCCCGGUUAAGGGGAUAGGUGGAACCCUCGUGGCAGUAAAAGGGAAAGUGAAAGUAGCCUUGAUGCUAGGAGAGCCACCCCUGUCCCGCACCCACUAUGCAUUAUUCCUUGUGGUGAAGCUGCCUCUGAACUAUAGCGCUAUUUUGGGAAGGCCGAUACUAUACGACUUCAAGGUUGUGACCAGUAUCCGGUACCUAACCAUGAAAUUCCCCACGGAGUUAGGGGUGGGCAUAGUGCGGGGAAGGCAGGAGGAGGCUUGAGCUGUAUAUUUGGCCACUAUGGAAGAACCGAGCACCCUGCCAGAAGAAAUAAACCAGGAGGUCAUGGAGGUCCAAAAUGAGAAAAAGGAAACCGGGAUAGAGCCAGUUGAUAAGCUGGAGACAUUCCCACUAUUUGAGGAGGAAAGCGACAAAGUCUUCAGUAUUAAGAGAACCUUGGAAAAGACUAAAAAGAGAUAGCAAUGACUCUUAUCGGAGGGCAUGCCUCAGGAUUUGCCUGGAGGCUUUCAGACAUGUCGGGGAUAGACCCUGAGGUGAUGAUGCACAAAUUGAAUGUCCUUCCUGAAGCCAAACUAAUAAAAUAGAGGAAAAGAGUGUUUGGGAAGGAGAAGCAACAAGCUACAAGAGAAGAAGUGCAAAAACUGGAAGAGGCAGGAUUUAUUAGGGAAGUCAUAUACCCAUAGUAGUUAGCCAACCCUGUGCUAGUCAAAAAGGCCAAUGGAAGUAUAGAAUGUGUAUAGACUUUACCGACCUAAAUCAGGCUUACCCAAAAGAUUGUUAUUCCCUUCUCGAUAUUAAUAAAAUGAUCAAUUCUAUGGCCAAUUUUGAUUAUUUGUCAUCCUUAGAUGAAAUAUCAGGUAUCACCAAAUUCCUAUGGACAGGUCGGAUGAAAAAAAUACGUCCUUCAUAACUGAAGAUGGGACAUAUUGUUACAAGGCUAUGCCGUUCAGACUAAAAAAUGUCGGGGCAACAUACCAACUAUUAGUGAAUAAAAUCUUCAAGGAUUAGGUAGGGAGAAAUGUGGAAGUAUACGUAAAUGACAUGGUAGUAAAAAGCCAAACCUUUCAACAACACCUAGCCAACCUGGAAGAGAUAUUCAGGAUACUGCAGCAGUACAAAAUGAGAUUGUACCCAACAAAGUGUGUAUUCUUUAUCAGGGGAGGAAAUUUCUAUGCUACAUGGUCAGCAAAAAGGGCAUAGAGCCAAAUCCAGAAAAAGUAGAAGCCAUAUUAAGAAUGCUCAAACCGACCUGUGUGAGAGAUGUGUAGAAACUUACAGGAAAAGUGAUGGCGCUCAAUCAAUUCAUGUUGAAGUUAGCUGAAAGAUGUUUACCAUUCUUCAAGAAGUUGAGGAAAGUUUUGAACUUUGAACGGGCAGAAGACUACUAAGAAGCCUUUAGAAAUAUCAAGCAAUAUCUCAGUUCUUUGCAUGUACUUAGUAGCCCUUUAGUUGGGGAGGAAUUUCUGAUAUAUUUAGCCGCCUCUGAAUAAGCUGUAAGCGCAGUAUUGGUGAGGGAUGAAGGUGGGACGCAUAAUCUUAUUUUCUAUGUCAGUAAGUUGCUCAAGGAUGCCGAGGUCAGGUAUAUGAACAUUCAGAAAUUGUCGUUUGCCUUGUUGCUGGCGGUAAGGAAGUUCAGAGUAUACCUAGAAUGCCACCAAAGGAUAGUGAUGACUGACCAACCUUUAAAGAAAAUGUUACACAGACUUGAGACCUCGGGGUGGAUGCUAGCCUGGUCUGUUGAAAUUAGCCCAUAUUGCCUCAUUUAUCGACCUCGGGCUGCCAUCAAAGCCCAAGCCUUAGUUGCCUUCAUAAUUGAGUGCUCUUUUAGCUUAGACCAUCAGGAACAAAGUGAGAGGUUAUCGAGCUCAGCCAAAGAGAAGGAAGGGGACCAACAACCGUGUGAGCUCAAAUGGGACCUAUUCAUGGACGGAGCAUCCAGCGCUGUGGGCAGUGGGGCAGGGAUACUUUUGAAAGGACCAUAUGGAUUCAGGGUGUGCUGUGUUUUGCAUUUAGAGUUCCCAGCAUCCAAUAAUAUGGUAGAGAAUGAAGCCCUCAUGGGGGCAACCGACCUGAAAAUAAAUAGUGACUCCCAGCUUGUGAUCAACCAAAUAACAAGGGUAUACCAGGCAAAAGAUCUCGUCAUGCAAAAAUAUAUGGCCAAGUUCCAAGCUGUAGAGGUCGAGUUCGUUGAGCAGGGGAUUGUUAUACAGUAUCAAAGAAUGCCUCGAGAGGAAAAUGAAGAAUGUAAUACCCGGCUAGAAUCCGGCACCGGAAUGCCUAUUGUCAGGUGGAAUCCGGGGUGUUGGGAUUCUAUAUAAGGGGAGGAGUUAUGUUUUCUAAGUGUUAUGAUGUGUUUUCUGGGUUUACAGUGUGAUAGUUUUGAGUUGCAAUGAACCAAGGCAGAGGAGCCAAGUUCGGCCGCCGAAGAUAAGUUCGGCCGCCGAAAGUGCCCCAUGUUCGGCUUCCGAAGGUACGUUCGGCCCCCGAAUGUUGCAUGGUUUUGCAUGCGAUUCGGCAGCCGAAAUUGAGUUGGCCAGCCAGCUGUUGGGCAUCCUUAGUCAGCAUUUUGGACAGGUGUUAUCACCAGAUCAUGUCCAGAAGUUGGCCACGUCUCCUAUGCUUUAUGUGCUAAGUUUGAGCAGCUCAUGCAAGAGGUUGCUCGUUUACCAAGUUGUGAAGGUUUUGAAGCAAAAAGUGAGGUUGAGAGAGUUUGAGAGUGUGAGAAGAGUUGGUCCGUUUUCCCUUGUUCAGAGUGUUUAGCUUCUUGCUUCAGGAGGUAAGUGAUGCUCUUGACUAGGGUUUUAUGUUUUCUGAAGGUUUUAUGGGAGUUGGGGAGAGAGAGAUGCAUGUUUAGGGAGUUAAUGGGAGAUUUGAUGCUUUAUGCAUGUAUUCCUGAUUAUGUGUUAUGUUUGUUUUGUUGUUUGGGGUUGUUAGAUAGUUUUGGACCCCUGUGACCAUAUACAUGAGUAUAUGUGAGUGGAAUAGAGGAGGUAGGCAUGUUUGGAGAGAUUGAAGGGAAGGAGGAGAUGGUUUGCCGUGGAAGCUGAGUUCUGGAUGAACUCAGGUUCGGCAGCCGAAGGAUCAUUCGGCCGCCGAACCUCCUGCAUGGUGACUUGGUUGCCACAGCUUGCCCCCGAGUGUUUUUGCAUGUUCGGCUCUGUUUGGGGGAUUCGGCCGCCGAAGGUGCCGCCGAAGGUGCUUGAGUUUCAUCUCUGGAGAGGACAUUCGGCCGCCGAACCUGCCGCCGAAAGUGUUCUGUCCAGCUUUUCUUUUGCAUGCUUUGCAUGGCUAGUUAAGUGAGUUUCAGGGGAUUCUUGGGGAGUUUAAUAGAGGUAUUGAUAAGUUAGUUUGGUCCCUCAUUUGAGUCUAUCUGUAUAGGUACAGACCAGAGGAACCAGAGAGAGCAGCAGUGAGUACUGCUCCAGAGUUUCAGAGCCUGCAGAGUCAGUCAGUCCAGAUAGCCGGAGGUGAGUGGAACUAAACUUAUGACUUUUAAUUGAACCACAAACUGCUUUUAGCAUAUCUCAUGCAUCAUGUUUAUGCCAUAGGGUGAUUGCAUUAGUAUCCACGAAUAUGUUGCAUUGCAUUGUUAUUUGAUGAUGUGAGGAAAUGCUGAAUGAUCCAAUAGUCUCAGACAGGAAGUCCAGGAGCCUUUGACUACGCCCUGGCAGGUAUAGAGAAGUCCAGGAGCCUUUGACUACGCCCUGGCAGGUAUAUAGUAAAGUCCAGGAGCCUUUGACUACGCCCUGGCAAUGUUACAAAGAAGCAUACCUUCUCAGCAAGCUGUCCAAAGAAGAACUAGAACAACUCCCAGACAAAGUGUACAUACAACACAUUAAUGCCCCUACUUAUGAAAAAUCAGCCCCAAUCAUGCAGAUCGGAGAGGAAAGGAGCUGGAUGACUCCCUAUUUGGAGUACAUGGAGGCAGGAAAGUUACAUGAGGACAAAGCAGAAGCAAGAAAGAUUGUACCUAAGGCUGUAAAUUAUCAAACAGUAAGGGGGACCCUGUACAAAAGGGGAAAAUCUAGCCCGAGGCUAAGGUGUGUGGACCUGGAAGAGGCGGCCGAAAUUGUUAGGGAGAUACAUCGAGGAGUUUGUGGAGUCCACGAAAGAGCAACCACGUUGGCAAACAAAAUAUUCCGGCAAGGGUAUUACUGGCCCACAGUUAAGAAGGAAGCAGAAGAGUUUGUCAGAAGAUGUGAUGUAUGCCAAAGGUCUGCUAAUGUCAUUAACAGCUCGACCACGCCACAGUUAAGUAUAUCUAGCCCUUGACCAUUCACCCAGUGGGGGAUCGAUAUACUGGGUCCUUUUUCAAAGAUGGUGGAGAAGAAGAGGUUCGUGAUAGUGGCUGUGGAAUACUUCUUCAAGUGGCCAGAGGCAAAAGCUGUACCCAAUAUCACAGCUCGCAAGGUGAUAAACUUUGUCUGGGGCAACAUCAUAUGCCAAUUUGGGAUAUCGAGGAUGCUCAUAUCAGACAAUAGCAAGCAAUUUGACUGCAGAUCCUUCAAGGACUUCACAAAAAAUAUGGGCAUAUGGCACAAGUUUUCUUUGGUAGCCCACCCUCAAACAAAUGAUCAAACAGAAGUAACGAACCAGGGUAUCCUCCAAGGACUAAAAAAAUGGUUGGAUAGAGCUAAAAAGAAUUGGCCAGCCGAGCUAAACAAUAUCCUAUAGGCAUUUCGGACUACCCCUCAGAUGCCGACGAGAGAGACUCCGUUUGCAGUAGCAUUCGGGACUGAGGCUGUAUUUCCCAUAGAGCUGCAGAUCCCCUCUCACCGAGUUCAGUUCCAUGAUGAGAAUACCAAUGGAGAGAAAUUGAGGAGUAACUUGGAUGCCCUGAGGAAGUCAGAGAAGAGGCUCAAAUAAGAACAACUACUUAUCAAUAGAAGGCAGCACGAUACUACAAUCAGAAGGGUCGCAAGAGGAGCCUAAAGGUUGAAGACUUGGCCCUGAGAAGAUUAGACGCAACGAGAAAGAGAACACAUGUGGGAAAAUUGGUGCUAACCUGGGAAGGCCCCUUCAGGAUAGCUAAAGUCGUCAAGCCCGGGGUGCACCGAAUUGAAGACCUACAGGGGCACUCAGAGCCUCACGCGUGGAAUAUCCAGCACUUAAAUAGGUAUUUUGCAUAAGAAAGAGCAUAAUAUAAAACCAUGUCCUUUGAAAUAUGAAUAAAAAUUGUUGUUUCUCCUUUUCUAUUUAGCAUUCCUAAGAGCAGGUAGAGAAGACCCAAGUGAGGUGGAUGACCGGUCUCGGAAUAUGACCAUCGACACCAAAAAACCGGUUGAGGGGAAGAAGACCCCAGUGAGGUGGGUGACCGGUCUCGAAAUAUGACCAUCGGCACCAAAAAACUGGCUGAGGGGAAGAAGACUUUAGUGAGGUGGGUGACCGGUCUUGGAAUAUGACCACCGGCACCAAAUAACUGGCUGAGGGAAAGAAGACCCCCGUGAGAUGGGUGACCGGUCUCGGAAUAUGACCAUCAGUACCAAAAAACCGACUGAGGGGAAGAAGACUCCAGUGAGGUGGGUGACCGGCCUCGGAAUAUGACCACGACACUACAAAAUCGAUUGGAAAAAAAGAAGACCAACAUAAGAAAAACGACAUUAAACAAAGGCCAUGAGCCUCCCAAAGAAAAAUUGAGCAAUAAAUAGUCGACCUAAAAUAGAACUUUGGCUUAAUUAAGACCCAGCAAAUAAGGAAAAAUCGGAUCCCAAGAAAAGAUCUCAGAACACCCAGGAAUGAUGGAUAAAAAUUUGAUUUCGACCUCGCCUAAAGGAUCGGAACACAGAACCACGAAUCAUAAACUCAAAUCCGACCUCAUUGAGGGAUACAGAUUUCAAUAACAUCAGAAAGGCCUAAAUCCAAAUCAAUUAAAAGGCUCGAACUACAGGAAAAAGAGGUCCCAAUACCAUAAAAAUGAGCUCAGCCCACUUAAAGUCCUUAGGCAAAUAAAGGGUAAAUCAGGAAAAUCCAGCCGAACGAGCUCACAAGCUAAACAUGAGAAAAAAACCUAAGUAUAAUAUAACCGAGCUCACAGCCCUAACGAGCUCGUAGGCUAAACAUGCGAAAAAAGUCUAAGUAUAAUAUAACCGAGCUCAUAGGCUAAACAUGCAAAAAAAGUAAUGCAAACGAGCUUACAGCCUAAGUAAAGCUCACAAAGCUAAAUACAUAAAAAUAUCUUAAGUGCAUUAAAACAAGUAAGCCAACAAAUUGGCAAGGCUUGCAGGCCGUGUGUGCAGAAAUAGCUUAAGUAAAUGGGUUAAGCGAGCUGAGAGGCUUGGCCGUUGCUUAAGUACAAAAGGGUAUAAACAUAAAUAAACCAAGUUCAAAGGGGCCAUUAGCUCGGAAAAAAACGCAGAAACUACACAUCCCGAAAUUUUUUAAGUAGGCAAGCAAAACACACGUUAAAGUCAAAAUUUACGAGCUACCAGCCUAAUAAAAGUUCACAAGCGAUUCAUACAAAACAAUUUAAAUAUAAAGUGAUAAAUAAAAUAGACACGAAUAAGUCAAGGAAAAAUAUAAACUUUAUUGAUUAUUUGAAUGGGUUAUAGAGGUAGCAGAGGAGGGGGAACCAAAACUAACUAAGUCAUUUAAAGAUUUGUCCACAGCAUCCUCUCCCUCAGGUCUGGAGGGCAAGCGAGGAGCACCUUUGAGCAAAGGAUUGUCGUCCUCUCCAUAACGCACCUCUUCACCAUCAGAGUCCAUUUUUGGAGCUCGUAGGUCCGCCAAUGGAGUGGAGGGGGCAUCCCUAGUAGACUUCAAGCCCUGGUUAUAGCCUGAGGCAAAAAUUUGAAAAGCCUUCUUAUAUAUAGCCUCCUGCAUAGGCCUUAUACUCCUCUAGUUGUGCUUCGCAGGCAAGAUGAAUUAUAUCUUUAAGCUCCAAAGAGUUUUUAUACUAUUGUAGGCACUCCUCGCAAGCCCGCUGGACCCUAUCCCUUGCGGCUCAGGCAUCCUUCAACAAGGCAGAACAUCUCUUCUCCAGAGCAGUGACUUUUUGGUGGAGUUAUUGUUGCUGAAGGUGAGACUCCUCCGCUGCCAAGGCCAUGCCUUUCAGGUCCUCGAUGUGUUUAUUGAGCUCCUAUUGGAGGACUGCAACGCGAGCUAUGGCCUCAUCACGCUGGUCCCUAGCCUCAUCACGCAAGUUGACGACCGGACUCCUCUAAAGAGGACAACUAUGAUAAGGCAUCGUCUCAUUGAGACUCAGCUGCAGAAGCUCGGCGGGAAGCUGACGGGAAGCCCGGGCGGCCUCCUCUUUCAUAUUCCCCAGCUUGAGUAAGGUCCUUAAUGACUCCUUUCAGCUCGACAAUGUAAUACCCGGCUAGACUCCGGUAUCGGAAUUCCUACCGUCCGGUGGAAUUUCGAGUGUCGGAAAUCUCUAGAAGGGUAAAAUCAUGUUUUUAUGAAAUGUUUUAAUGUAUUUUAUGGUUUUAAGUAAAGAGAAAGUGAGUUUUUGCAUGAAAAUUUAUCUUGGAGGAAAACCCAGGUUUGGCCGCCGAACCUCAAGUUCGGCCGCCGAACAUGCAUGCACUUCGGGAGUGCUUUAGGCCCCCGAAGGCAUAAGUGAGGAAAGCCCAGGUUCGGCCGCCGAACCUUAUGUUCGGCCGCUGAACAUGGCAUGCAUGCGGAGGCACGUUAGGCCCCCGAAAGUGGCCUGGCCAGCCACCUAUAAAGGGGUCCCUGCCGAAAAUGCCGAAACAGGCGAGCUUUCUCCCCAUUUUUGGCCAAGUGAGCUUCCGUCAUUUUCCCUUGCCGAUCUAGUGUUCUUCCUUCAAAUCCCCACUGUUUUCUUGAGUUUUUAACUUUGCAUUGAAGUUUUUUUGAGCUAAGAGCAAGUUGUGAGGCUUGAAAGACUCAGGAGCUCAUUUCUUUGGAUCUCCCAAGUUAGGUCGUCUCUCUCUCGAUCUUCAAGAGGUAAGAGCCGAUCUUAAGCUCAUUUUAUGUUUUUAACAAGUUUAAGUUGAUUCAUGGGGUAGAAAUGCAUGUUUAGGAUAGUUGAGCUUUGAUAAGGUUUAUGUAGUUUUAUGGACAAUGUGUGUUGGAUAUGCAUGUUUGAUGUGUUGUAGUUGGGGUUUAGGAUAGUUUGAGACCCCUAGGUGUUGAUGUAUGAGUGUAUGCAUGUUUUGAGAGGUUUGGAUGCAUGAUUGAAUGUUUUGGAGGCAAAUGUGCAUGUUGGAGCAGAGUUUCUGCCCAUUUGAGAAACUCAGGUUCGGCAGCCGAAAGGACUUUCGGCUGCCGAACCUGCCAGUGAAGGCAAGCCCUUCGGCUGCCGAAGCCUGUCCCUGAAAGUGGACUUUCGUCUCUGGAGGGGACUUUCGGCCGCCGAAGGUGCCGCCGAACAUGCAUGAGUUUCGUCUCUGGAGGGAACCUUCGGCCGCCGAAAGUGUUGCCGAAGGUGCAUGACUUUCAGCUCUGGAAGGACUUUCGGCCGCCGAAGGUGCCGCCAAAAGUGCCCUGUUCAGCCAUUUCUUACAUGUUUUCUAUGAUUGUUUCUAGGUGUUUUUAGGGGGUUUUUGGGGGAAUGUUUAGACUAUGUCAGUAUAUGUUUGGUCCUUCAUCUGAGUCUACCUGUGUAGGUUCGGACCCGAGGAACCGAGGAGGUCAGCAGUGCUAGCUGCUUCAGAGUCCUUAGAGCAUCAGCCAGAGGUGAGUAGAACAGAACUUUGACUUAAAUUUUAAUAGAAUGUUUAGCAUGACCCCAUGCAUCAUAAAUGCCAUGCUUAUGUAGGUUGUCUUGCACUAGUAUUCACGAAUAUGAUGCAUUGCAUUUUUAUUGUUGAUGUGGAUGGAUGUUGGAUGACCCACUAGCUCUCAGUAUGUAACCUAGAAAGUCCAGGGCUGCCCAUGCCACGCGUCCGGGCAAAUGCAUGAUUGUUUAUGAGAAAUGAGUGUUAUUGGUGACAAGUCCGUCCUUGAUGUGAAAUGUCUGUGUUAUGAUGCAUUCCAUGAAAGCAUGAAUAAUUAUAAUGUUUUAUGGUUCUGCUCACUGGGCUUUUUAACUCACCCCAUUCCCUUAACCCCACAGGUUUGCAGGUACGAGGCAGUCAGGGAAGUCAACUAGAAUAGCAAGGUUUCUUGGUUAUGUAAUAGUUUAGAUGUGGACAUGAUAAGUUGUAAUGUAAAAGUAUUAUGUAGUUAUGGGAUGUAAAAAUGUUAUAGAGGUUUAAAAUUGGUGCUUGACCCUAGUAUGUUGUAAAUCCCCUUUUAUAUACAUGAUCUUUAUAUUAUGAUGUUUUGAUAGACCAAGCUUAAAGUAUGUUAUGAUAUCGCAUUGGAGCAUUUGAUGAGGGCUCCAGUGUGUGGUUUAUGCUUAUGUUGAUGUGCAUGCACAGGUUAAGCUUGGCAAUAGGAAAAGAAAAAGUUUAUAUGUUUAUGAUAUGUAUGAUCAUGUAUGGGAUUAAACAGGUUUACAGGUUUAUGUUGGCUUGCUACGGGUCCCGGCGACCUUAUGUCGAACUGGAUCCUAGCGCCGGUAGCGGUCCGGAUUUCCGGGUCUUUACAGACAAUUUGCCCUUGUUCCUCACCAGUGGCAGUAAUAUUCUCGUCCCUGCACUCCUCAGUGAUGCGCUGCACCAUCGAGCUCUAGAAUGACCAGUUUUGAGCAUCGAUCUCGAUAAACACUCCGAAAGCCUGCCACAAAGAAAGAAAAAGACAGAGUUAGAAAAAUCAAGGGAGAUAUAAGUAUUCUCAAGAAAAACACAAUAGCUUACCAUAAGGAGCAUCUCCCUUAGGCUAUCUUCGAGGUCGUCUAGGGAGCAAGCACUGAAUGUUGCUUGCUGCAUAGUGGAGCAGGCAAGGUGGCUGACGAAGGCUAGGAAGUGAGGAUCUAAAGCGUUUGGAGCACCACCAAACAUUUUAUUACAAAGCUCCUUGGUGGUUGAAGCUGGUGUAGAUUCAAGAGUCACAUCGGCAUCGUUGAGGGAUUCAUUGUCAAGGGCUGAGGAUAGUAGCUCCACAACCCUUUUUCCUUUGUCAGCAGAAGGGGGAGGCACGGUCUUGGCAGGAUCUGCGGCCUGAGCCCUAUUAGCAGCUCUACCUUCAGGAGUGGGCUCAGAAGUCCACGCCCGCUUACCGGUGGCCCCUCCAAUCACAACAGCAGUGAUGGUCUGAAGAGGUUGGAUGUCCAAAGGAGCGACCUCAGCACCUCCCUUAGAACCGCCCUUAGCAGAUUCACUGAUGGUGGUAGGCUCCUUGGAGGUCCGCUUAGGAGCUGCCAGGGACUUGGCCAAGGCCGACGCAUUGGCAGGAACAAAGGCCUUUGAAGUUGCAGAACGAGAGCCUUUUGUAGUAGAUGUCAACGCUAGAGCAGGGGCAGAAGCAAGAGUUCGGCUUGCAGAGGUAGGGGCAAUAACCUGGAAAACCUCACGAGUCAUGUCCGCCACAGACUUACCGGCCUUGAAGGCUUCCAGCGUGGCCUUCAUGCUCUCCCUAGAUAGGGUAAAAUUCUUCGGCAAUUUGAGGUUGUCCAUGGGCGAGGCAAAAGCUAAAAAAGAGAAAACAAUACAAGUCAGAACUCAGGAUAACAAAAAAAAUACAAUUAGAAGAGAAAAAUAAGAAAGCAAUAAUUAACAAUACCAGCUUCUCGGUAGUCCCGGAGGUUAGAUAUGAACAUGCACUUCUCGAUAUCACACUUCUCGAUAUCGCACUUCUCGACAUCAUACUUCUUCUGUAUAGAGGUUAGACAUGAACAUGCACUUCUCGACAUCAUACUUCUUCCGUACAGAGGUCAAUCGAAAAAGGUAGAUCUGGUCAACCAGGAUCAGCCAGAGAAGGUCAUUGCAGCCCUGAGGGACCUCUCUCCAAGAGAGAUCAACAUCUCAGCUGAUCUCCUAGCUCUCCUUUAGCUCGACCAUCACGAAGGUCUUGGUCCAGCCUUUUAUUGAAUCUUUAUACCCAGCAAAGAUGGACAACCCCCCUUCCCCUUAGGAGCAAAGUAGUAAAACCUAUGGUUAGCCCAGACGAGGCAGAAGAAAGUGGAGAACAGAGCAACGGAAGGAGCAAAACCCUAACACAGCAAACAAAUUCAAAGGAGCACAUGAAGAGAAUGGAAUUUGGGGAUAACAUGCGAGGGGUCACACUAAAAUACUGAAAUGGAUAAAAAUCUCGAUGAAAAAAGGGGUGAAGGGGAAGGUCAACCCAAAAUCACAUUGCUUAACGAAAAAAAUUAAGUUGCGACCCUGCUGGGGUCUGUCAAGCUCGCCGAAGGUGGAUUGGGAAGGACAAUCCUCUCAUUGUCUAGAGGAGCCCUAAUCCUAUAAAUGGAGGUAUCGAUGUACUCGCUGGAGAAAAAAUUAGAAAGAAAAGAAGGAGUGACAAAGGAUAUCAAAUCUAUGACCUCAGGAAUAGAGUGGGACGUACCUCAGAGCAGAGAUUGCAGAGGCGAAGGAGAACAAUUUAACGGGAGGAGAGUGAGAAGAAGAGUCGAAAGCAAAAUCGAAAAUACGAAUUUGAAAUGGGUAAAGCCGGAGAGAAAAUGUUUUGAUAAGAGUCGCGCGGUCAUAAUUGAAGUUUUGAGAUUUUCCCUCAUUAAUCAUGGAAUAACUAAUGAGCAGGUAAAGGAGCACUUGAUGAUCGCUGGGUCUUUGCUUCCCGGCCGCAGUCAAGCCCAUGUAGGAGAGCAAGGUCAUAACCCACUAGAGCCCAAUACGCAAGUCUAUCCUCUAGCAUGCGGUCCAGAUCACGCUUAGGCAGGACGGGCAAAAUGAGGCUCGAGCCCAACAAAGAAGGAUCUAGCUCACCUGACUUGAUGGGUCAGUGGGGGGAAUAGACCCCUCCAUAUCCAGAACCAUGUCAGCACGAGCAUCGAAGGAAAUUAAAUAGCCGCCUGAUGAUGGAAAAAGGGAGCAGUACGUCCAUACGUACGGUUUUGUAUGAUAGCGGCAUGUGGCACUAUAAUAGGGUGGCAGUUAUAUGUCACUAAAAAACAAAAUGGAAAAAGAAUAAAGGAAGGUGUGAACUAUUCAAACUAAGCUUACACGCACAUACCCAAAACUCUAUCCUUUUCUGAUCAUCAAUAAAAAUUUACCAAAAGCCUAAAAAUCAAAAUCAAACCAAACAAACAAGAUCAACUCAAAAAUGGAACCCAAUUAAACCUAAACAAGAAAAACUAAAUUCAAAUCAAAUCAAAAUGAGAAACCAACAAAAGCACCGACCCUAAUAGCAAUCUCCAUCGGCACCGACUCAAGCCUCAAUCCGUUAUUGGAAUCGAAGAGAACAAAGCGCUGAAUAUAGCAACCAAGGCCUACGCGAACAAUACCAACCACAGACAUGUAAGGAAAGAAAAGAAAGCAGACAAGCACCAAAUCCCACAAACAUCAAGGAAAGAGAGUACAACAAGCCAAUCACUGGAGAAACUAACGAAAAAUACCCAAGGUAGAAUAAACCCAAGCAGCUUUAAAAUACUAGACUCAAAGGGACGACGCGACAUAACUCUCAACAAAAGCGAUGGUCACCAAACGUAAUGUUGCAGACCUAGUUCAUGGAUAUAGUCACUGAGCAUAAGUGUAUACAUUUAUAUGUGUAGGUGGAAAUCAAGUUAAAUUUCUCGUUUAUCUUAAUAAACAAUAAAUAACUUGCUAUUUUUAUGAGACUUUUAUAUUUAAUUUUUUAUUGCCCUCAACACGAAAUUAAUAGGUCAAUUAUUGAAUUUGACUCAAUUUUUAACCCUUGAAUUGGAUCUUAAUAUAAAGUAUAGAGAAACCUUAAUCAUUGAGAUUUUUUUUUUCUUAAAAGAAAGUAAGAAGUAAAAUGUACUUUAGAAGCCAUGCAUAAUACACAUAAAAAUAUAUCAAUAGGGAGUGAGGUUUUAAAAAAUUUAAUAAUUUGAAAAAAAAAUAAAAAAAAGAAUAACUAUGAUAGAUAAAUGAAGGGAAAAGAAAAAUUGAUAAACUACUUUUACCUCUUACUUUUCAUCUAUUUAUAUUAUUUUUCCUCUUUUACUAUUUUUUAAAUUGAAUUUUCUAUUUUAUUUUCCAUUGAAAUAAAAAGAAUUAUAAAGUAUAUAUCAAAACCCCAAUCAAAAUAAAGUAAAUAAAUUUUAUUAAAAUUAUUUAUUUAGAAGAGAUAAAAGGGCGGAAAGGAUAAGAACAACAUUAUUUAUAAAGCAAUUAAUAAAAUGUCACUAUUAAUUAUUUUUUGGUUUAAAUAAUGGAAACUUUCUGAUUGUUGCAUUAAGUCAUUGAUGGGACCCAUGAGCCCAUGUCUAUUUAUCACUAAAAAAAUAUUUACCACUUGCUGCGCAUUAAUAAAAACGAAACUCAUUAAUAAAUUUAUAUGCAUUGCACAAAAUGAAAUUGACUCGCCGCUGGAGUCCACAUGCUGCCCAUUUUACGCCAACUUCAACAUUAUAUAUAUAUUAUAUUUUAAAGGAAAACGAAGGUCUGAAUGCUAAAGUUACCUACCGUCUUCCAUCACCCUUUCCACAUCUCCCUCUCUAUCUCUGACCAUUCAUUCACACUGAAUAUACUUGCAAGAAAGUUCUGGUCGUGGUUGCAUAAGUCUGCAACUUCUGACGACCUCUAGCUUGGGGCUGAACGGGGCAGAUCGCCGGAUGGAUACUAGAGGUAUUAAUUGUUGUAGCUGAAACUGUGGAACCAAAUAGUAUUAGUUUCAUAGAGCUUUCAUUUCAUUUCAUCAACUAAUUGAGGCAUGUUGUUUAUUCUAUGGUCACUAAGCACAGAUCCGAAUGAAUCUGCCUUAUCUCCGUCUGCAUCUGAGAAUUAUGACCGUAUUGGGCCAAAGCCAUAUUCAUACGGUGAACUAGCAAAGGCAACUGGUCUUUUCUCGCACAAUAACCUAAUUGGUCGAGGUGGUUUUGGUCAUGUUUUUAAGGCAUCCUUAGAUGGCGAGACUCGUGCUAUCAAGAGACUUGAUUAUCCGGGUAUAGAGUCCGAAGGAGAUUUGGAAAGGGAGAUUAUGGUCGUCAAAAGCAUCAGUCACAAAAACCUCGUUGAACUGGUUGGUUAUUGCAUUGAUGGAGCCAAUAGAUUGCUUAUUUUAAAGUAUUUUCCAAAUGGGUCUUUGAGAUCUAAAUUAGAUGGUGAGUCCCAUAUCCUUUAUUUUACGUUUCAUGUAACUAACGCGACAUAAUUAAUCUUGUAAAUUACAAAUGGUUUUGGUUUUGUAGGGAAGGAGAAUGUUUUAGACUGGAAAAAAAGAAUGAAUAUUGCUAUAGGUUCUGCAAGAGGAUUGGAAUAUCUACAUGAACACUGUAAGUAUGUAGUACAACAUAUUCCUACUUGGCAGGAUUUUAGCUUUAGAGAGUGAAUUUAUUUUUUAUUUUCUGUUUUUGUAAUAAUUUAUUUUCUCUUAAAAUUUUAUAUUUUCUCUAUAUCUUUUUCAGGUGAACCUAAAAUUAUACAUUUAGAUAUCAAGCCGGAUAAUAUUCUUCUUGAUGAACAUUUUGAACCUAAGGUAAAAUAAUUUUAUAUUAAAUAAAUAUUUUAUUUAUAUUUAUCACAUUUAUAUACAUAGUGGAACCUUGAUCACUGAAUACUGAAAUUUUAUUUUUUGAAUUGAACUCGUUGUUUGUAUAAUAUGAUUGUUGGAAUUAAUUAAUAAAUCAGGGUUCUACUUCUGUUUUGGUUUGGCCAUAUAUUUUUGGCUUUUUUAAUAAAAAUUAUUGCUUAUAGGUGAAGGCAAAAGUUGAAGGAAAGUUUGAUUUUCUUUUAUAUCUUGGAUCAGUAGCAGUACAUGUAUAUAUAUACAGUGGGUACAAUAGACUUGACUUAAAAUAGGUUUACAAAAAAUGUAAUACACAUGAAAGAACUGAAAACAGUUUUUCUAACCUAACUUUGGCGCCAUUAUUUUCCACGUGGCUUAACAUCCCCUGCAAAUUGAAGAGUAUAUAUCAAACAUCCCCAGCUUGGAUAAUAUUUCUCGAAAAGGAGCAAUAGGUAUGGGCUUUGUGCAAAUAUCAGCGAGUUGGGCAGCUGAUGGUAUUGGAAGGAGCUUAAUCAACCCAGAGAGCAGUUUUUCACGAACAAUAUAGCAGUCUAUCUCAAUAUGUCUUGUACAUUCAUGAAAAAUAGAAUUCGCAGCAAUCAAUCCAGAGAGCAGUUUUUCACGAACAAUAUAGCAGUCUAUCUCGAUAUGUUUUGUACGUUCAUGAAAAAUGGAAUUCGCAGCAAUUUGUAUAGCAGGUUUGUUAUUGCAAUAGAUAAUGGCAGGUUGAGGUGACUGACAAAUAGGUCAUGAAGAAGAUACAAUAGCUACUGUACUUCACAGGUGAUAGUUGCAAGAGCUCGAUAUUCAGCUUUAGAGGAGCUCCGAGAAAUGGUGGACUGCUUCUUUGCCUUCCAAGAAAAUAGAGCGGAUCCUAGAAGGAGUCAAAAUCUUGUAACAAACUUUUGGGUGUCAGCACAACUUGCGCGGUUGAACUAGUAGAGAAGAAAAGACAUGCACUCGGGAGCUCUUGAUAUAAUGUAAUAUUCGAUGGGCUGUUUGUAAAUGAAUAGAGGUGGAGCGAUCCAGGAACUGACUAAGUUGUUGAACUGCAAAGGAAAUACCAGGUCUUGUGGAUGUCAAAUAGAGUAAUCGCGCUAUCAGUCUUCUAUAGGAAAGGAUAUCAUCCAAGGGUGUGCCAAAAUCAAUAAUAAGCUUAGUUUUGGAGUCCAUAGGAGUGGGAGAUGGUUUGCGAUCUAAAAAGCCAGAGUCAUUAAGGAUGUCAAGGGCUAUUUACGCCGACAAAGAGAGAUGCCAGCUUAGUUCUUGCUACUUCCAACCCCAGAAAAAACUUCAAAUCACCAAGGUUUUUUAUUUUGAACUUGUUAUCAAGAAAAGAUUUAACAGUGUUAAUUUCUUGUAAAUUUGUGCCAGCUAAGAUAACAUCAUCGACAUAAACCAAUAUCAGAGUGAUGUGAACAUCAUGUUUCUUAUCAAAGAGGGAAUAGUCCGAGAUAGACUGUUUAUAACUCAGGGAGACAAGAGCAUUAGACAAUUUUGAAUACCAUUGAUGAGUGGCUUACUUUAAACUAUAGAGUGACUUGUUUAAGUGACAAACUUUAUUAAAUUGAGAGGUAGUAAAGCCUGGAGGAAGUGUUAUGUAUAUUUUUUCAUGAAGAUCUCCAUGAAGGAAUGCAUUAUUGAUGUCCAACUGUUGUAAAAACCAUCCAUUAGCAGCUGCAAGAGCUAAGAGAAGUUGCACAGUGGUUAUCUUAGUAAGAGCUCUUGAUAUAACGUAAUAUCUGAUGGGUUGUUUGUAAAUGAACAGAGGUGGGGGAGAUCCAGGAAUUGACUAAGUUGUUGAACUGCAAAGGAAAUGUCAGGUCUUGUGGAUGUCAAAUAAAGUAAUCCCACUAUCAGUCUUCUAUAGGAAAGGAUAUCAUCCAAGGGUGUGCUAGAAUCGAUACUACGUUUAGUUUUAGAGUCCAUAGGAUUGGGAGUGACUGUGCGGUUGUCGAAGCAGGUCAAAAAUAACCUUUUUGGUUAUCAACAAUUUUACAACUGUAGAUAGUGGCAAAAGGAUGAAAUCCACAGGGAAUUGAUACUUACUUAUUUUCCUAAUCAAGACCAAGUAAAUAAAUAGACAAUAAGAGUAAAUUGGGAGGGGGGUUUUGAAGAUUGAUGACUAAACUAGCAAUAAAGUAAAGCAAAUAAUAAAAUAAAGGAAAUUCAAUAAUGAGAAAGGCCUAGUUGGAGAGUCAGAUCCACUUUAGUUGUUGGGGUUGAUUAUUGAUACUUAUAUUCUUUUAAUUGACUCAAUAAAUUAGUUAUGGAGGUGGAAGAUACUUCUCACCUCCAUAUCCCUCCUUAAGCAUAGAUUAAUUAGGGAACGUCCUCUAAUUAAUCACUAAUUAACAAGUUGCCAAGGAACAUCCUUGGGGCUUUAAGCAUCUAACAACUGUCAAUUGCAUUAAGAAAUAGAGAGACCUAAUUCUAGCUACCCAAACGUAUGGUGAUGUUGCUAGAUCAUGCAAUUUCCUUAGUUUUUACACCAAGAGUUACUUUUGUUUGAAUAAUUCAAGAAAUUACGGACUUAAAACUAUCCAAACUAACAAAUUAUUACCUUGUAAUCAAGAAUCAAUAGAUCCUAGUGAUCUAAAUAACAAAGCAACAAUAGAAUUAAGCAUGAAAUUGCAUAAAUAUUGAUAAAUAAAAGAUUAACAUAAUAUGUUCAAAUCUCCCAAUCCAUAAACAACUAAAGUUUCACCUAAUCUUCAACUAGAAAAAAGGGUUUCAGCCACUCAUGGCUGAAACAAACAUGAAAAAUAAAGAAAGAAAACCAAAGAAAGGAAGAGGAAGGCCAAUCCGCCGGCUGGAGUGGUAUGCUGGUGGCGCGCGGUUGCUAUGCAGCUUCUGCCGAAGAUGAAUGAUGAUCCAAAGAUGGUUCUUUGCUGGUUUGCUUGUCCUUUUAUAGCUGAGGAGGUUGCCCUAGGUUUUCUUGUUGAGAUGGGAUUCCUUUUCCUACUUGGAGUUGAAUUCUUGAAAGCAAUUGUAUCUUCUUGAGAUUUGGCUUCCUAAAUAUGUAGGAUAGAGAACUGAGGUGUAUUAUUGACUUGCUAAGUUGUCCCCACGUGUUUGGUGUGCAAAAGACUUCUUGAAGACUUGGAUUCCAAGUUUCCCGCAACUGCUGUCUUCUGUCGUAAGUGCUUGUUUGCCCGGGUUGUGUGGGCAAACAACUCAGGCAAACAGUCUGUCUUGCCUGUUGUCUGUGCACUGCUUCUGCCCUAUGGGCUUGUUUCCCUAGUUUGCCUGGACAAACAAUAUAGUCAAACAGCAAGUCUGUAUUUUCCUUAUUCCUCUCCCAAUUCAUCUGCAACUUGGUUUGAGCAAACAACUUGGGCAAACCAGACUUGUUCUCUUUUGCUCUCUUUUAGGCGGAUUUAAGGCCAUUUUUACCAAAUUACCCUUUUACUCAAUUUUCUGCAAAAUAAGAUCAAUACCACAAAAUUAGGUAGAAAAUGUGUAAAUCAACAUAAAUAACAAAAUUAGUUGCUUGCAUCGCACAUGAUUUCAAAGGGAAAGUUCCAAUCAGGUGCUUGAAUGAUUGGGGCAGUCACUAGUAAUUCUUUUAUUAGAUCAAAUGCUAUCUUGCAAAUUGCAUCAAAAUCAAAUGUUACAUCUUGUUGGAGAUGGUUGGGUGAUUUUGGAGAAAUCUUUUAUAAAUCUUCUGUAGAAUCCUGCGUGGCCAAGGAAGGAACGGAUUUCUCUAACAUUUGUGGGGUAGGGCAGAUUUUUUAUGGUGUCCACCUUGGCUUUGUCCACUUCAAUUCCUUUGGCUGAAACAACAUGGCCUAGGAUCAAACCUUGGUUAACCAUGAAGUGGCAUUUUUCAUAUUUAAGCAUAAGAUUUGAUUCAAGGCACCUCUGUAGGAUUUUUUUCAGAUUAGCAAGGCAUUCUUCGAAAGAGUUACCGUAUACCGUGAAGUCAUCCAUGAAGACUUCAAUGAUUUUCUCCACAUAAUCAGAAAAUAUGCUCAUCAUACAGCGUUGGAAGGUAGUAGGCGCAUUGCAUAGUCCUAAUGGCAGUCUUUUGAAUGCAAAGGUGCCAAAAGGAAAAAUGAAGGUGGUCUUUUCUUGGUCUUCUGGGGCCACUGGAAUCUAAUAAAAUCCUGAAUAACCAUCCAAACAGCAAUAGUGUGACUUACCUGCAAGCCUCUCUAGCAUUUGAUCAAUGAAGGGUAGAGGGAAGUGAUCCUUCCUUGUUGCUGCAUUUAGCUUCCUAUAGUCCAUGCAUACUCUCCAUCCAUUCUUAACACGAGUUGGAACAAGUUCUCCCUCGGAGUUUGGAACAAUGGUGAUCCUAGUUUUCUUCGGGACUACAUGUACAGGACUUACCCAUUUACUAUCAAAGAUUGGGUAGAUGAUUCUUGCAUCUAGUAGUUUGACUAUCUCCUUUUUCACCACUUCCAUCAUAGGGGGGUUUAGUCUCCUUUGAGCAUCUUGGACAGGCUUGCAGUAUUCUUCCAUGUGUAUCCUAUGCAUGCAUGUGGCAGGUGAGAUGCCUUUUAUGUCGUCAAUGGUCCACCCUAUUGCUCCCUUCUAUUUCUUUAGUACUUGAAGGAGGUUUUUUUUUUCUUCUUGUUGGCUUAAUUGAUUUGACAUUAUUACUGGAUGUGUCUUUUCAGCUCCUAAGUACAUGUAUUUCAAGUGUCCAGGAAGAGGCUUCAAAUCCGGGUUUGAAAUUUUCUGAUCUGCUGGUUGCUAUUUGGGCAAACACAAUUCUGCCUCAUCUUCCUCUGCUGGUGGUUUGGUCGAACAACAGCUCACUUGUGCUAUCAAUCCGGUUGUGCUGGAUUCUGCCCUCUCAUGCUGUUUGGGCAAAUAGCGAAUUUCCUCAUGUUCCUCUGCUGGUUUUUUAGGUAAACAGUGUUCUGACUUUCCAGGUGCCUUUGCUUCAGUCAAAUGGUAUUCUGUCGAAGCUGUUUGCCCAAUUGGUUUGGGCAAACUGUGUUCUUCUUGCUGAAAUGGUAUGGGCAGGCUACAAGCUGUCUGCGUCUGCUGAACCUGUUUGGGCAAACAGCAGUUUGCCUUGCCUUUCUCUGCUGUCUGUUUGGGCAGACAAUAACCUGCCUGCUGAGUGCAGCAGAUUGCUUCUGUCCGUUUUAGCUUUCCUUGGCUUCCCUCAUUUUCUUGGCUGGCCUCCCUGCAAAAAUCAUUAUUUAGCAUAUCAUUUUGAUUCAUAUCAAAAAUUUCUUGGCUUAGACAAUCAAUGAUAUCUAAACCAUAAAUAGGGAACAUGUCAUGGGGAUAUUUCAUAGCAUCAUAGACAUUGAAUUUAUUACUUCCCCUUCAAAUUUCAUGGUCAAUGUGCCAUCAUGCACAUCAAUCUUAGUCCUGGCCGUGCUCAAGAAGGGUCGUCCAAGCAAUAUGUCUGAGGUAGUGUUGCUAUUGUCUUCCUCCAUAUCAAUCACAUAGAAAUCUGCUGGAAAGACAAGUUGAUCUAUUUGGACUAGAACGUCUUCUAGAAUGCCUUUUGGGUAUACCACGGAUCUAUCAGCCAAUUGGAUAACCACUCUAGUGUCCUUAAGUGCACCUGCAUUCAAAGAAUUAUAAAUAGAAAGAGGCAUAACAUUAAUUGAUGCACCUAAGUCACACAUGGCUUUCUUGAUGUCAACAUUGCCAAUUUUGCAAGAAACAGCAAACAUCCCUCGAUCUUUGCACUUGGCUAGUAGUUUUCUCUUAAUGACAGCAGUAACUACUUCACCUACACUUACCUUUUCUUUUUCAGCAAGCUUCCUUCAGUUUGUGCACAACUCUUUCAAGAAUUUUGCAUACCUUGGUAUUUGUUUUACCGCAUCAAGCAAAGGUAUGUUAAUCUCCACUUUUCUAAAGGUUUCAAGGAUCUCUCUUUCUUCUUUUUCUUUUUGUGAUUUUUCAAACCUUUUUGGAAAAGGAGGUGGAAUCUUGAAGCUUACUUGCUGGUUUGUAUUCUGCUGGUGUACUAGUGUUGUUUGCCCAGUCUGUUUGGGCAAACAGCACUCUGGCUGCUUGGGCAAACUGUCCCUAUCCUGCUGUGUAUGUUGUCUGCUUGUUUGCCCAGUCUAUUUGGGCAAACAACAGUCUGUCUCAGUUUCUGGCAGAUUUUCUUUAGCCACUUGUCUUUGCAAUUCUGAACCUCUAUCAUCAACCUUGACAUCUUGAAGUUCUUUCCCACUUCUUAACAUUAUGGUACUUACAUUUUGCUUGGGAUUGGCCUCGGUUUGGGAUGGCAACUUUCCUUUAGAUUCAAGUUUACUCACAGAGGUGGCUAUUUGACCCAUUUGCUGUUGGAGACUUUGCACAAUGUUCACCAAUGACUUCAUCAUCUCCUCAAGGUGCGUAUUGGACCUUGGAGGUGCUAUUUGGGCUGGAUUUCUUGGAUAAUUUUGGUAGUUGUUAGCCCUAGCAUAGCUGAAGUUCGGAUGGUCUAUCCAACCGGGAUUGUAGGUGUUAGAAUAUGGAUCAUCUCUUGGUUGUCCAUUAAAUCCUCCAAUGGCAUUUACUUGCUGGUCAUCCUCUUGAAGUGUAGGACAUUGAUCAGUUGGGUGUCCCACAUGUGCACAUAUCCCGCAUGGCCUUAUUUGCUGAAGUUGUUGAGCUUGUUGGGAUUGACUUAUAACAAGACUUCUCACAGCAGAGGUUAGUUCAGAAAUUUGAGAUGUAAGAGCAGAUGUAAGAGCAGAUGUACUUACCUCAUUGACUCUCCUUGGCAACUGUAACAGCCCGGGAAUCCAGACCGCUACCGGCGCUAGGAUCCAGAUCGGCGUAAGGCCGUCGGGACCCGUAGCAAGCCUGACAUCUAACCUGUAAACCUGUAAACAUUUGCAUAUCUCAACCAAGCUCAACCUGUACAUUACAUAAUCAUAAACAUAAACCACCACUGGAGCCUUCAUCAAAUGCUCCAAUGGGGUAUCUCAUCAUAUGUUGAGCUUGGACUAUCAUGAACAUCAUAAACAUAUCUAUAGAUCAUGUAUCAAAAGGGACAACAAUACUCAUAUGGUCAAGCACAACUAUAACCACAAUACAUAACAUUACAUAACUGUUCUAUACUCUUACAUUUCAUCAAUUACAUUUGUCAUGUCCACAAUCUAACUAUUACAUAUGCAUACUUCAAGACUCUGGCUAACCUCCUGGUCUACCCUGUACCUGCACAUCUGGGGUUAGGAGAGAGGGGUGAGCUAUAUAGCCCAGUGAGCAGAAUAUAGAAAACAUAUAUUAAAAUUUCAUGCUUUCAUGAAAUUCAACACACCACAAACAAAUCACAUAAGGAUGAACUUGUCACCAAUGGCCCUCUACAUGGUCCAAUGAGGUCCAACUGUGCCAGAACGUAGAAUGGGUCCUGGUCUUUCUCUUACUCUGUGCCAGGGACGUAGAAUGGGUCUUCCUGGACUUUCUCUUACUCUGUGCCAGGGACGUAGAAUGGGUCUUCCUGGACUUCCAUACCAUAUCAUCAUAAUAUCAUACUAUACGAGGACCAAUGGAUCAUCCAACAUUCAUCCGCAUCAACAACAAAGUAUGCAAUGCAACAACUUCGUGAAUACUAAUGCAAACACCCUAUAAUAUCACAUGGCAAAUAUGAUGCAUGAUCAUGCUCAAAAAGUUAUAUCUCAUUUAUUUAAAAACUUAAGGUUUAUUCCACUCACCUCUGGCUGAAGCUCUAAAGACUCUGACAAUCUCUGUAGCAGCUGGCUCACUGCUGGGGUCCUCGGUUCCUCGGGUCCGAACCUACACAGGUGGACUCCAAUGAGGGACCAAACAUACACAAACAUAACUCUAAUGUACUCCCCAAAAACCCCCUGAAACAUCAUGAAAAAACCAUAGGAAUACAUGCAUGAAAUGGCUGAACAGGGCACUUUCGGCGGCAGGUUCGGCGGCCGAAAGUCCCUCCAGAGCCGAAUCCCAGGCAGGUUCGGCGGCACCUUCGGCGGCCGAAAGUCCCAGACAGAGACGAAAGUCUCUUUUCGGGGGCAACUUCGGCAGCCGAAAGGCCUGCCUCCCCAGCCAUGUUCGGCGGCCGAAAGUCCUUCGGCUGCCGAACCUGGUUUCUGCCAAAGGGCAGAAACUUGGCUCCUCUGUGCACAUUUCGCCUCCCAAGCUCAAAUCAUGCAUACCACUCAACCAAAACAUGCAUACAAGCUCCUAGGGGUCUCAAACAAACAUAUACCCCAACUACAACACUUCAAACACACACAAUCAAGCCACAUUGUUCAAGAAUCACAUAAAACCUAACAUAGCUCAACUAAUCCUAAACAUGGAUUUCUACCCCAUAAAACUUUAUAAAACUUGUUUAAAACAUAUAUUGAGCUUAAGAUCGGCUCUUACCUCUUGAAGAUCGAGAGAGAGACGACCGAAACUUGGAGGUCCAAGCAAAUGAGCUCCUGAGUUUCCAAAGCUCCGAAACUUGUUCAAAACUUGAAAAUCUUCAAAACCAAAGUUACAAACUUGUAAAAAUCAUGGAAAAUGAAAGGAAAAACUCAAGAUUUGUGAAGGAUGGCGGAAAGCUCACCUUGGCCGAAAUGGGGAGAAAAAGCUCGCCCGUUUUCGGCUAAGGGACCCUUUUAUAGUGGCUGGCCAGACCACGUUCGGGGGCCGAAAGUGCUUCCGCAUGCAGGCCAUGUUCGGCGGCCGAACUUGAGUUUCGACGGCCGAACCUGGACUUCCCUCACUCAUGCUUUCGGGGGCCUAACGUGCCUCCAAAACGCAUGCAUGUUCAGCGGCCGAACUUGACUUUCGGCGGCCGAACCUGGGUUUUCCUCCAAAAACUUUUCAUGCAAAAACUCAUUUAAUUUCAUACUUAAAACCAUUAAAAACAUGAAAACAUUUUAUAAAAACAUACUUUUACCCUUCUAGAGGUUUCCGACAUCCGGGAUUCCACCGGACGGUAGGAAUUCUGAUACCGGAGUCUAGCCGGGUAUUACAUUCUCCCCCCCUUAAGAACAUUCAUCCCCGAAUGUUCCUCAACUAGCGCAUGCAUAACAUACAUAUACAUCACAUAAACACAUAAAUACUAACCUCUAAAAGAGAUGGGGAUAUUGCUGGAGCAUGGACUCCCGUGUCUCCCAAGUGCAUUCUUUCAUAUUGUGGUGGUUCCAAAGGACUUUCACCAUCGGGAUUUCCUUGUUCCUCAACUUUCUGAUCUGGGUGUCCAGAAUCCGCACUGGCUGUUCAACAUAGGUGAGAUCCUCUUGGAUCUCCACAUCAGGCUCACUAAGAACCUUGCUCGGAUCUGACACGAACUUUCUUAACAUGGAAACAUGGAAAACCGGAUGGACUCUUUCCAUAGAUGCAGGCAAGUCCAGCUUGUACGAUACAUUCCCAACCUUUUGCAAGACCUCAAAGGGUCCGAUGUAUCGUGGGGCUAGCUUACCUUUCUUACCAAACCGAACCACCCCUUUCAUAGGAGACACUCUGAGCAAUACCAGAUCUCCCUCCUGAAACUCUACUUGUCUUCUGCGAAGGUCUGCAUAACUCUUCUGUCUGCUCAUAGCAGUCUUAAUCCUUUCUCUGAUCAUGGGCACCACCCUGCUGGUGAUCUCUACAAGCUCAGGCCCUGCUAAGGACCUCUCUCCAACCUCUUCCCAGCAAACGGGUGAUCUGCACUUCCUCCCAUACAAAGCUUCAUAUGGAGCCAUCCCUAUGCUGGCAUGAUAGCUGUUAUUGUAGGCAAACUCCACCAAGGGUAGAUGUUGCCUCCAAGAACUGCCAAAAUCCAGCACACACAUUCUGAGCAUGUCCUCUAUAGUCUAGAUGGUCCUCUCUGACUGUCCAUCAGUCUGGGGGUGGAAGGCAGUACUGAAAUCCAACCUGGUACCCAUAGCACUCUGCAGACUCCGCCAAAACCUGGAGGUGAACUGGGGCCCUCUAUCUGACACUAUAGACACUGGGACCCCAUGCAGUCUGACAACUUCAUCCACAUAGACCUGCGCUAACUUAUCCACAUAGUAGUUGCUCCUGGCUGGAAUGAAGUGAGCAGAUUUAGUGAGUCUGUCCACAAUCACCCAUAUGGAGUCUAAUCUGUUGGAUGUUGCCGGUAACCCCACUACGAAGUCCAUAGCUAUAUUCUCCCAUUUCCACUCUGGAAUAGGUAGCGGGUUAAGCAUCCCAGCCGGCUUCUGAUGUUCCAGCUUCACCCUCUGACACACUUCGCAGGCUGACACGAACUGUGCCACUUCCCUCUUCAUAGCUGGCCACCAAUAAACUCUCUUCAGAUCUUGAUACAUUUUGGUGGCUCCAGGGUGAACAUUGUAUUUUGCAUUAUGAGCCUCCCUCAUAAUGUCUCCUUUCAACCCGAUGUCAUCUGGUACACAUAGUCUGUUCCCAUAACGGAGGAUCCCCUUAUCAUCAAAUCUGAACUCCUCAUUCUUGCCCGACUGAACAAUCCUGGCAAUCUUCACUAACUCUGGGUCCUCGUGCUGUUUCUGAGCCACCUGCUCCAGAAACACAGGUGCUACUUUCAUCUGGGCUAUCAAAGCACCUGUACCAGACAACUCCAUCUGUAGACCUUCCUCAAUGAGCUUGGAAAACUCCUUCACCACCGGUCUCCUCUCUGCUGUGAUGUGGGAUAGGCUGCCAAGUGAUUUCCGGCUUAAGGCAUCAGCUACUACAUUAGCCUUACCCGGAUGGUACUGGAUCUUACAAUCAUAGUCACUGAGCAGCUCUACCCAUCUCCUCUGCCUCAAAUUCAGCUCUCUCUGGCUCAAAAUGUGCUGCAGGCUCUUAUGAUCUGUGAAGAUCUCACAUUUUACCCCAUAGAGGUAAUGCCUCCACAUCUUGAGGGCAAAGAUAACUGCUGCCAUCUCAAGGUCGUGUGUGGGGUAAUUCAACUCAUGCCUCUUCAGCUGUCUAGAAGCAUAAGCUAUCACCCUUCCAUUCUGCAUUAGCACACAACCCAAACCUACUCUGGAUGCAUCACAGAACACUGUGAAGUCCUCAUUGCUAGUCGGCAGAGCUAACACUGGUGCUGAAGUCAACCUCUUCUUGAGCUCCUCAAAGCUUUCCUCACACUGGUCGGUCCACACGAACCUCUGAUUCUUUCUGGUCAAUCUGGUUAGAGGAGCUGCUAUCUUAGUGUAUUCCAGGAAUGCAGAGGAGCAUGCCCAUCAUCUGAGGAUAGUUCUACAGACCUUGAGGGAACAUGGCUUGUAUGCCAAGUUCUCCAAGUGUGAGUUCUGGUUGAGAAGCAUCUCAUUCUUGGGGCAUGUAGUGUCAGAGAACGGAAUUGAAGUAGACCCCAAGAAGGUAGAAGCUGUAACUAACUGGCCUAGACCCACCUCAGUGACAGAGAUCAGAAGUUUAUUGGGUUUGGCUGGUUACUACAGGAGGAGAAGUCCUGCCCGGAAAUUCGGACCGCUACCGGCGCUAGGAUCCAGAUCGGCGUAAGGCCGCCGGGACCCGUAGCAAGCCUGACAUCUAACCUGUAAACCUGUAAAUCCCAUACAUGAUCAAACAACUCUAAAGAAUCUGUAAACAUUUUCAUAUCUCAACCAAGCUCAACCUGUACAUUACAUAAUCAUAAACAUAAACCACCACUGGAGCCCUCAUCAAAUGCUCCAAUGGGGUAUCUCAUCAUACGUUGAGCUUGGACUAUCAUGAACAUCAUAAACAUAUCUAUAGAUCAUGUAUCAAAAGGGACAACAAUACUCAUAUGGUCAAGCACAACUAUAACCACAAUAUACCUCAAUACAUAACAUUACAUAACUGUUCUAUACUCUUACAUUUCAUCAAUUACAUUUGUCAUGUCCACAAUCUAACUAUUAUAUAAGCAUACUUCAAGACUCUGGCUAACCUCCUGGUCUACCCUGUACCUGCACAUCUGGGGUUAGGGGAGAGGGGUGUGCUAUAUAGCCCAGUGAGCAGAAUAUAGAAAACAUAUAUUAAAAUUUCAUGCUUUCAUGAAAUGCAACACAUCACAAACAAAUCACAUAAGGAUGAACUUGUCACCAAUGGCCCUCUACAUGGUCCAAUGAGGUCCAACUGUGCCAGAACGUAGAAUGGGUCCUGGUCUUUCUCUUACUCUGUGCCAGGGACGUAGAAUGGGUCUUCCUGGACUUUCUCUUACUCUGUGCCAGGGACGUAGAAUGGGCCUUCCUGGACUUCCAUACCAUAUCAUCAUAAUAUCAUACUAUACGAGGACCAAUGGAUCAUCCAACAUUCAUCCGCAUCAACAGCAAAGUAUGCAAUGCAACAACUUCGUGAAUACUAAUGCAACACCCUAUAAUAUCACAUGGCAAAUAUGAUGCAUGAUCAUGCUCAAAAGUUUAUAUUUCAUUUAUUUAAAAACUUAAGGUGUAUUCCACUCACCUCUGGCUGAAGCUCUAAAGACUCUGACAAUCUCUGUAGCAGCUGGCUCACUGCUGGGGUCCUCGGUUCCUCGGGUCCGAACCUACACAGGUGGACUCCAAUGAGGGACCAAACAUACAUAAACAUAACUCUAAUAUACUCCCCAAAAACCCCCUAAAACAUCAUGAAUUAACCAUAGGAAUACAUGCAUGAAAUGGCUGAACAGGGCACUUUCAGCGGCAGGUUCGGCGGCCGAAAGUCCCUCCAGAGCCGAAACCCAAGCAGGUUCGGCGGCACCUUCGGCGGCCGAAAGUCCCAGACAGAGACGAAAGUCUCUUUUCGGGGGCAACUUCGGCAGCCGAAAGGCCUGCCUUAAUUGAACCUCCACAUGCUACAUGAAUGAAUUUCCUUUUGGAUGGUAGCAAUCCUCCAUAGAAGUAUUCUAUGAGUGAUUUAUCUGAGAUGUCAUGUUGAGGGCAGCUUGUGCAUAGUCUCUUGAAUAUUUCCCAAUAAUCAUACAAAUCUUUAGUCUCUUUUUGCUUGAUGCCACUUAUUUCUCUCCUUAUGCCUAUGGCUUUAGAAGCUGGAAAAUAUUUAUUCAGAAAAGCUCUUACCAUGCCAUCCCAAGAGGUGAUUGAUUCGGGUGGUAGGUAGAAUAACCAAUCUUUGGCAUAAUCAUCAAGUGAGAAUGGGAAUGCUCUUAAUUUCACAUGUUCUUCGGAUAUGCCUUGCGGCCUCAUGGUAGAGUAUACUAUGUGAAAUUCCUUCAAGUGUUUAUGGGGGUCUUCAUUUUUCAAACCUCUGAAUUUAGGUAGUAGGUGUAUCAAACCUGUUUUUAGCUCAAAUGGGGCUGUCAAGGGCGGAUAGGUGAUGCAAAGAGGUGCUUGAUCACCUAUAGGGGCUGCUAACUCUCUUAAUGUUCUUUCUCUUGGAAUUGGUGCCCUUAAUGCUUGAUUUUCUGGUUCAAAUUCAGCAUAGACAGCAAGUUCUGCUGGUCUUCAAACAGGUGCAGCAGGUUGCACAUGAAAUUCAGCCAUCUCAACGGCUGUUUGGGCAAACACAACAGUGUAGCGCUCUGUUUCUGCAAAGGGCUGUUCUAUUUCUGCAGUGUGCUAUUAUGUUUCAGCAGUAGGUGUUGCUGGUCCUGCUGGUACAGCAGCUUCUGGUGCAAUUGCGGAAGUUUCAAUAGGUGUUGUCCCUUAGACAGCAACAGCUUCAGCAGUUGCUGUUUGGACAACAGCUGUUGAUGAGGAUGGCUUUGAGGCUUGGCUCUUCGGAUUGGAUUGCUUCCUUAGUUGUUUGGCUGUACGCUCAUUUUCUGGGUCGUAAAGUAGAGUAUAUUUGUGUCUAGUCCUGGUCAUGAAAGAAAAAUAAAUUAGUUAAAUCAAUUCCCCAGCAACGACGCCAAUUUUUGACUGUGCGGUUGUUGAAGCUGGUAAAAAAUAACCUUUUUGAUUAUCAACAAUUUUACAACUGUAGAUAGUGGCAAAAAGAUCGAAUCCAUAGAGAAUUAAUACUUACUUAUUUUCCUAAUCAAGACCAAGUAAAUAAAUAGACAAUAAGAGUAAAUUGGGGGGAGGGUUUGAAGAUUGAUGACUAAACUAGCAAUAAAGUAAAGCAAAUAAUAAAAUAAAAGAAAUUCAAUAAUGAGAAAGGGUUAGUUGGAGAGUCAGAUCCACUUUAGUUGUUGGGAUUGAUCAUUGAUACUUAUAUUCUUUUAUUUGACUCAAUAAAUUAGUUAUGGAGGUGGAAGACGCUUCUCACCUCCAUAUCCCUCCUUAUGCAUAGAUUAAUUAGGGAACGUCCUCUAAUUAAUCACUAAUUAAUAAGUUGCCAAGGAACGUCCUUGGGGUUUUAAGCAUCUAACAACUGUCAAUUGCAUUAAGAAAUAGAGAGACCUAAUUGUAGUUACCCAAACGUAUGGUGAUGUUGCUAGAUUAUGCAAUUUCUUUAGUUUUUACACCAAGAGUUACUUGUGUUUGAAUAAUUCAAGCAAUUACGGAGUUAAAACUAUCCAAACUAACAAAUUAUUACCUUGUAAUCAAGAAUCAAUGGAUCCUACUGAUCUAAAUAACAAAGUAACAAUAGAAUUAAGCAUGAAAUUACAUAAAUAUUGAUAAAUAAAAGAUUAACAUAAUAUGUUCAGAUCUCCCAAUCCAUAAACAACUAAAGUUUCACCUAAUUUUCAACUAGAAAAAAGGGUUUCAACCACUCAUCGCUAAAACAAACAUGAAAAAUAAAGAAAGAAAACCAAAGAAAGGAAUAGGAAGGCCAAUCGGCCGGCUGGAAUGGUAUGCUGGUGGCACGUGGCUGCUGUGCAGCUUCUGCCGAAGAUGAAUGAUGAUCCAAAGAUGGUUCUUUGCUGGUUUUCUUGUCCUUUUAUAGCUGAGGAGGUUGCCCUAGGUUUUCUUGUUGAGAUGGGAUUCCUUUUCCUACUUGGAGUUGACUUCUUGAAAGCAAUUAUAUCUUCUUGAGAGCAAUUGUAUCUUCUUGAGAUUUAGCUUUGUAAAUAUGUAGGAUAGAGUGCUGAGGUAUAUUAUUCACUUGCUGAGCUGUCCCCACGUGUUUGGUGUGAAAAAGACUUCUUGAAAACUUGAAUUCCAAGUUUCCCGCAACUGCUGUCUUCUGUCGUAAGUGCUUGUUUGCCCGGGUUGUGUGGGCAAACAGCUCAGGCAAACAGUCUGUCUUGCCUGCUGUCUGUGCACUGCUUCUGCCCUGUGGGCUUGUUUGCCCAGUUUGCCUGGGCAAACAAUCUGGUCAAACAGCAAGUCUGUAUUUUCCUCAUCCCUCUCCCAAUUCAGUUGCAACUUGGUUUGAGCAAACAACUUGGGCAAACCAGGCUUGGUCUCUUUUGCUCUCUUUUGGGCAGAUUUAAGACCAUUUUUAUCAAAUUACCCUUUUAAUCCAUUUUCUGCAAAAUAAAAUCAAAACCACAAAAUUGGGUAGAAAAUGUGUAAAUCAACAUAAAUAACAAUAUAAAAAAUGGGUCUAAAAUUUGCUUGAUCAGGGAGCUGGUUUACAAUCUGAAAAGCCAGAGUCAUUAAGGAUGUCAAGGGCUAUUUACGCUGACAAAGAGAGAUGUCAGCUUUAGUUCUUGCUACUUCCAACCCCAGAAAAAACUUCAAAUCACCAAGGUCUUAUUUUCAACUUGUUAUCAAGAAAAGAUUUAACGGUGUUAAUUUCUUGUAAAUUUGUGCCAGCCAAGAUAACAUCAUCGACAUAAACCAAUAUCACUAUGAUGUGAACAUCAUAUUUCUUAACAAAGAGGGAAUAGUCUGAGAUAGACUGUUUAUAACCUAGGGAGACAAGAAUAUUAGACAAUUUUGAAUAUCAUUGACAAGUGGCUUACUUUAAACCAUAGAGUGACUUGUUUAAGUGACAAACUUUGUUAGACUGAGAGGUAGUAAGCCUGGAGGAAGUUUCAUGUAUACUUUUUUAUGAAGAUCUCCAUGAAGGAAUGCAUUAUUAAUGUUCAACUAUUGUAAAAAUCAUCCAUUAGCAGCUGCAAGAGCUAAGAGAAGUCGAGUAAUGGUUAUCUUAGUAACAGGUGAAAACAUAUCAAAAUAAUCAACACCUUCAGUUUGUAUAUAGCCUUUUGCCACUAGACGGGCCUUAUACCUUUUGAUGGAGCCAUCAGCUAUCAGCCUGAUGUUUGAUUUUAAAUACCCGUUUACAUCCUAUGGGAGUAACAUCUUUGGGUAAAUCAACAUCUUUCCAGGUAUGAUUAGCUUUCAGGGCUAGAAUUUUAGCUUGCAUUGCCUGUUUCCAACAGUCAUAUUUGAUGGCUUGGUUGUAAGUUUUUGGCUCAGUGGUGGCAGAUAUUGAUAAGGCGAAGUUUCUAUGAGAUUGAGAUAAGUGGAUAUAAGAAAGGGCUGAGGAAAUAGGAUGAGGACUAGUAAUGGAAGAAAGGUUGCAAUGCUAGUCUUGGAGGUCGGAGGUUGGUUUGCAAGUUCUAUUGGAAACAGGAAUAGAGGAAGGAGAAGGAGAAGAUAUAGGUGGUAUAUAAGGAUCGUCAUAAUCUGAGAGAGUGAAGUCUUGUGGAAGAGAUGGAGGGGCUGGAAUUGUAGAUUGAUGAAAAGGAAAUAUGUUUUCAUAAAAGGUGACAUCUCUUGAAAUAAAAACAGCCUAUGAAUGCAAAUCAAGCAAGAAAAAUCCCUUUAUACCAGAUUUGAAGCCAAGAAAAAUACAUUUGUGGGCCCUUGCAUCAAAUUUGGUCCUAGUGGCUUUUAAAGUAGAGGCAAAGCACAGUGAUCCAAAGACCCUCAGGUCAUUAUAAUUAGGCAUACAAGAGAAAAGGACUUCAAAAGGAGACUUGUUAUGAAUCAGAGGACUGGGCAAUCUGUUUAUCAAGUGAACAGAAUGCAAGAUAGCAUAGGACCAAUAUGGAAGAGGUAACUUGGAUUGAAAUAUCAAGGAUCUUGCGAGGAUGUGUUGGUGCUUCCUCUCUGCUGUACCAUUCUAUUGAGGAUUCUCAACAUAGGAUAUUCGGUGAAUGACUAAAAGUCUGGUAUUGGAAAUUCAACUCCAAUGUUACUUCUGAUUUUUUGGAUCUUAGUAGAAAAUUGAGUUUCUACAAGAUUAAAAAAGGAUUGAAGGCAAGACCUGGCAUCAGAUUUAGAGUGCAAUAAGAAAAUCCAAGUGAACUUAGUGAAAUCAUCCCCAACAGUUAAGAAGAAUUUGUGACCAGUUAUUGAACAUACUGAAAAUGGCCCCCAAAUAUCUACAUGUAUUAGUUCAAAAGCUCUAUUUGUAGUAGAUAUGCUAUCAGAAAACAAAAGCCUUUUUUGUUUUGCAAAGUGGCAAAACAAUUUCUAGAAAGAGUAAGCUUAGACACAGAUAAGAAUGAAAAGAGCACCAUUCAGUAUCAAUUUGUCUGUCAAUUGAACUGUGCCUGCAACUUUUGUAAGAAGCAUGGAUCCAUUUGGAAGUGUAACAACAAUGGAUGGAAUGUUGUGAUAAGUACUGAAAAGAUGCAGUGAAUGUGCAAUAUGGUAUAUUUCACCAGUGUCCACUAUCCAAACAUCAGAACUGGCAGAAAAAGAUAAUGCCAAAUGUGUACCUGGUUGAGGAUCAAAGGCAGAUACCAAGUUUGUAACAGGAGUAGAGAUUGCCUGAGAGUUGUUAGAUGUUAACUGUGGAUAGGAUUUAGCUUCAAGAUGAGAAUCAUUGAGGAGUGCUAGUAAGCCAUGAUAUUAUUCUUGCGUUAAUGAGAAUCUUAAUUUCUCAAUUUUUGUCUGAGGCCCAAUUGAACUGAUGGCUUGAACCUCAUCAACAGCGAUAACAUUGUUGACGGUCACAUUUGAUCCUCUUGGUUUAUAACCGGGGGAUAUCCAUGUUUCUUAUAGUAAGUUUCUAUUGUGUGCCUGUACCUUCCACAAAAUGUGUAGUAUCUAUUGUCUCCAGAGGAGUUAACAAUAGAUUUUUCAGCUGAAUGAAACUUGUAAUUGUAUGAAGGGACAAAUCUAAAACUGGACAGAUUAGAUUUUGCAAUCGGACUAAUUAAAGCCUUAGAUUCAUCAAGAUGCAUCACAAGAGGGGCUAUUUUCCUUUCCCUUUUCUUAUUGAAUGACUUAAAAAAAAACCGUUAUUGAUGGAAGGAAAGGAGUCUAACAUUAUGAUUUGUGUCCUUACAUUCACAUAUUGUUCAUUCAGACCCUUUAGGAAUCGAAUGACAUAAUCAUGAGAGAGUGAAGUCUUGUGGAAGAGAUGGAGGGGCUGGAAUUGUAGAUUGAUGAAAAGGAAAUAUGUUUUCAUAAAAGGUGACAUCUCUUGAAAUAAAAACAACCUAUGAAUGCAAAUCAAGCAAGACAAAUCCCUUUACACCAGAUUUGAAGCCAAGAAAAAUACAUUUGCGGGCCCUUGCAUCAAAUUUGGUCCUAGUGGCUUUUAAAGUAGAGGCAAAGCACAGUGAUCCAAAGACCCUCAGGUCAUUGUAAUUAGGCAUACAAGAGAAAAGGACUUCAAAAGGAGACUUGUUAUGAAUCAGAGGACUGUGCAAUCUGUUUAUCAAGUGAACAGAAUGCAAGAUAGCAUAGGACCAAUAUGAAAGAGGUAACUUGGAUUGAAAUAUCAAGGAUCUUGCAACAUUGAGGAUGUGUUGGUGCUUCCUCUCUGCUGUACCAUUCUGUUGAGGAGUCUCAACAUAGGAUAUUCGGUGAAUGACCCCUUUAGAAGCAUAAAAGACUGGUAUUGGGAAUUCAACUCCAAUGUUACUUCUGACUUUUUGGAUCUUAGUAGAAAAUUGAGUUUCUACAAGAUUAAAAAAGGAUUGAAGGCAAGACCUGGCAUCAGAUUUAGAGUGCAAUAAGAAAAUCCAAGUGAACUUAGUGAAAUCAUCCCCAACAGUUAAGAAGAAUUUGUGACCAGUUAUUGAACAUACUGAAAAUGGCCCCCAAAUAUCUACAUUUAUUAGUUCAAAAGCUCUAUUUGUAGUAGAUAUGCUAUCAGAAAACAAAAGCCUUUUUCGCUUUGCAAAGUGGCAAAACAAUUACCAGAAAGAGUAAGCUUAGACACAGAUAAGAGAUUAAAGGCAAAUUCUGGAAUGAAAAGAGCACCAUUCAGUAUCAAUUUGUCUGUCAAUUGAACUGUGCCUGUAACUUUUGUAAGAAGCAUGGAUCCAUUUGGAAGAGUAACAACAAUGGGUGGAAUGUUGUGAUAAGUACUGAAAAGAUGCAGUGGAUGUGCAAUAUGGUCUGUUUCACCAGUGUCCACUAUCCAAACAUCAGAACUGGCAGAAAUAGAUAAUGCCAAAUGGGUACCUGGUUGAGGAUCAAAGGCAGAUACCAAGUUUGUAACAGGAGUAGAGAUUGCUUGAGAGUUGUUAGAUGUUAACUGUGGAUAGGAUUUAGCUUCAAGAUGAGAAUCAUUGAGUGCUAGUACGCCAUGAUAUUAUUCUUGCAUUAAUGAGAAUCUUGAUUUCUCAAUGUUUGUCUGAGGUCCAAUUGAACUGAUGGCUUGAAUGUUAUCAACAGCGGUAACAUUGUUGACGGUCACAUUUGAUCCUCUUGGUUUAUAACCAGGGGGAUAUCCAUGUUUCUUAGAGUAAGUUUCUAUUGUGUGCCUGUACUUUCCACAAAAUGUGUAGUAUCUAUUGUCUCCAGAGGAGUUAACAACAGAUUUUCCAGCUGAAUGAGACUUGUAAUUGUAUGAAUGGACAUAUCUAAAAUUGGAUAGUUUAGAUUUUGCAAUUUGACUAAUUAAAGCCUUAGAUUCAUCAAGAUGCAUCACAAGAGGGGCUAUUUGCCUUUGCCUUUUCUUAUUGAAUGACUAAAGAAAAAGUGUUAUUGAUGGAAGGAAAGGAGUCUAACAUUAUGAUUUGUGUCCUUACAUUCACGUAUUGUUCAUUAAGACCCUUUAGGAAUCGAAUGACAUAAUCAUGUUCUACAUAUUGCUUCAUUUUGCUCAAGGCACCAUAUGAACAAUUAGGUUCACAUGAACAGGAAGGCAUUAGUCUGAAAUUCAUCAAUUCAUCCCAUAAAAUUUUGAGUUAAGUAAAAUAAUUAGUGAUAGACUUCUCACCUUUUUUUAGUGCAUAGAUCUCCUCUUGCAAAUCUGAUACUCUCAAGAUAUCUCCUUGAGAGAAUCUUUCUUUUAAAUCUUUCCAAACAUCCAUGGCUUUGUCAAUGAAUAAUAUGUUUUGUGUGAUUGAUGACGAAAGGGAUCACAUUAUCCAAAAUAGAACCAUCAUAUUCCAUCGUUCCCAAGUAGAACACAACAGAUCUGUUGCAGCAGGAGCUUGUAUAAUGCCAUCUACAAAUUUCAUUUUAUUCUUUGACAAUAGGGCCAUCUUCAUUGCUCUUGACCAAGUGUGAUAAUUAGGACAUGUUAAAACUGGAGAAAUAAGAACUAGUGCAGGAUUCUCAUUCGAGUGCAAGAAAUAUGGACCGGAUGGACUUUGUGUUGGAUCGCUACUAGCAGAAACAACCAUGGAUGGAAGAAAAAUUAAAGGGAGGGAAAAAUGAUUUUCUUGAGAGAGAGAAUUAUAGAAAAAAAACUCUAUUUCGGAGCUCGACGAAGGUAAAAAUUAAAGGAAAAAUUGAUUUUCUUUAAGGGUGUAAACGAACCAAACUGUUUGUGAGCUAUUCGAGACUCAACUCGAUAAAAGUUCGAUCGGACUCGGCUCGUUUUCUAAACGAGCCAAGUUCAAGCUCACUUUUUAGGCUCAUUCCGAACUUGAGCUUAGCAGUAUUCAGCCCGUUUAGGCUUGUGAGCUCAGCUCGUCCUGUCAACCUCUAGCAGCCUACUAACAUCCAACAAGACUGCCAGACUGGGAAAGAUUCUAGAAUCGGGGGAAGCUUAACCAGCACAAGACUUCUAGGCUGGAGGAAGAUUCCAGAAUUGGGGGAAGCUUGACCAGCAGACCGUAGCUGGCAGAGAAGUUCUCCAAGAAUCAUUAAAUAAUGCUUGUCUUAGCCUAUAAAUAGGGAAGUCCCACGAAUUUGUAAACAAGAAGCAGAAUAUUAGAGAUUACUUGCAUUGAGAAAGCUCUUAUAAUUUGUACAACCAUUCUCCAAAAAGCAUUAAAUAAUGCCUGUCUUAGCCUAUAAAUAGGGAAGUCCCACGAAUUUGUAAACAAGCAGAAUAUUAGAGAUUACUUGCAUUGAGAAAGCUUUUAUAAUCUGUACAACCAUUCUAGUGAAAUAUACUUCCUCUUUGUGUAAUUCUCUUCUCCUUUGCAAGUGUGUGAUUGUCCCAAUUCGUUCCUUGUGUUGUUGGUUGGUUGGAUAGGCUUACUUUUGUUGGUUUUGGGGAGAGCAACCUCACAAGUGCCGCACGUUGGCAAGCUGAAAAGUCUUGUAGCGUGACACGUGGUAUCAAGCCGACUCGUGAACAAGCUCGCGAACAAUCUCAUGAGCAAGCUCGCGAACAAGCUCAUGAGCAAGCUCGCGAACAGGUUCAUGAGCAGGCUCGUUCGCAAAUACCAAUCCCACAUCGAAAGUUGAAGGGAUAUGGAGGAUUAUGACUUCUCUAUAAAAGGACAACCCUUCAACAUUUUUUUUAUUAGUUUUGGGUUUGAGAGAUUUCAAUUAAAUUUAAAAAAUUUAAUUUAAAAGUCUCUUAAUGAUUUUAUAAUUUAAAUUUCUUAAUAAUUUAAAUGAAUUUGAAUUAUAUUGAGCUUGUUUAUAAUAUAAUCGAGCUCAAAUUCGAGCCUAAAUGAUAAAUGACUAAUUAGACUCCGUUAGGAGUUUUAACCAAUAUCAUUUGACUAUUUGACUAAGACGAUAUAAGAGAAAAGAUAGACUGAAAAGACGAACAGUCUUAUUGAAAUUUUUCAAAAAUUAAAAAGUGGAUUUCUAAUAACUAAGAGAGGCUAUUUAUAAUAGAAAAAAAAAUCAUAAUAUGCAAAAUUAUAAAAAUAUCCAAAAAAUAAUUAAAAUACAAAACUGACCCCCUAAACGAUGAAAUUUUCAUAUUGAACUUUAUAAUAGGCCUGCGACCCUUGUCACACUUUUGAAAGUCAUGCGUCUCAAAAUUCCCUUUUUGAAAAGCUAUCGUGGGUCUCCAUCGGACGUCGGCAGUAAAAGUUAGGCUCAGUCCAAGUCUGCUGUAAAGUCCAAGACUAAUUGCUCCAUAUCAUUCCCUUCCAUUUGUAAAGAAUUCGACCUCGAGUUGUCAUCAGUAGGGUAGUACUGAAAUAGAUUCACCACGUUAAAUGUCUUGAAAAUUUUCAUCUCAUUUGGGAGGUCAAGAACAUAGGCAUUGUCAUUAAUCUUCUAAAUGAUCUGGAAUGGACCAAUCUUCUUGGCGUCAAGCUUUUUUUGUCCUCCACCAUGCUCCUUGCGUAAAUACACUAUAACUUAGUCUCCAACAUUGAAGGAUUUGAAACGCCUAUGUUUAUCAGCUAUAACUUUAUAUUUGUCAUUAACUUCUAUAAGGAAUUGUUGUACCUGUUUCAAAACAUCCACAUGCUACUUUGCCAAGUUGCUUGCUGCUAUACUGUUGUGAGAACCUGUAGAAAGGGCAAUAAGGUCGACUGUAUGUGCUGAGACUUUCCUAUACACAACUGCAAAUGGUGACAUCUUUGUGGAGUUGUGAACAUCACUGUUGUAAUCAAAUUCUGCUUGCACAAGAGCAAGAUUCCAAGUAGUUUUCUUGUUACUACAGAUACGAUGCAAAAGAUUGUGAAGCUUGCAGUUCACUACUUCAGUUUGGGGAUGGGCAGCACUAUUGUAUCGAAGUUCAGUUCCAAAACGUUUCCAUAAAGUCACCCAGAAGUGAGCUAGAAACUUCACAUCUCUGUCAGAAGUAAUGGUCUUUGGGACACCAUGUAGACGAACAACCUCCUGAAAAAACAGUUUUGCCACAUGAGAAGCAUCAUUAGUUUUCUUGCAAGGAAUGAAAUGCACCAUUUUGGAGAACCUGUCAACAACAAUAAAAAUGAAAUCAAAUCCACGUUGAGUACGUGGAAGGCCAAGAACAAAAUUCAUAGACAAGUCCUCCCAAGGAUGUGCUGGAAUAGGCAGUGGAGUGUAUAAGCCCGUAUUCUGCGAAUGUCCCUUCUGAGUUUGACAAAUUGGGCACUUCUGGACCAUCCGACCUAUAUUCCUUUUUAAUUGUGGCCAGUAAAAAUGCUCCUCCAACCCAGCAACAGUCUUAUCACGCCCCAAAUGUCCACUCAAACCUCCUCCAUGGACCUUCCGAAUAAGUUUUUCCCGCAAAGAAGAUCGAGAAAUGCAUAACUUGUUCUCCUUAAAAAGAAAGCCAUCAUAUAUUAAGAACCCAUCAGCAAGCUAGUGAGUCUAGACUCUAGCCCAUAUAUCAGAAAAGUCAUCAUCUGUAGCAUACAAAUCCUUUAGGAAUUCAAAACCUACAACUUCCUGAUUAAUUGUAAUCAAUAGAGCAACCCUGUAAUACCCGGCUAGAAUCCGGCACCGGAAUUCCUGUUGUCUGGUGGAAUCCGGGGUGUUGGGAUUCUAUAUACGGGUAGGAUCGAUAGUUUUGAGUUGAAAUGAACCAAGGCAGAGGAGCCAAGUUCGGCCGCCGAAGAUAAGUUCGGCCGCCGAAAGUGCUCAAUGUUCGGCUUCCGAAGAUUCAGGUUCGGCCCCCGAAUGUUGCAUGGUCUUGCAUGCGAUUGGGCAGCCGAAACUGAGUUGGCCAGCCAGCUUUUGGGCAUCCUUAGUCAGCAUUUUGGACAGGUGUUAACCAGGCUUAACAGGUAUGAGAUAACCCAUCUAGAGUAAGCUCUAGUCAGGGAUACAGAGUACAGAGUACAUGAGUACAGAGUACAUGAGUACAGAGUACAGAGAUAGUGCAUGCACAGGUUAAGCCUUGGUUCAGAAAAGAGUUUUAUUUUCACAGAAAAUGUAUGAUCAUGUAUGAGGUUUACAGGUACACAGAGAGUAUAGUAGGCUUGCUACGGGUUCUGGCGGCCUUAAGCCGACCUGAAUCCUAGCGCCGGUGACGGUCCAUUUUGGGGUCGUUACAAACCCUACUACUCAAAGCAUCUGCCACCUUAUUACUAUGGCCAGCCUUAUGUUUUAUGACAUAAUGAAAGGCUCCAAAAUAAGUUGCCCAUCGACCAUGCAUCUUAUUCACAUGUUUUUAAGUUUUAAAGUGGAUCAAAGAUUGAUGAUCCGUGUGAAUAAUAAACUCUCAUCCCAUCAUAUACUACUCCCAAGUUUUAAAAGUCUGGAGUACUACAUAUAGCUCUUGCUCAUAAGUAGACCACUUCUUCCUAACUUCAUUCAGUUUCUCACUAAAGAAGGCAAUAGGCCUUUUAGACUGCGACAACACUCCGUCAAUCCCAACUCCACAAGCAUCACAUUCAAUCUCAAACAGUUUAUCAAAAAUAGGUAGAGCAAGAAUAGGGGCAGAAGUAAGCUUAUCUUUAAUCUCUUCAAAUCUCUUGUUGAUAGUGUCAGUCCAAGCAAAUUUCUACACUCUCUCUUUCUUCAAGCAAUCUGUGAUAGGGUAAUGAUGCUGCUAAAAUUUCUGAUAAACCGCCGAUAGAAAGUAGCAAGGCCAUGAAAGUUGCGAACUUCAAAAAUAGUUUUGGGGAUGGGCCAAUUCCGUAUUAUUUCUACCUUCUUCUCAUCAAUAUGUAUUCCUUUUGCACUAACAAUGAAUCCCAGGAACAAAACGCGCUCUGUCAUAUAAAUGCACUUUUUAGAUUAAUAACCAUCUCACUUUCUUGCAAGGUUGUCACGAUUUGAUGGAGAUGCUGUAAAUGUUCUUCUUUGCUGCGACUAAAAAUCAAGAUGUCAUCAAAAUAAACAACCACAAAUUUGCGUAAGAAAGGACGCAAAACCUUAUUCUUAAGUCGCAUAAAGGUGCUAGGUGCAUUCGUCAAACCAAAGGGCAUAACCAGCCACUCAUACAAGCCUUCCUUAGUCUUGAAGGCGGUCUUCCAUUCAUCUCCCUCCUUGAUCCGAACUUGGUGAUAGCCGCUUUUAAGGUCGACCUUAGAGAAGACUUUAGACCCGGAUAACUGAUCUAGCAUAUCAUCCAGUCGUGGAAUAGGAAAUUGAUACUGAACUAUAAUUUUGUUGAUGGCGCUGCUAUCCACGCACAUUCCUCAAGUCCCAUCUUUCUUUAGAACUAAUAGGGCAGGUACUUCGCAGGGGUUAAUGCUCUCCCGAAUAUUCAAUACUUCUUCAACGUGUUCUUGGAGGAUUUCACUCUCCUUUGGACUCAUAUUAUAAUGAGGCAAAUUCGAUAAUUUUGAUCCAGAAAUGAGAUCAAUCUGAUGUUGGAUAUUCCGCAAAGGUGGAAACUUGGAUGAUUCCUCCACUAUCUUAGGAAACUCCUUCAACAGCUCUUUGACAGGUGGUGGUAAAGAUGGUGCAUCCUCCAUUACACCUUUUGCUCUCACCAAUAAAGCCAGUGUGCCUCCAGAUUUUUCAACUGCGCCUGAUAGCCUCUGCACUCCCGUGGAAAUAGCAACAACAUUCUUCCUUUCUACUUUAGAAUGUUUCGCAGAACCAGAAGGCAAGAUAGUAAUCUUCUUUUGAUUCCACGUGAACAUGUAUAAAUUCUCCUUCCCCUUAUGCAAAGCAUCAACAUCAAACUGCCAAGGGCUACCUAGCAAAAUUUCACAGCAAUCCAUAUCCACAACAUCACAAUUAACAGGUUCAGUAUAAGAUUUACCGAUCAAGAUAGGCACGCUAUAGACUCUAUUGACCUCAAUUGUCGGACCUUCCUUAAUCCAUCUGACUUUGUAUGCGAAGGGUGUGGCUGUGUAGGCAACUGCAAUUUUCCCACCAAUUGCUUAGCUAUCAGAUUCUCACAACUGCAACUAUCUAUAAUUAGCCUGCAAAUUGCCUCUCAUACUUGACAAUUUGCUUGGAAAAUCUUCCUCCUUUGCGUCUCAUCCUCCUGUUUUGUUGAGCAUAAGAUUUUCUUCACCACAUAGGUGAUCUCUCCAUCUUUUGAACUAGCAAUCUGAAUGUACAUGACAUUCAAAUUUCACAUUAAGACAGCAAAGNNNNNNNNNNNNNNNNNNNNNNNNNNNNNNNNNNNNNNNNNNNNNAAAAAUCUAUCAUGAUGGAAUAUGGUAGAGACUUACAUCUCCACUCCUUUCCUUCACUUUCUUAAUUAUAAUUAGGAACAUCUUCAACUUCAAUUCAAGUACGUACACAAAUAAAAAAAACUUAAUUACACGUAUAAAACAUUACCAAAUUUCAACGAAUCUAUCAUGGCGCAUCAACAUGUUUAUUCCCAGUGGAACACAUGGUUGAACCAAGAGUACUAUAAUUUAUAUAUCGGCUAGGAGCUGAAGUUCUAUGAAAUCCUUUCGGCAAACAAUUCGUCAUCCACGUCUUCCUCAGAUUCAGCCACCGGCUCAACCACAUUAACCUAUCAGUGAUCAGUAUUAACUCCUCUAUGUUCUGAACAAUUAUUCGAUCGAUGACCAGGUUGCCUGCAGCGGUAACAUAUGUCUCCCAUUGGCUUCUGAUAAGGAUUGGUCUACCUCCUUUGUCUAUUGUAGUAGUGACUGCCUUUCCUUUACUGUCUCUCCUUUCUUCCAUAAUAUUUUGAGGAUUGCCAGAAUUUACAACCUUAGAAGACUGCUCGCUGUUAUUGCCUCUAUACUGCUAUGUCCUUGUCGAACCAAAAUUUCUAUAAUUAAAAUUCCGGUUGUACUACUGUCGUAGUUGCCAAUCAACACGCUCUUCUACUCUUUUUGCCAUCUCGAUGGCGUCUGUCAAAGUGAAAAUCGUAGCUUGAUAGUGGUUGUCGAAGCUGUAAAAAAUAAACCUAUUAUCAAUCAAUAAAAUAAUUUGUAGAUAGUGGCAAUAGGGUCGAACUAUAGGGAUUUGACACUAAAGAUCUUCCUAAUUAUGACUUGGACAAGUAAAUAAAAAUAAAUAAAAAGAGGGGGCUUUGUUUUGAUGAUAAUGAAUUAAAACUAAAUAGUAAGAGAAAGUAAUAAUUUAAAAAGAUGAGUAAAUCAAUGGGAGAAAAGCUCUAGUUGAAGUAUGGAUCUGUUUCAAUUGUUUAGAAUUGAUCAUUGAUACUCCUAUUUAUUUUAAUAAAUUAGUUUAGAUUGUGGAAGACGCUUCUCAAAACCAAAUUCCUCCUUAGUUUUAGUUUGACUAGGAAACGUUCGCUAAUCAAACACUAGUUAACAAGUUGCCAAGGAACGUCUUUGGGAUUUUUUACUUUUCAACUGUUAACUGCAUUAAGACUUAGAGAAACCCAAUUCUAAUCUUGCCAACCGCGUGGUCAAGUUUAGAUUAUGCAACCAAGUGUGCUUGUGUUCAAACAAUCUAAGGAAUUACGGACCUAAAUUAUUCAAACUAACAAUUUAUUACUUAUGCAAUUAAAAGCAACAGGCCUUAAUUGAUUCUAAUAACAAAGCAAUAAUAGCAUGAAGAUCAAGUUGCACAAAUAUUGAAAAUAUAGGAGCUUAACAAUGGAGUUUUAAAUCUCUCAAUUCAUCACAAACUGAAAUUUUCCAACUUCAACUAGAAAAGAAGGUGUUUAGCCACUCAUGGUGGACAAAAAUACACAAAAAGAAAGAAGAAAAGUAGAAGAAGAGAGCUGUUGUGUUGCUUGCUGACUUUCUGCAGUAAAUUCGAUGCCUUUUUGCUGGUUUUGGUGCUAUCCCUUUUAUAGGUGGAGAUUCCUAAUUCAAUUAGGACUUGGAAUCCUUCUUUGAAUUGGUUUCAUGAUGGUCUUUUAAUUCCUCCUUGCUUUCGUAUUUUAUAAUGAAUAAAAUUCCUUUGGUGAAAGAUUUUCUUUGGUGUGGCUUUUGGAGUUGUCAUAAGAUUGAUCUUGUAGUGUUUGAAGUAGGAUAGGACUUCAAUGCUUUUGAAAUUUGAAAUUUGAAAUUUUUCUCGAGCUGUUGUUCCUUGUUUGCGUCAGUUUGAUUUGGGCAGUUGAUUUGCCCAAAUCGCUUGCCCAGAUCAUUUCUGCAAUUCAGUCCCAGUUUUCUGCUUCAGCUUCCUGCGAGUGAUUUGGCCAAAUCACUUCGACCCAAUCAAUUUUUCAGCUUUUUCUGCACUUUUUCUCUAACUUUCCAUUUUCUUCAUUUUCUGUAAAAAUAUCACAAAAACAUAAAUUAAAUUAGAAAAAUGUGUAAUUAAACAGUAAUAAAAAUAAUAAAAAUGUGACUAAAUUAUGCUUGAACACAGCUACUCCUAUCAUACAACGAAUUUCGUGAUUCAGGCCCCUCUGAUAAUGAGCAACUUGCUGGGCUUCGUUCUCACAGUUUUCACACCUCGCCUAUAAUCUCAAAAACUCCUCGGUAUAUUCAUUCACCCUUCGGUUCCCCUGUACACAGUCAUGAUAUCGGUUAUACAAAACCUGAGCGUGAUCGUUUGGCAAGAACCGUUGUUUAAUCAUCUGCUUCAUUAACACCCAGUUUCGUAUGGGUUCCAGCCUCCUCUGAUAGCAUUCAUUUUGAAUCGAAUUCCACCAGGCUGCUACACCUCCUUUUAACUUAUAGGCCAUAAUCGAAACCUUGCGAUCCUCUUUCACGUUUAUAACUUCGAAGAAAUGUUCAACCUCUGCCAGCUAAUCAAGAACAGAUUCCACAUUCAACGAACCAGAAAAGUUUUGAAGGUCUAUAUUGAUCUUGUAACCUUCCUGAUAAUUCUGUUGGGGAUUUGCAGGUACAGAAUUGGCGACCACAAAAUUGGCGGCCACAGGAUUGGUGACUGGCUGGGGGUGUGCGACGGCGGUGGGUUGGUGUAUUCCCUACUGCAGGGCCAGCUGUCCUAUCAUCUCCUUCAAUUCUGCCAAAGAUGCCUCAAUCGCAGCAAGUCGUACCUCUUAGUUGUCUGCCAUGGUCAAACUUUGCUCUGAUACCAAUCAGAUAAAGGACUAAUUAGACUCUGUCAGGAGUUUUAAUCAAUAUCGUUUGGCUAAGACGAUAUAAGAGAAAAUAUAUGCUGAAAAGACGAAUAAUCUUAUUGAAAUUCUUCAAAGAUUGAAAAGUGAGUUUCUAAUAGUUAAGGGAGGCUAUUUAUAAUAGAAAAAAACUCUAAUAUGUAAAAUUAUAAAAAUAUCUAAAAAAAUAAUUAAAAUACAAAAUUGACCCCUAAAAGAUGGAAUUUCCAUAUCGAACUUAGUGAUAGGCUUACUGCCCUCGUCACACUUUUGAAAGUUGUGCGUCUCAAAAUUUCCUUUCCGAAAAGUUAUCGUGGGUCUCCAUUGGACGUCGGCAGCAAAAGUUAGACCCGGUCCAAAUCUGCCAUAAAGUUCAAGACUAGUUACUCCAUAUCACUAAAUGAGCUCAAAUUUACUCCAUAUCACUAAAUGAACUCAAAUUCAAACUUUUUGAAUAGAGUUUGAGUUGGCUCGUUAAUGUGAUAAACGAGUUUAUUAAGAAUCGAGUUCGAGCCGAAGAAUCGAGUUCGAGCUUAUAAAUGAAACUCGAGUCAAGCUUGAAUUCGAACUUGAACUUUUAAAUUUAUUUUCUAAUUGAAUUUGAGUUUAUCAAAGCUCGGCUCAACUCGACUCGAUUAUGGCCCUAAUUUCUUGUAUAUUUUGGAUCAGCAGCCAUACAUGUAUAUAUACAGUGGGUACAAUAGGCUUGACUCAAGAUAGGUUUACAGAAAAUGCAACACACUUGAAAGAACUGAAAACAGUUUCUCUAAUCAACCUUAAUAGGUUUCUUGCUUUUUUUUUUCAUGAUUUAAUCUUAAACCUUUUUGCAGUACGAAAAAUAGUGUAAUUUAUCAAAUUAAAAAAAAAAGUCUAUUCAUGAAAUUAAGUGCGAAAAUAACUUAUUCACCUUUAAAUUAAUAUAUACAUUAUAUAUAAAUUGCAUAAUAAAUUUAUUAACCAACUUAAAUCAUUUGUUUAGAUUACAGAUUUUGGACUUGCUCAUGUUUUUACGGACGUUGCUACUCACAUAUCCAAAUCAUCAGUUAUGGGAACCCGAGUGUACGUAAGAUAUAACUUUCUUUCUAUAUUUAAUUGCAUUGCUAUUUUUUUUCUUAUAUAAACGAAUUGCAUUGCUAUUAUUAUCUUUUUUAUUUUCACUCUCAUUAUUAUCUACUCUAAAAUAAAAAUUAAAAUAAAAAAAUACAUAAAAAUAAAUUAAGACUCCUUAAUUUGAAGAUAUUAUUUUCUUAAAGAAAAUCUACAUGAAUUUUAAUUGCAAUAAUUCCAUUGCAGUUAUGAAGAUCCACUAACGACGAAAUUGGGGAAGUAUUCUGAUAAGUCUGAUAUUUAUUCUUUUGGUGUUACACUUUUAGAGUUGAUUACCGGAAGAAAACCUCUAGAUAAUGGCACUGAUAUUGUUACUUGGGUAUGACUCUAUUUGCAUUAAUAAAAACUAUGAUAUAAUUUUUUUUUUAUCUCAGUGAUAUAUAGUCAUUUAAAAAAAGUAAAGUCUUGAAUUUAGAUUUCAAUGGAGCUAUUUAGAUUUCAUUCCCAUGCAUUUAAGAUCCAUUAAUAAAUAUUUUUUUUAUCUUGUAGGCAAAUCUUCGCAUUAAAAAAGUUUUAGACGGAAAAUAUGCAAAUUUUGUAGAUUCUAAAUUACAUUCUUUUGAUGCCGAACAAAUGCAUAGAAUGGUUUCUUGUAUUAAUUCUUGCUUAAAUCAACCUCCAAACUCUCGUCCAACGAUGGAAAAGGUAAAAAUUGUUCCCAUAAUUAAUUUAAUUUCAGUAUCUUUCAAUAUAUAUAUAUAUAUAUAAUUAUGUAGAAGCCUAUUGAUUUGUAAUUAUUUUUUUGCUAUAAAUGUCACACAGAUACGUUUAGUUCUUGAAGGAAAAUCACCUCUAGAGGAAUUAUAUGGUCACGAAGGAUUGCAGCUGAGUAUGAUAUAUAAAGGUUCAUAUUAUUUUAUGUUAAUUUAUUAUAAAUUAUAUGCAUAUUUAUACUAAAGCUUGAUCUAAUUGCUGCCUAAAUUGUCAUUUAAUUUUCAACUGCAAAAAAUAAGUUUUUUAAUUUGAAAUUUAGAAUAAAUUAGUUUUUAACCAAAAUUGAUACAUAUUAAUUAAAUAUAUUUUUUAAUCUUAUAAUUAUUCAAACAAACUGUAAAAACAAUGAUGAAAGCUUUAUCUUAAAGUUUUAAAACAUAAAUCUAAAAGUUCAUAAAUAAUUUCUUAAUCGUUAAUUUUGUUAAUCAUUGAAUUAAAACGUAUAGUUAAUAUAUAUAGUAUUGAAUAGUUUCAGGAUUAAAAAUAUAAUUUUAUUUGAAUAUAAUUAUUUAUAGGGUUAUGAUUUAUCUUAUUAAUUAUUUUUAAUAAUUAUAGGAGACAAGAACAAAAAAAUCAUUUAUCAACCGAAAACCUCCUUUGUCCCAUAUAUAUGAAAAGUGUAAAAUUAAGAAUUACUAUAUUUUAUUUAUUAUUUCAUAAAAAUGAAUACGUAAUUACAUUUACAUUUAAAUCGGUUAGAGUUUUUUAGAAUUAAAAAAUAAAUUAUAAAUAUUUAAUUUAUUAAUUAGGAAUCAAUAUAUAAAUUGGAUGUUUGUAUUAAAUAGUUAACAUUUUAGUCAAUUUACAAGUUCAUUGACUUAUUUAUAAUUUUACAUAUUAUUCUUUUAUUAUUUAAGGAAAAGUAAAUAAAUAGAAACAAAUCUUCAUAAGAAAAAAAUAUAUAUUAUCAAUGGCCAUGAAACCAUUUGCUAUUUUGAAGUUGUUAAAUUUUCUUUUGAAAGAUUGUGAAACGUAAUGAUUUACUUAUAUUAUAUACAUCCUGUUUGACAAACUUCUAAUAAAUUGAUUUAGUUUGUUUAAAUAAUAAACUUAUGAUAUUUAUAGGUUACAGUGUUUUUAGGUAAAUUUCAAUCAUAUAGGUUAUUUGAAUAUUAUUAAAAUUAGUACAUAACAAUAAUAAUAACUCAAUGUAUAAAAUUAAGAAAAUGAAAAAUAAAAAUAUGAAAGUUAAUACGAUCAUUUCUCGUUCACUAAUCUAAUUGGUGAAGGUGGUUUAGGACAAAUUUUUAUCGGAUCUUUGAAUGGUGAGAUCCGUGCUAUCAAUAAACUUAAAAAUCUGCCGGAUUUACAAUUCGAAGGAGAUUUUGAGAGACAGAUUAGGGUCUUUCAUAGUAUCCGUCACAAAAAUCUCAUUGAACUGCUUGGUUACUGCAUCGAUGGACCCAAUAGAUUUCUUAUUUUAGAGUAUUUUCCAAACGGAUCUUUGAAAUAUAAAUUACAUGGUGAGUCCUAUAUCUUUUAUUUUAUAUUCAUAUAACUGUUAUGACAUAUAUAAUUAAUCUGACAAAUUAGAAAUGGUAUAUUGUAGAAAGUCAGAAUGUUUUGGACUGGAAAAAAAGAAUGAAGAUCGCUAUAGGUUCUGCAAGAGGAUUGGAAUAUUUACAUGAACAAUGUGAGUAUAUAUUAAUAGAAUAUAUUUAUGCUUGGUAGGCUUUGUAUUAAUAAUUUAUUUUCUUUAAAGUCUUAUCUUCUCUUUAUGUCUUUUUCAGGUAAUCCUAAAAUCAUACAUUUAGAUAUCAAACCAAAUAAUAUUAUUCUUGAUCAUAACUUUGAACCUAAAGUAAGACAACUAAAUAAUAAAUAAAAGUUUUGUUUAUAUCAUUAUAUAUUUAUAUUAAAACCUUGAUUGUUGAAUUUUUAAAAAAAAAAAUAUAUUAAAAAAUAUGUGAACUCAUUAAUUUGAUUGUUGUAACUAAUUAAUAAAUUAACCUUUAUAGUUUUUUUUGUCUUUUUCCUGCCUUAAUAUUUUCUUAAUAAACCUUAUUGAAGUACGGAUAAUAGUGUUAUAUGAUCAAAUAAAAAAUAAAAAAUAAAAAAAGAAUAUAUUCAUGAAAUUAAGUGUUGAAAAUAAUUAAAUAUUUAAAUUAAUAUAUAUAUAUAUAUAUAUAUAUAUGGCAUAAUAAAUUUAUUAAUCUACUUAAAUCAUUUGUUUAGAUUUCAGAUUUUGGACUCAGCACAUUUUUUACGGACGAUGAUAGUGACAUAGACGAAUCAUAUAUUGGAUGGACCCCAGGGUACGUAAGAUACAACUUUCUUUCUAUCAUUUUAAUUACAUUGCUAUAUAUUAUUGUAUAUUUCUUUUUUAGUGCCAUUAUUAUCUACACAUAAAAAGAAAUUAGGACUCUUUAAUUUGGAGAAAUUAGUUUUCACAAAGAAAAUUUUAACAUGAAGUUUAAUUGUGAUCAUUCAAUUGCAGAUAUACAGAUCCGGCCAUAUUUCAAUCGAAAAAGUAUUCUGAUAAAUUCGAUGUAUAUUCUUUUGGUAUUACACUUUUAGAGUUGAUUACGGGAAGAAAGCCCAUUCAUAAAGGACUUGACAUUGUUACUUGGGUAUGACUCUAUUAGUUUAUAACGGUAUAAUAUAAAAAUUGUAAUAUAUAUUCUUUUAGCUCAUUGAAAAAAAAUAUAUACAUAUAUACUAUAAGUUAAAUAUAAAUUUACAUGCAACAAAUAUUUAUGAUUUGUUAAUAAAUAUUUUUUUUUCAAUAUCUCAUAGGUAAAUCCUCUAAUUAAAAAGGCUUUAGACGGAGAAUAUGUGAAUUUUGUAGAUUCCAGACUACAAUCUUUUGACCACAAUGAAAUGCAUCGAAUGAUUUUUUGUGCUAAUAGUUGUAUAAAUCAAUCUCCAAAAUCUCGUCCAUCAAUGAAAAAGGUAAAAUUUAUUCACAUAAUUUAAUUUUGGUGUAUUUUAAUUAAUUUUGGGGAAGCAUUAAAAGAUUACAUAAUUGAUUUAUAUAUUUUUAUACCAUUGCUAUGCCAUGUAGAUAUUUCUAGCUCUUGAAGGACUUUUGCCUCUAGAGGUUUUAUGGGAUGAGAAGAACAACUACUUACUAGAGAGAGCUGCAAAUGAAGGUCCGUUUCUAGUAAACUAUGGGAAUAUCUAUUUCAAAGUGUUGUUCAUUUUCUUUAUAGAUAAAUUAUAACUUAAGGAUAAAGUGAGAUCAUAUUAAUGUGAAAAAAAAAAAUCUUACUAUUAUCAAUUAAAUUUUAAUUUGUUUCAGCUACAUUUUAGAAUAAAUUAAAUUAUUUUUUAAAGCAAAUUCAAUUAAACUUAAGAUUGGUAAUCAAAUCAAAAUCAUAUUUUAGUGAAUUAAAUCUUUUUUUCUUUAAGAUAAAAAGUUACAAAAUCUAAAAGUAUAAAUUGUUUUGAAUUGCAUUUUUAAAAUACUUAAUUUAUUUAAUUCUGAUUGGCAUAUAAUUCUUAAUUUUGUCUAUUUAUUUUCAUUGAAAUAAAAUGAUUACUUUAGAUACAGCUUCACAUUUGCUUCUCAACCAGUUUCACAUUUUUUUAAUCUGUUUUGAUGGAUUUUUUAUCCAAAUUUUUUUACUUAGCAUGAUUGAUCAUAAGAUGGAUAUAUUAAAAAGUCUGAUAACCGAUUUUAAUUAGAUUUUUCAUGUUAAAUUUUUUCUUGUCUUAUUAAUAAAAUGCUGCUUAUCAGAAAAAAAAAACCAGUACUUACCAUUUUGUUUUUUAAUUCCAUUUCUUGGCAAAGCAGGUGAUCCCGUUGGAGUUCGAGCAGGAAAUAUUCCUCUGAAAAAUCUCAAGAAUUGAGCAGAAAUGUUUAAAAAAAGAAUUAUUUUUUUCCUUUUAAAUAGAAGUUGGAAACUUCAUUCAAAGGCCAAUUGAACAUCGAAAUAAAAGAUAGGCCUCAGUUGAGUUGGCAAAGGAAGACUUUCUGAAUUUUGCUUUGCUUGUAUGAACAUGUAUGUGGAUCAUUCUAUGUAUUGAUACGUCUUUGGAGUACUAUUGCAAUUUUUUUUUUAAUUAAAAAAAAAAGUUGGGGUCUGAAAUAAAUAGUAUACAAUGAAGUGAUUUAAUUUUUAUAAAAUCAUAUUAUUUUUAAAUUAAAUCUUUUUAGUUAACAAAUUUAAAUGAAUUUAUCCAUCUCAAUCUUGGAGAUAAGGUUGUUGUUGAAGGUGAAGGAAAUGAUAGGCCAAAAAGAUCUCAAUGUGUGCUAUGUAACAUGAGACAUGGACACACCUAUAUGUGCAACAUGAUGGUAUACUUGCUCAUGCAACAUGAAAAAGAAUGUGGCUUUAUUUGUUGAUUUACUUGCUUCACGUGGGAUUAGACCAAAUUAUUAUCUAUUGUUAUUUUUUUUCACUAUAUCAUGAAGUUAGGAGUAGUUAUUGAUUCCAAUUUAUAUUUAAACUCUUUCUCAUUUAUCAAAAAGCCAUGCAUUAUUUUAAAUAAAAUCUCCUAAUUUAUUUUAACUAUAAGCAAAAUAUUAGUUAUUCUUUUUAAUUUUGAUUCGACCUGUCAUCCUGGGCUCUUCAGUUUUUGCAUUGAACCGAAUGUAUUUGUAUUUGAUGCUGGACGCUGGGAAAAUGGGGUAUGGAUCUGGAAUCUGCUGUGGACAACUAUAUAUACACAUGAUAUUGUAUCAACGGGAGAUUGAACUCCUAGUCCAACUAUUGGCUUCUAUUAGAGGUGUAAAUGAAUCAAAUCGUUCGUGAGCUACUGGAGAUCCGGUUCGAUAAAAACUCGACCAAGUUCGAGUUUAAUUUUUAGACUCAUUUGAUAAACAAACUAAAUUUGAGUUCCAUAGUAUUCGACUCGUUAAAACUCAGUGAGUUCGGCUCGUUUCUGAGUUAAUGAGCAGGCUCGCGAAUAGACUCGUGAACAGUCUCAUUAAGUAAGUUGAAAUUAUUAUCAUAACAGCAAUAAACUCAAAUCCUACAUAUACUUUCAUUAGCCAAACUUAAAUUUUUUAAAAUUCAGCUCAAUAUAAUUUAGUUAUACUUUUAAAUUUACAUAUAUUUGGAUCAUUAAAAUUUUAAAGUUUAUCUUUAUAAGUUUACGAGUUAAUUUGUGAAUAUACUUAUUUAACUAAAAUUAUUUUAGUUUUAAACUUAUUCGUUUUAAAUUAAAACUCAUUAUAUAUGUAAAUAAAUUGAAUCAUUAGUUAACUAUUCGAGACUAAACUCGAUAAAAGUUCGAUUCAGCUCGAUAAAAACUCGACUCGUCUAAAUUCGUUUGCUAAACGAGACAAACUUAAACUUUUUAAUACUCGACUCGAGUUCGAAAUGAGUAAAACUCGAAUUCGGUUCGAAUUUAAAAAAAUUUUAACGAACCAAAUUUGAGUUCUUCAAAAUUCGACUCGACUUGAUUCGUUUACACUUCUAACUUCUAUUAAUACAACUAGACCAUAGACUGAAAAAUCAUCGCCUCAUUUAGAAAGUUUAAUGUUACAAGUUAUUUCAAUUGCUAGUUAGUUCUCUUUAUUAAUUUAUCUAAAUUAAAGAAUGAAUAAUUAAAAAACCAUAAUCAUAUGAAUUAGAUAUGAGACCAUCCAGAUCGUUGACUUUGAAAAAAAAAUGUUAAUACUAAUUAAAUUCAAAUGCCAUGAUUGUUCAUUGAUAGAGUUAUUAACAUAAGUACAUCCAUUCAAACGUCCAGGUGGAAAUCACGUUAACCUUAUGUCUUAAUAAACAAUAAAUAACUUGUUAUUUUUAUAAGACUUUUAUAUUUUUAUUUUUAUUCUCAUAAUCUUUUGUUGCCCACUACACGAAAUUAAUUUGUCAAUUAUUUACAUCAGAUAUCCUGCAUAAAAUCACUAAUAUAUUAUAAAAUUACUCUAAUUACAGUGUGAAAACAUGAAAUUCCCAUACUCAUUCUGUAAGAAAGCCCCAUUAAUUACAUUUUUUAUUAUAUAUUUUAAGAAAAGAAAUUAUAUCCACCGUAGGUUUACUGAGUCGAACUCAUUAAUAAAAGACCCUCAUUGAAACUUAGAAUAAAGAGAAACUCAUUAAUAAAUUUAUAAUAUGCAUUACACAAAAUGACAUUAACUGGAGGCCACAUGCUGCGAAUUCUACGCUCAACGUCAACGUUAAUUUUUUUUUUUUUUUAAAAAAAAGGAAAACGAAGGUCCUAACUGUCUUCCUUCAUCCUUCUUACAUCUCCCUCUUUAUCUCUGACCAUUCACAUUCACACUCUAUAAGAACUCUAUUAUAUAUACUUGCAAAAAACCUCUGGCCGUGGUUGCACAAGUCUGCAACUUCUGAUGGCCAAUCGCUUGGGGAUGAACGGGGCAGAUCACCGGAUUGAAACUAGAGGUAUUAAUUGUUUUUAGCUGAAACUGUUGUACCAAAUAGUAAUAGUUUCAUGGAGAUUUCAUUUCAUCUAACUAAUUGAGGCAUGUUGUUUAUUGAUUGUCACUAAGCACAGAUCAGAAUGAAUCUGGCUCAUCUUCUGAGAAGACUAUUGGGCCAAAGUCAUAUUCAUACGGUGAAUUAGCAAAGGCAACUGAUCAUUUCUCGCACAAUAAUCUAAUUGGUAAAGGUGGUUUUGGUCAUGUUUUUAAGGCAUCUUUAGAUGGUGAGAUCCGUGCUAUCAAGAAACUUGAUUUUUCGGAUGUACAAUCCGAAGGAGGUUUGGAGAAGGAGAUUAUGAUCGUCCAAAGCCUCAGUCACAAAAACCUCGUUGAACUGGUUGGUUACUGCAUUUAUGGAGCCAAUAGAUUGCUCAUCUUAAAGUAUUUUCCAAAUGGGUCCUUGAGAUCUAAAUUACAUGGUGAGUCCCAUAUUCUUUCUUUUACUUUUAUGUUCAUAUAACUAAUCAAUAUGAUAUAAUUAAUAGGAAGUGAUAAUGUUUUGGACUGGGAAAUAAGAAUGAAGAUCGCUAUAGGUUCUGCAAGAGGAUUAGAAUAUUUACAUGAAAAUUGUGAGUAUAUACUACUACAUAUUCUUAUAUGGCAGUAUUUUAGCUUUUUGAGUGUAAAUUUAUUUAUUUAUUUUUAUUUAUGUUUGAUAAUUUAUUUUCUCUUGCAGUUCAUAUUCUUUUUAUAUUUUUUCAGAUAAAUCUAAAAUUGUUCAUUUAGAUAUUAAACCAGAUAAUAUUCUUCUUGAGGAAGAUUUUGAACCUAAGGUAAGAUAAUUUUAUCAUAAGAAAAUAUUUUAGUAAUGUCAUCACAUAUGUAUAUAUAGCGUAACUUUGAUGAUUGAAAUUUUAUUUUUGAAUAACAUUAAAAAAUUAUGUGAAUCAUUAAUUAUAUAAUUUAAUUAAUAUAUAUAUAUAUAAAUGGCAUAAUAAAUUUAUUUAAUUAACUUAAAUAAUUUGUUUAGAUAACAGAUUUUGGACUUGCUCAAUUUUUUACCGACGGUGCUACUCAUAUAUCCAAAUCAUCAGUUAUGGGAACCCAUGUGUAAGAUAUAAUUUUCUUUCUAUCAUUUAAUUGCAUUGAUAUUAUUUUCUAUUUUUUCAAAUGCUAUUAUUAUCUUCUCUUAGAAUAGUUUAAAAUAAAAUAAAUAUUGAAAUAAAUAAAAUAACACAUAAAAAAAUAUAAGUGCUCCUUAAUUUGAUAGUAUUAGUAAUCUUAAUCUUAACGCACUCACAGAUUUAAUCUGGUGGUAAGUGCAUUUGAGUAAAUCUGAGAGAUUUCAUAUUCUACUUUUCAAAUCUCCAAUUCUCAGUUCAAAAAAAUAAAAGUAAUCUUAAUCUUAACAAAUUCUAUUGCAGUUACGAAGAUCCACUGACAACAAAACUUGGAAAGUAUUCUGAUAAAUCCGAUAUUUAUUCUUUUGGAGUUACACUUUUAGAACUGAUUACUGUAAGAAUGCCUAUAGACAAUGGUAUUGACAUUGUUACUUGGGUAUGACUCUGUUUGCUUUAAUAAAACUAUGAUAUAAAUAUUCUAUUUACCAUUUAUAAAGUUUUGAAUAUAGAUCUCAAUUGGAGUUAUUUAGAUUUCAAUCCAAUGCAUUUAUGAUUCAUUAAUAAUAAUUUUUUAAUUAAUAUCUUGUAGGCAAAUCCUCUAAUUAAAAAGGCUUUGGAUGGAAGAUAUACAAAUUUUAUAGAUUCCAAUUUACAAUCCUUUCACCACGAACAAAUGUAUCGAAUGGUUUCUUGUGUUAAUUCUUGUCUAAAUCAACCUCCAAGCUCUCGGCCAACAAUGAAAAAGGUAAAAUUUUUCACAUAACUAAUCUCAAAACCAUAUAUAUAUUAUCUUAAACCUUGUAAUCAUUUUAUUGUUAUGUCAUGCAGAUACGUCUAGUUCUUGAAGGAAUAUCACUCCCGGAAGAAUUAUACGAUCAUAAAUUGCGAAAGAGCAUCAUACAUAAAGGUCUAUAUCCUUUUAUGUUAAUUUAUUAGAAAUUAUAUGCGUAUUUAUACUAAAACUUGAUCAAAUUGAUGCCUAAAUUAAUUUUUAUUUAAUUUGUGUCAUAUCUUAAAAUUAGAAACAAAUGUUGAUUUUCAACUGCAUAAAUAUUAAUUUUUUUAAUUUUAAAUGUAGAAUAAAUUAGUUUUUUAGUCAAAAUUGUUAACAUAUUAAUGAAAUAUAAUUUUUAUCUUCUAAUUAUUCAAACAAACUGUAAAAACAAUGAUGAAAAUUUUACCUUAAAGUCAUACAUAAUUCCUAAUCAUUAAUUUUGUCAAUUAUUGAAUUAAAUCAUAUAGUUAAUAUUUAUAGGAUUGAAUAGUUUCAAGAUUAAACAUAUAAUUUUAUUUGAAUUAGAAGAAUAGAAUUACUUAUAAGAUACAGUUCUUAGAACACUUAACAUUAUAUUAUGAUUUACAUAGUCUGUUAACCAAGUUGGUUUCCUAGUAGAACGAGGCUAACCUCUUUCAAUAGGUUGGAUUUCCGGUGACCAGCAAUUUGAUGUUGCAAGUCAGAUUCUAAAAGUUGUACAAGUUGGUCAUUUUGAUUCUCUAUUUCUUUAAAGGAGACUCAUAUAGGUUGCUGUUGUGACUCAUUUUUAUCCUAAUUCCAUGUGUUUUCUUCGUAAAAACUCACAUCUCUACUGAUCACAAUCUUUUUAGUGUCUGAAUUUAAUAAUUUAUAAGUUUUAGAGACUUCACUUAAGAUAAGAAAGACACAUUUUUCACCUUUAUCAUUUAACUUUUUUCUUUUCUCAUCAGAUAUAUAUAUGCAUAUUUGAUGCAACUGAAAAUUCCACAAUGAUCAACAGUUGGUUUUCUUUCACUCCAUAUUUCCUUUGGAGUCAUAUUCUGUAUUGAAAAUGUUAGACUUCUAUUCAGUACAUGGAUACUCCAAUUAACUGCCUUAGGGCAAAAGUUUUUCGGAACAUUGCCUUUAGCCAGCAAUCUUCUCACCAUAUUAAGUAUUGUUCUAUUUUUCCUUUCCAAUACGCCAUUUUAGUAUGGUAUAUAGGCAGCUGUGAGUUGUCUUUGAAUGCUUUAUUCAUCACAAAAUUGUUUAAAUUUCUUUGAACAAUAUUUUCCACCAUGAUUAGUACGGAAAGUUUUAACUGCCUUCCCUUACUCAUUUUCAACAUGCACUUUGAAGCUUUUAAAUGCACAAAAAGCUUCUGAUUUAGCCUGCAAAAAGUAAAUCCAAUCUUCCGAGAAAAAUCAUCAAUGAAAGUGAUUAAAUAUUUAUUACCCCCAUUGGAAGUUGAAUUGAUUGGAACACAUAUAUCGAAAUGGACCAGCUCUAAAAAAUUUUUCGCUCUCUAUUAUUUUCCUUGUGGAAAUUGAGAGCAAUGUUGUUUACAAACACACACUCUUCAUAAACACGAGAUGGAAUAGUAAUUUGAGGAUGACCAUUCCCCAUAUUCCCCUGUUGGAGAGUUCUUAAUCCACCGAAAUUCAAGUGGCCGUAACGGAAAUGCCAAAGCCGAGAUGGAUUCUUCAUUUCAGCCAUCAAAUUGGUUUGGGCAACUUGAAUUUGCAAUGGAAACAACCUGUUUGAGCUCAUUUAAAUAAUUACAAUAGCUUCUCUUGAAGGAUCAUAAAUUUUACAAGCUCUCUUUUGAAUGAUUAUCAGAUAGCCCUUCUCUUGCAAUUGACCAGCACUAAGUAAAUUAAUUUUCAAAUCAGGAACAUAAAACACACUAGAAAUGGUCUCCAUAAAACCAUUCUUAGUUUUAAUAUCAAUAUCACCUUUUCCCAUCACAUUUACUUUAGAACUAUCACCAAAGCUCAUAGUUGAAUGAAAAGUUUUAUCUAAAUGGGAAAAGAGAGACUUACUACCACACAUAUGAUUACUACUGUAACGACCCAGAUUUCGGACCAUUACCGGCGCUAGGAUCCAGAUCGGCAUAAGGCCGCCGGGACCCGUAGCAAGCCUCCUAUACUCUCUGUAUACCUGUAUAAAUCUCAUACAUGAUCAAACAUUUCCUGUCAAAAUUUUGUUUUGUUCCUUGGCUUAACCUGUGCAUGCACUAACUCUGUAACCUGUGUAUGAACCCCCUAACCAGAGUACUCAUCAAUGCUCUAGUUGGGUCCAUACCAUAUGUGUUAAGCCUGGACACUCAUACUCAUCCAUGAAACAUAAACAUAAUCGACCAUGUACAUAAAGGGGAUUAACAUAAAACUGGGCCAAGCACAGUACUAUACAUCAUUCUUAACAAUACUACACAUCAUUCUUAACAGUUCUAAACAUCUCUUUAAAAGUUUACAUCAUAUACAUCAAUUACAUGUCCACCACUAGCUAUUACAUUAUCAGAACUCCUCUAACACUAUCAACUCCCUGAUCUGUCCCACACCUGCAAACUGGGGUAAAGGGAAAACGGGGUGAGCUAUAAAGCCCAGUGAGUAGAAACAUGGGGCAUUUUCAUAUAAACAUGCUCUCAUGGAAUGCAUCAUAACUCAAACAUUUCACGUAACGGAUGAAUCUUGUCACCAUUAGCCCUCUCAUCCUAUGCCCGGCCCUCGACGGGGCUCCGCAGGCUAUCACUUUAUAUCAUGCAGUUGCCAAGACGCGUGGACAUGAGGCAGCCCUGGACUUUCAUCAGCAUGCAAACAUAGGGCGGUGCCAGGACGCGAGGACAUGGGCAGCCUUGGACUUUCAUCAUCAUACAUAGGAGAGCUAAUGGGUCACUCAAAAUUCAUCCACAUCAUCAACAUAGUAUGCAAUGCAUCAACUUCGUGAAACUAAUGCAAAACAACCUAAAAUAUUCAUAGCAAUCAUGAUGCAUGAGAUAUGCUUAAAUUUUAAAACAUAGUUUAGUUCUACUCACCUCAAACUGACUCUGCUGCAGCUGACCUACUGCUGUGGUCCUCGGUUCCUCUGGUUCGAACCUACAUAGGUGGACUCAAAUGAGGUACCAAACAUAGACUAUAAAGACUCUAAACAACUCCCCGGAAACCCCCUAGAACAUCAUAAAACCAUCAUGUAAAACAAGCAAAGAAAGGCUGGACAGGGCACUUUCGGCGGCAGGUUCGGCGGCCGAAACCCCCCUCCAGAGACGAAACUCAUGCAUGUUCGGCGGCACCUUCGGCAGCCGAAAAUCUCGUCCAGAGACGAAACUCAUGCACCUUCGGCGGCACUUUCGGCGGCCGAACCUUGCCUCCAGAGACGAAGGUCCCAACUUUCGGAAGCAAGCUUUGGCAGCCGAAACUGCCUCCACAAGGGGUUCGGCGGCCGAAACUCCCUUCGGCGGCCGAACCUGGUUGCUUCUGUAAGGCAGAAACUCUGCAUCUCACAUGCACAACUCCCCCAAACUCAUUCCAACUUGCAUCAAACAUAACACAACUAGCAUAUACUUAAGUAUAUGCAUAAAGGGGUCCAAAACUAACAUAAAACCCCAAACAACAAACACAAACAACCACAAAUCAUGAAUAUACACAAAACCCUCCAUAACACCCUCCUUAACCUAACAUGCAUUUCUACCCAUAAAAACUCCAUGAAACCUUCAAAAAUCAAGAAAGGAAGUUCAGGAUCUUCACUUACCUCUUCCAAAUGAGAGAAUAAACGAUCCCAACGUGGAGUGAUGGAGAAAUCUUCCCUCAAAACCUCCAAACUUCCUAACUUUGCUCUUUUACUCAAAAACUUCAAAACAAACAUAAAACUCAUCAAAACUUUGAAUGAUUUGAAGGAAACAUGAAAAUCACCCAAGGAGAACCUCAGCCUCACCUCUGGUUGGCAAAAAUGGAAAAAGUGAUCCAAAUCACCGACCUUUGACCAUUUAUAGGUGGCUGGCCAGACCACCUUCGGCGGCCAAACGUGAAGCCGAAUGCCAUGCAUGUUUGGCGGCCGAAAGUAACCUUCGGCGGCCGAACAUGGGCUUUUCUGCCUUGGUGUUUUUUCUUUCAAAAACUCAUUUCUUUUUAACACUUUAAAACAUUAAAACUCUUUUAAAACAUGUAAAAACAUAACCCGAACCCUUCUAGGGCAUUCCGACAUCGGAAAUUCACCGGACUACAGGAAUUCCAAUGCCGAACUCUAGCCGGGUAUUACAUUCUCCCCCCCUUAAGAACAUUCGUCCUCGAAUGUUCCUCGAACACAUAACACAUAGAUACGGGAAAAAACUAACUAACCUUAAAACAGAUAUGGAUACUGCUGAAGCAUAGAUUCCCGUGUCUCCCAGGUGCAUUCCUCUAGAUUGUGGUGGUUCCACAAAACUUUCACCAUCGGAAUUUCCUUGUUCCUUAGCUUUCUGAUCUGCGUGUCCAAGAUCCGUACUGGCUGCUCUACAUAGGUGAGAUCACCGAGGAUCUCUACAUCAGGUUCACUAAGAACCUUACUCGGAUCAGGCACGAACCGUCUCAGCAUAGAAACAUGGAAAACCGGGUGAAUUCUCUCCAUAGAUGCAGGUAAAUCCAGCUUAUACGAUACCUUCCCGAUCCUCUGCAAGAUCUCAAAGGGACCAAUGUACCGCGGAGCUAGUUUACCCUUUCUUCCGAACCUAACCACUCCCUUCAUUGGAGACACUUUCAGCAAAACCAUAUCCCCCUCCUGGAACUCUAACUGUUUCCUGCGAACGUCUGCAUAGCUCUUCUGUCUGCUAACUGCAGUUUUCAUCCUUUCUCUGAUUAUGGGCACUACCCUGCUGGUAAUCUCUAUUAACUCUGGCCCUGCCAGAGCCUUCUCCCCUACUUUUUCCCAGCAAACAGGUGUUCUGCAUUUCCUCCCAUACAAAGCUUCAUAAGGAGCCAUCCCUAUGCUAGCAUGAUGGCUGUUGUUGUAGGCAAACUCCACCAAAGGUAGAUGCUGUCUCCAAGAACCGCCAAAGUCUAACACACACAUUCUGAGCAUAUCUUCUAUGGUUUGGAUGGUCCUCUCUGAUUGACCGUCUGUCUGUGGGUGGAAAGCAGUACUGAAAUCCAAUCUCGUGCCCAUAGCAGCUUGCAGACUCCGCCAAAACCUGGAGGUAAACUGAGGUCCUCUAUCCGAAACUAUAGACACAGGAACUCCAUGCAGCUUUACUAUCUCUUCUACAUACACCUGCGCAAGUUUGUCCACAGAGUAGUUACUCCUAACCGGAAUGAAGUGAGCAGAUUUAGUCAGUCUAUCCACAAUCACCCAGAUGGAGUCUAGCCUGUUAGACGUCACCGGUAACCCCACUACAAAGUCCAUGGCUAUGUUUUCCCAUUUCCACUCUGGAAUAGGCAGUGGGUUAAGCAUUCCGGCCGGCUUCUGGUGCUCUAGCUUCACCCUUUGACAUAUCUCGCAGGCUGACACAUACUGUGCCACUUCUUUAUUCAUCGCUGGCCACCAAUACACUCUUCUCAAAUCUUGAUACAUCUUAGUGGCUCCAGGGUGAACGCUAUACCUUGCAUUAUGAGCUUCCCUCAUAAUGUCUUCCUUCAACUCUCUAUCAUCUGGUACACAUAGACGAUUCCCGUAACGGAGGAUCCCUUGACCGUCAAACCUGAAUUCUGCACUGUUGCCUGACUGAACAGUCCUGACAAUCUUCACUAGUUCUGGGUCCUCGUGCUGUUUCUGAGCCACCUGCUCCAGAAAAACUGGUGUUACUCUCAUCUGUGCUAUCAAAGCACCGGUACCAGAUAACUUUAACUGCAGCCCUUCCUCCAAGAGCUUAUAAAACUCCGACACCACUGGUCGUCUCUCUGCGGUUAUGUGGGAUAAGCUGCCAAGUGACUUCCGGCUUAAGGCGUCUGCCACAACGUUCGCCUUACCCGGAUGAUACUGAAUUUUACAAUCGUAGUCACUAAGUAGCUCUACCCACCUUCUUUGUCUCAAAUUCAGCUCUCUUUGACUCAAGAUAUACUGUAAACUUUUGUGGUCUGUGAAGAUCUCGCAUCUAACCCCAUAGAGGUAGUGUCUCCACAUCUUGAGUGCAAAGAUAACUGCUGCCAUCUCCAGGUCGUGUGUGGGGUAAUUCAACUCAUUCUUCUUCAACUGCCUAGAAGCAUAAGCUAUCACCCUAUCAUUCUGCAUCAAAACACAACCCAGCCCUACUCUAGACGCAUCACAGAAUACUGUGAAGUCCUCACCACUGACUGGCAAAGCCAACACUGGUGCUGUCGUCAAUCUCCUCUUAAGCUCUUCAAAACUUUCUUCACACUGAUCUGACCAAGCAAACUUCUGAUUCUUCUUGGUCAGCUUGGUCAUAGGAGCGGCUAUUUUUGAGAAAUCCUGCACAAACCAUCUGUAGUAGCCGGCCAAACCCAAGAAACUUUUAAUCUCCGUCACCGUAGUGGGUCUGGGCCAGUUAGCUACAGCCUCUAUCUUCUUGGGGUCUACCUCGAUUCCGUCUGCUGAAACAACAUGCCCCAAGAAAGAAAUGCUCCUUAACCAGAACUCACACUUGGAGAACUUAGCAUACAAGCUAUGCUCUCUCAAGGUUUGCAAAACUGUCCCCAGAUGAUGGGCAUGCUCCUCUGCAUCCUUGGAGUACACUAGAAUAUCAUCUAUAAAGACAAUCACAAAGUGAUCCAGGUACUCACUGAAAACUCUAUUCAUGAGGUCCAUAAAUGCUGCAGGGGCAUUAGUCAACCCGAACGGCAUUACCAGGAACUCAUAGUGCCCAUAUCUGGUCCUGAAGGCUGUCUUGGGAACAUCUUCUUCUCUAACUCUUAACUGGUGAUAUCCCGAUCUCAGAUCUAUUUUAGAAAAACAACCUGCUCCAGCUAGCUGGUCGAAUAGAUCGUCGAUCCUCGGCAAGGGAUACUUAUUCUUGGUAGUGACCUUAUUCAACUGUCUAUAGUCGAUACAAAGUCUAAGGGAUCCAUCCUUCUUUCUAACAAAAAGCACUGGAGCACCCCAAGGUGAGGUACUAGGGCGGAUGAAACCCUUAUCUACCAACUCUUGCAGCUACUCUUUCAGCUCUUUCAAUUCUGCUGGUGCCAUCCUGUAGGGAGGAAUAGAGAUCGGUCUGGUACCAGGCGUCAACUCUAUCUCGAACUCUAUUUCCCUAUCAGGUGGUAGUCCUAGAAGCUCUUCCGGGAACACAUCUAAAAACUCAUUAACUACUGGUACCGAAGCUGGUUCCCUAACCUGUUUAUCUAGCUCUCUCACAUGAGCUAGAAACCCCUGACAACCCCUCCUCAACAACCUGUGAGCCUGAAGGGCUGAUAUCAAGCCUCUAGGCGUCCCCCUCCUGUCUCCUCUGAAGACACAUACUGACCCAUCCAGAUCCCUAAGACUAACUACCUUGUCCCUGCAAUCCAAGGUAGCACCAUAUGUAGAUAGCCAAUCCAUCCCUAGAAUGACGUCAAAAUCUAUCAAAUCUAGAACCACCAGGUCAGCUGGAAGGCAUCUACCUUCUAUAAACACUAGACUGUACCUGCAGACUGACUCUGCUACUGAUGGGUCACAUUUGGGUCCACUGACCCAGAGAGGACACUCUAACCCAGAAACUAUCAGACCCAACCUCUCUACGGCUCUAGAAGCAAUGAAAGAGUGAGUAGCACCGGGGUCCAUUAAAGCAUACACAUCAGAACACCCAAUGAUGAGUUUACCUGACACCACCGUGUUAGAUGUGUUAGCCUCUUCUUGCGUCAUCGUGAAGAUCCGCGCUGGGGCUGCAGGACCUCCACCUCGGGAACCUGCUGCUGCUGAAGAAGAGGCUGCUCCUCUUCCUCGACCUCUGCUACUAGCCUGAGUUUGUGCUGGUGCUGCUGGCUGAGCUACACUGCCAGAACCCGUCUGCUGAGACUGUGCCAUAGAAACUGUUCUAGGACAAUCCCGAGCCAUAUGCCCCUCUUGUCCACAUCUAAAACAUGCAUUUGUCCCAGCUCGACAAACUCCUCUGUGUAACUUUCCACACCUCAUGCACACCUGACUUCCCGAACCAGGGUUUGAACUACUUCCCAUUCCUAGUCCGGACUUCAGCUUGUUCCAAAACUUACUCUUUUUAGACUUGGACCUGUCCAUUUUUCCACUUCCUGAUGCCUUGGGUACUGAAGUUUGAGCCACUGACUGCCUAACCUUCCCUUCAAUGAUCGCACUAGCCUCCAUUCUCCGAGCCAUAUCUACUAUAGCAUGGAAGCUCUCCCUCUCAGCUGAUUGUAUCAAGGAGGAAUACCUGGAGUUUAACUUCAUAAUAAACCUCCUGGACUUCUUCUGAUCAGUAUCAAGAGAUUGCCCUGAAAAAGGCAAGAGCUCCAUAAAUUUGUCAGCGAGAUCAUCUACGGUCAUCUCAUCACUCUGCCUCAGUUGUUCAAAUUCUAACAUCUUCAUCUCCCUCGAGCUAUCGGGAAAAGUCCAUCCCGCAAACUCGUUAGCAAACACCUCCUAGGUGAGACUGUCUAUCCUCGGUUCUACAUAGCUUCGAUACCACUCUUUAGCUUUCUUACAUUUCAAUGAGAUCCCUGCCAUCUGAAUGGCUCUGGUAUCGUCAGCCCCUAGCUCAUCUGUAAGCGUCUUCACCGUUUUGAGAUACUCAAACGGAUCGUCACCUGUAUCAAAUUGGGGAGCACCCAACAUCAGAUAAGCAGUCAUUUUGACCUUUCCCCUUCUAGAUGAACUAGGCUGUGAUAUUGGAACUUCUGGGGCUAUAGGUUCUUCUGGUGGUGAUGGAGGUGCAACAUUUUCUGGUAUAGGGUGUACUGUUUCUGGAUGAUAAGAUGGGGGUGGAUACAUAGGAUACUGUGGGUAUGGUGGAUAGAAUGGUGGAUAUGUCAUAUAAGAUGGGUAAGGGUUAAAACUAGGAUGAUCCGACAUACCUCCCAUCGAAUAUCCCGGAUACUGUGGAUAAGGUGGGUAUUGAGGUGGUGAAACAAACUCCGAGGCCUGAGUGCCUCCCUGAGACUCACCCAUGCCUUCCUCAGACAUACCGACACCCAAAUUACUAUCCAUCUGCUGCUCCACAUCCCAAUCAUCCUCCACUUCCAUAGAUACUCCUCCUUGCACUGUUCCUCUUCUGCUUCCAUCAAAAGACCUUCUAGGGUCCCUUGACGUUCUUCCUCUGCUAGGCCUACUUGAUAUGGACCUAGGCAAAACAGGAGGAUGGGCAUCUGCACCCUCGUCCUGAGAUGGUACUCUAGUCAAUCGGGUAGAUCGACGAGUUCCUCGCAUCUUGUUUUCUGAGAAAACAACACAUAGCACAAAACAUCAGUAUCAUAUGGUCCAUGUGGAAACACACAUGAACCCUCAUCACAUAUAAAACAUGCAUAUCAUAACAUCAUCAAAGGACAAAACUCAACAUCCUACCCUAGUGGACAUGUUUUUCCUACUGUGCUUGCCCUUCUAGAACAUCUAUGAGCCCUAUACACUCUAGGUCCGACCUUACGAACCUAGGGCUCUGAUACCAAUCUGUAACGACCCAGAUUUCGGACCAUUACCUGCACUAGGAUCCAGAUCGGCAUAAGGCCGCCGGGACCCGUAGCAAGCCUCCUAUACUCUCUGCAUACCUGUAUAAAUCCCAUACAUGAUCAAACAUUUCCUGUCAAAAUUUUGUUUUGUUCCCUGGCUUAAUCUGUGCAUGCACUAACUCUGUAACCUGUGUAUGAACCCCCUAACCAGAGUACUCAUCAAUGCUCUAGUUGGGUCCAUACCAUAUGUGUUAAGCCUGGACACUCAUACUCAUCCAUGAAACAUAAACAUAAUCGACCAUGUACAUAAAGGGAAUUAACAUAAAACUGGGCCAAGCACAGUACUAUACAUCAUUCUUAACAAUACUACACAUCAUUCUUAACAGUUCUAAACAUCUAUUUAAAAGUUUACAUCAUAUACAUCAAUUACAUGUCCACCACUAGCUAUUACAUGAUCAGAACUCCUCUAACACUAUCAACUCCCUGAUCUGUCCCACACCUGCAAACUGGGGUAAAGGGAAAACGGGGUGAGCUAUAAAGCCCAGUGAGUAGAAACAUGGGGCAUUUUCAUAUAAACAUGCUCUCAUGGAAUGCAUCAUAACUCAAACAUUUCACGUAACGGAUGAAUCUUGUCACCAUUAGCCCUCUCAUCCUAUGCCCGACCCUCGACGGGGCUCCGCAGGCUAUCACUUUAUAUCAUGCAGUUGCCAAGACGCGUGGACAUGAGGCAGCCCUAGACUUUCAUCAGCAUGCAAACAUAGGGGGGUGCCAGGACGCGAGGACAUGGGCAGCCUUGGACUUUCAUCAUCAUACAUAGGAGAGCUAAUGGGUCACUCAAAAUUCAUCCACAUCAUCAACAUAGUAUGCAAUGCAUCAACUUCAUGAAACUAAUGCAAAACAACCUAAAAUAUUCAUAGCAAUCAUGAUGCAUGAGAUAUGCUUAAAUUUUAAAACAUGGUUUAGUUCUACUCACCUCAAACUGACUCUGCUGCAGCUGACCUACUGCUGUGGUCCUCGGUUCCUCUGGUCCGAACCUACAUAGGUGGACUCAAAUGAGGUACCAAACAUAGACUAUAAAGACUCUAAACAACUCUCCGGAAACCCCCUAGAACAUCAUAAAACCAUCAUGUAAAACAAGCAAAGAAAGGCUGGACAGGGCACUUUCGGCGGCAGGUUCGGUGGCCGAAACCCCCCUCCAGAGACGAAACUCAUGCAUGUUCGGCGGCACCUUCGGCGGCCGAAAGUCCCGUCCAGAGACGAAACUCAUGCACCUUCAGCAGCACUUUCGGCGGCCGAACCUUGCCUCUAGAGACGAAGGUCCCAACUUUCGGAAGCAAGCUUUGGCAGCCGAAACUGCCUCCACAAGGGGUUCGGCGGCCGAAACUCCCUUCGGCGGCCGAACCUGGUUGCUUCCGUAAGGCAGAAACUCUGCAUCUCACAUGCACAACUCCCCCAAACUCAUUCCAACUUGCAUCAAACAUAACACAACUAGCAUAUACUUAAGUGUAACGCCCCGGAAAUCCGGACCGCUACCGGCGCUAGGAUCCAGAUCGGCAUAAGGCCGCCGGGACCCGUAGCAAGCCUAACAUAACCUGUAAACAUGUUUAAUCCCAUACAUGAUCAACCAUAUACAUAAAAAAAAAAAAUCAAAACUUUUCUUUCAUACAUACUAUCAUCAACUAACUCAACCUGUGCAUACUCUGAACAUAUACAUAACAUAAUCCCUCUGUGGGAUCUCAUCAAGCCUCAAAGGCAAAACAACAGGUGUUGAGUUAAUUUACAUAAACAUCAUAUCAUAAGAUCAUGUACAUACAAAAGGGNNNNNNNNNNNNNNNNNNNNNNNNNNNNNNNNNNNNNNNNNNNNNNNNNNNNNNNNNNNNNNNNNNNNNNNNNNNNNNNNNNNNNNNNNNNNNNNNNNNNNNNNNNNNNNNNNNNNNNNNNNNNNNNNNNNNNNNNNNNNNNNNNNNNNNNNNNNNNNNNNNNNNNNNNNNNNNNNNNNNNNNNNNNNNNNNNNNNNNNNNNNNNNNNNNNNNNNNNNNNNNNNNNNNNNNNNNNNNNNNNNNNNNNNNNNNNNNNNNNNNNNNNNNNNNNNNNNNNNNNNNNNNNNNNNNNNNNNNNNNNNNNNNNNNNNNNNNNNNNNNNNNNNNNNNNNNNNNNNNNNNNNNNNNNNNNNNNNNNNNNNNNNNNNNNNNNNNNNNNNNNNNNNNNNNNNNNNNNNNNNNNNNNNNNNNNNNNNNNNNNNNNNNNNNNNNNNNNNNNNNNNNNNNNNNNNNNNNNNNNNNNNNNNNNNNNNNNNNNNNNNNNNNNNNNNNNNNNNNNNNNNNNNNNNNNNNNNNNNNNNNNNNNNNNNNNNNNNNNNNNNNNNNNNNNNNNNNNNNNNNNNNNNNNNNNNNNNNNNNNNNNNNNNNNNNNNNNNNNNNNNNNNNNNNNNNNNNNNNNNNNNNNNNNNNNNNNNNNNNNNNNNNNNNNNNNNNNNNNNNNNNNNNNNNNNNNNNNNNNNNNNNNNNNNNNNNNNNNNNNNNNNNNNNNNNNNNNNNNNNNNNNNNNNNNNNNNNNNNNNNNNNNNNNNNNNNNNNNNNNNNNNNNNNNNNNNNNNNNNNNNNNNNNNNNNNNNNNNNNNNNNNNNNNNNNNNNNNNNNNNNNNNNNNNNNNNNNNNNNNNNNNNNNNNNNNNNNNNNNNNNNNNNNNNNNNNNNNNNNNNNNNNNNNNNNNNNNNNNNNNNNNNNNNNNNNNNNNNNNNNNNNNNNNNNNNNNNNNNNNNNNNNNNNNNNNNNNNNNNNNNNNNNNNNNNNNNNNNNNNNNNNNNNNNNNNNNNNNNNNNNNNNNNNNNNNNNNNNNNNNNNNNNNNNNNNNNNNNNNNNNNNNNNNNNNNNNNNNNNNNNNNNNNNNNNNNNNNNNNNNNNNNNNNNNNNNNNNNNNNNNNNNNNNNNNNNNNNNNNNNNNNNNNNNNNNNNNNNNNNNNNNNNNNNNNNNNNNNNNNNNNNNNNNNNNNNNNNNNNNNNNNNNNNNNNNNNNNNNNNNNNNNNNNNNNNNNNNNNNNNNNNNNNNNNNNNNNNNNNNNNNNNNNNNNNNNNNNNNNNNNNNNNNNNNNNNNNNNNNNNNNNNNNNNNNNNNNNNNNNNNNNNNNNNNNNNNNNNNNNNNNNNNNNNNNNNNNNNNNNNNNNNNNNNNNNNNNNNNNNNNNNNNNNNNNNNNNNNNNNNNNNNNNNNNNNNNNNNNNNNNNNNNNNNNNNNNNNNNNNNNNNNNNNNNNNNNNNNNNNNNNNNNNNNNNNNNNNNNNNNNNNNNNNNNNNNNNNNNNNNNNNNNNNNNNNNNNNNNNNNNNNNNNNNNNNNNNNNNNNNNNNNNNNNNNNNNNNNNNNNNNNNNNNNNNNNNNNNNNNNNNNNNNNNNNNNNNNNNNNNNNNNNNNNNNNNNNNNNNNNNNNNNNNNNNNNNNNNNNNNNNNNNNNNNNNNNNNNNNNNNNNNNNNNNNNNNNNNNNNNNNNNNNNNNNNNNNNNNNNNNNNNNNNNNNNNNNNNNNNNNNNNNNNNNNNNNNNNNNNNNNNNNNNNNNNNNNNNNNNNNNNNNNNNNNNNNNNNNNNNNNNNNNNNNNNNNNNNNNNNNNNNNNNNNNNNNNNNNNNNNNNNNNNNNNNNNNNNNNNNNNNNNNNNNNNNNNNNNNNNNNNNNNNNNNNNNNNNNNNNNNNNNNNNNNNNNNNNNNNNNNNNNNNNNNNNNNNNNNNNNNNNNNNNNNNNNNNNNNNNNNNNNNNNNNNNNNNNNNNNNNNNNNNNNNNNNNNNNNNNNNNNNNNNNNNNNNNNNNNNNNNNNNNNNNNNNNNNNNNNNNNNNNNNNNNNNNNNNNNNNNNNNNNNNNNNNNNNNNNNNNNNNNNNNNNNNNNNNNNNNNNNNNNNNNNNNNNNNNNNNNNNNNNNNNNNNNNNNNNNNNNNNNNNNNNNNNNNNNNNNNNNNNNNNNNNNNNNNNNNNNNNNNNNNNNNNNNNNNNNNNNNNNNNNNNNNNNNNNNNNNNNNNNNNNNNNNNNNNNNNNNNNNNNNNNNNNNNNNNNNNNNNNNNNNNNNNNNNNNNNNNNNNNNNNNNNNNNNNNNNNNNNNNNNNNNNNNNNNNNNNNNNNNNNNNNNNNNNNNNNNNNNNNNNNNNNNNNNNNNNNNNNNNNNNNNNNNNNNNNNNNNNNNNNNNNNNNNNNNNNNNNNNNNNNNNNNNNNNNNNNNNNNNNNNNNNNNNNNNNNNNNNNNNNNNNNNNNNNNNNGCAGGUUGAGUUAGUAGAUGAUGAAAUGUAUGAAAGAAAAGUUUUAAUUGUUUAUGAUGAUGUUGAUCAUGUAUGGGAUUAAACAGGUUUACAGGUUACAUGUCAGGCUUGCUACGGGUCCCGGCGGCCUUAAGCCGAUCUGGAUCCUAGCGCCGGUAGCGGUCCGAUUUUCGGGGCGUUACAGAGUGGUAUCAGAGCCCUAGGUUCACAUGGUCGGACCUAGAGUGUCGGGCUCAUAGAUGUUAUAGAAGGUCAAGCACAAUAGGAAAAGAUCAUGUCCACUAGGAUAGGAUAAUGAGUCCUGUCUUGAAUGAUGAUGUGAAAUGCCAUGACAUGAUGCAUGUGCAUUAAUGAUAUGUUUUGAUUGCUAUGUAUGUGAUGAGGGUUCAUGUGUGCCCAUAUGAACCAUAUGAUGCUAAUGUUUGCUUGCUAUGUGCUGUUUUCAGAAAACAGGAUGAGAGGAACUCGUCGAUCUGCACGAUUGACUGGAGUACCACCUGAGGAUGAGGGCAUGAGCGCCCGUCCUCCAGCAUUGCCUAGGGCAAUGUCUAGCAGGUCAAGCAGGGAAAGAGUAGCAAGAGACCCUAGAAGGUCUUUAGAUAUGGGUAGAAGCAGAUCAGUAAGGGGGACUGUGCAAGGCGGUAUGUCAGAGGAUGUGGGAGAUGAGAUGGAUGUGGACCAGAGGAGGGAUGGUAGCCUUGGAGUGAGUAUGUCGGAAGAAGGGAUGGGAGAGUCCCAAGGAGGCACACAGGCCUCGGGAUUUGUUCAGCCACCUCAGUACCCACCUUUUCCACAUAAUCCCGGGUAUUCGAUGGGAGGUACAUCGGAUUACCCUAGCUUUAGCCCUUUCCCCACACAGAUGCCAUACCCACCAUACUACCCACCAUACCCACAGUACCCUAUGUAUCCACCCCCACCCUACUAUCCAAAUCCAGCAAACCCUACCCCAGGGGAUGCUGCACCUCCUCCACCACCCACAGAACCCACAGUUCCAACAACCCAAGACCCUAAACCUAGCUCAUCUGGAGGGAGCAAAGUGAGGAUGACCGACUACAUGAAGUUGGGUGCCCCCCAAUUUGAAACAGGUGACGACCCAUUUGUGUAUCUGGAGAGGGUCAAAACCAUAACAGAUGAGAUAGGAGCGGAGGACAGUAGAGCCAUUCAGAUGGCAGGGUUCACCCUGAAAUGCAAGAAGGCCCGUGAGUGGUUCAAGGCCUAUGUGAAACCGAGGGUGGACAGUCUUUCAUGGGAGGAGUUUGCUAAUGAGUUUGCAGGAUGGGCUUUCCCUGAUAGCUCAAGGGAACAGAAGAUGAUAGAGUUCGAACAGUUGAGACAAACUGAUGACAUGAGUGUAGAUGAAUACACUGACAGGUUUAUGGAGUUGCUGCCAUUUGCUGGCCAGAACCUUGAUACAGACCAUAAAAAGUCAAGGAGGUACAUCAUGAAGCUCAAUUCCAGGUAUUCCUCCUUGAUACAGUCAACAGAUAGAGAGAGUUUCCAUGCCAUAGUGGAUAUGGCCCGGAGAAUGGAGGCUAGUGCUAUCAUCGAGGGCAGAGUUAAACAGUCAGUGGCACAGCCUUCUGGUCUUAAGACCCCAGGUUCUUCAUCUCUGAGUGCAGCUGCUUCAGGCAGUAAGAAGUGGGACAGAAGCCCCAAGAAGUCAAAGAAGAACAAGUUCUGGAGCAAGAUCAAGUCAGGUCUGGGAUUAGGAGGUGGCUCAAGCUCUGGUGGAAAUAGUGCUGUGUGUGCUAAGUGUGGUAGGCCACACUGGGGAGUAUGCCGGUUUGGGACGACAGCCUGCUACAGAUGUGGGCAACAGGGACAUAUGUCACGGGAGUGUCCUAGAGCAGCUCCUACGGCACAGCCUCAGCAGACAGCUUCAGGCAGUGUAGCACAGCCAGCAGCUCCAGCCAUGACACAGGCCAGUGGCAGAGGCAGAGGGAGAGGGUCAGCCUCUUCUUCAGCAGGGUUCAGAGGUGAGGGUCCGUCAGCUCCAGCAAGGAUCUUCACCAUGACACAGCAGGAGGCUAACACAUCCAACACCGUGGUGUCAGGUAAUCUCAUCAUUGGGUGUUCUGAUGUGUAUGCAUUGAUGGACCCUGGUGCAUCUCAUUCUUUUAUUGCACCGAGAGCCGUUCAGAGGUUAGGGUUGAUGGUCUCUGGGUUAGAGUGUCCCCUAUGGGUCAGUGGACCCAAGUGUGACCCGACAGUUGCAGAGUCAGUCUGCCAGUGUAGUCCAGUUUUUAUAGAGGGAAGAUGCUUAUCCGCCGACCUUGUGGUUCUAGAUUUGACAGACUUCGACGUCAUUCUAGGGAUGGAUUGGCUAUCUACCCAUGGUGCUACCUUGGACUGCAGAGACAAGGUAGUUAAGUUCAGAUGUCAGGAUGGGUCAGAGGUCGUCUUCAGAGGAGACAAAAAGGGUACACCUAGAGGCCUGAUAUCAGCUCUUCAGGCUCAGAGGUUGCUUAGGAGGGGAUGUCAGGGGUUUUUGGCUCAUGUGAGAGAGCUAGACAGUCAGGUUAGAGAGCCCGCCUCAGUGCCAGUAGUCAGAGAGUUCUUAGAUGUCUUCCCAGACGAGCUUCCAGGAUUACCACCUGCUAGGGAGAUAGAGUUUGAAAUAGAGCUGAUGCCUGGAACUAGGCCUAUCUCUAUCCCUCCCUACAGGAUGGCACCAGCAGAGUUGAAGGAGCUUAAGGAACAAUUGCAAAAACUGGUGGAUAAGGGUUUCAUCCGACCGAGUACCUCACCUUGGGGUGCUCCAGUGCUCUUUGUGAAGAAAAAGGAUGGAUCCCUCAGGCUUUGUAUCGACUACAGGCAGUUGAACAAAGUCACCAUCAAGAAUAAGUACCCGUUGCCAAGGAUCGACGAUCUAUUCGACCAGCUAGCAGGAGCGGGUUGUUUCUCCAAAAUAGAUCUAAGAUCUGGGUACCAUCAGCUGAGGAUUAGAGAGGAAGAUGUACCAAAGACAGCCUUCAGGACCAGAUAUGGGCAUUUUGAGUUCCUUGUGAUGCCGUUCGGGUUAACCAACGCCCCUGCAGCAUUCAUGGAUCUCAUGAACAGAGUAUUUAGACAGUACCUGGAUCACUUCGUUAUUGUCUUCAUAGAUGAUAUCCUAGUGUAUUCCAGGAAUGCAGAGGAGCAUGCCCAUCAUCUGAGAUUAGUUCUGCAGACCUUGAGGGAACAUGGCUUGUAUGCCAAGUUCUCCAAGUGUGAGUUCUGGUUAAGGAGCAUCUCAUUCUUGGGGCAUAUUGUGUCAGAGAACGGAAUAGAAGUGGAUCCCAAGAAAGUUGAAGCUGUGACUAACUGGCCUAGACCCACUACAGUAACAGAGAUCAUAAGUUUCUUGGGUUUGGCUGGUUAUUACAGGAGGUUCGUUCAGGACUUCUCGAAAAUUGCAGCUCCUUUGACCAGGUUAACCAGAAAGAAUCAGAAGUUCAUAUGGACCGAACAGUGCCAAGAGAGUUUUGAAGAGCUGAAGGGAAGGUUGACUUCAGCACCGGUGUUAGCUCUGCCAAACAGCAAUGAGGAUUUCACAGUGUUCUGUGAUUCAUCCAGAGUAGGUGUGGGUUGUGUGCUAAUGCAGAAUGGAAGGGUGAUAGCUUAUGCUUCUAGACAGUUAAAGAGGCACGAGUUAAAUUACCCCACACACGACCUUGAGAUGGCAGCAGUUAUCUUUGCCCUCAAGAUGUGGAGGCACUACCUCUAUGGGGUAAAAUGUGAGAUCUUUACAGAUCAUAAGAGCCUGCAGCACAUCUUGAGCCAGAGAGAGCUGAAUUUGAGACAGAGAAGAUGGGUAGAACUGUUAAGUGACUAUGAUUGCAAGAUCCAGUACCAUCCGGGUAAGGCUAAUGUAGUGGCUGAUGCCUUAAGCCGGAAAUCACUUGGCAGUCUAUCCCACAUCACGGCAGAGAGGAGACCCGUGGUGAAGGAGUUUUACAAACUCAUGAAUGAAGGUCUACAAUUGGAGUUGUCUGGUACAGGCGCUUUGAUUGCACAGAUGAGAGUGGCACCCGUGUUUCUGGAGCAGGUGGCUCAGAAACAGCAUGAGGACCCAGAGUUAGUGAAGAUUGUCAGGACUGUUCAGUCAGGUAAAGACAGUGAGUUCAGAUUUGAUGAUAGGGGGAUCCUCCGCUAUGGGAGCAGACUAUGUGUACCAGAUGACAUAGGGCUAAAGGGAGACAUUAUGAGAGAGGCUCAUAAUGCAAGAUACAGUGUUCACCCUGGAGCCACCAAGAUGUAUCAAGAUCUGAAGAGAGUGUAUUGGUGGCCAGCUAUGAAGAGGGAAGUGGCACAGUUCGUGUCAGCCUGCGAAGUGUGUCAGAGGGUGAAACUGGAACAUCAGAAGCCGGCUGGAAUGCUUAACCCGCUACCUAUUCCAGAGUGGAAAUGGGAAAAUAUAGCUAUGGACUUCGUAGUGGGGUUACCGGCGACACCCAACAGGUUAGACUCCAUAUGGGUGAUUGUGGACAGACUCACCAAAUCUGCUCACUUUAUUCCUGUCAGGAGCAACUACUCUGUGGAUAAAUUGGCGCAGGUGUAUGUGGAUGAAGUAGUAAGGCUGCAUGGGGUUCCUGUUUCAAUAGUGUCAGAUAGAGGGCCCCAGUUCACCUCCAGGUUUUGGCGGAGUCUGCAGAGUGCUAUGGGUACCAGACUAGAUUUCAGUACUGCCUUCCAUCCCCAGACUGAUGGACAGUCAUAGAGGACCAUCCAGACUAUAGAAGAUAUGCUCAGGAUGUGUGUGCUAGAUUUUGGCGGUUCUUGGAGGCAACAUCUACCCUUGGUGGAGUUUGCCUACAAUAACAGCUAUCAUGCUAGCAUAGGGAUGGCUCCAUAUGAAGCUUUGUAUGGGAGGAAGUGCAGGUCACCCGUUUGCUGGGAAGAGGUUGGAGAGAGGUCCUUAGCAGGGCCUGAGCUUGUAGAGAUCACCAGCAGGGUGGUGCCCAUGAUCAGAGAAAGAAUCAGAACUGCCAUGAGUAGACAGAAAAGUUAUGCAGACAUCCGCAGGAAACAGGUAGAAUUUCAGGAGGGGGAUCUAGUAUUGCUCAAGGUGUCUCCGAUAAAAGGGGUGGUUCGGUUUGGUAAGAAGGGUAAGCUAGCUCCGCGGUACAUCGGACCCUUUGAAGUCCUGCAAAGGAUUGGGAGUGUAUCGUACAAGCUGGAUUUACCUGCAUCUAUGGAAAGAAUCCAUCCGGUUUUCCAUGUUUCCAUGUUAAGAAAGUUCGUGUCAGAUCCAGGCAAGGUUCUUAGCGAGCCUGAUGUGGAGAUCCAAGAGGAUCUCAUUUAUGUAGAGCAGCCAGUAUGGAUUCUAGACACUCAGAUCAGAAAGUUAAGGAACAAGGAAAUCCCGAUGGUGAAAGUCCUUUGGAACCACCACAAUUUGGAAGAAUGCACCUGGGAGACACGGGAGUCCAUGCUCCAGCAAUAUCCCCAUCUCUUUUAAAGGUUAGUAUCUAUGUGUGCUAUGUGUUUAGUAUGUAUGAUAUAUUUUAUGCUUUGUAUGUACUAAUUGAGGAACAUUCGGGGACGAAUGUUCUUAAGGGGGGGAGAAUGUAAUACCCGGCUAGACUCCGGUAUCGGAAUUCCUACCGUCCGGUGGAAUUUGGAUGUCGGAAACCUCUAGAAGGGUAAAAACAUGUUUUUAUAAAAUGUUUUCAUGUAUUUUAAUGUUUUAAGUAUGAAAUUAAAUGAGUUUUUGCAUGAAAAGUCUUUGGAGGAAAACCCAGGUUCGGCCGCCGAAAGUCAAGUUCGGCCGCCGAACAUGCAUGCGUUUGGGAGGCACGUUAGGCCCCCGAAAGCAUAAGAAAGGGGAGUCCAGGUUCGGCCGCCGAACCUUAUGUUCGGCCGCCGAACAUUGCAUGGAUGCGGAGGCACAUUCGGCCCCCGAACGUGGCCUGGCCAGCCACCUAUAAAAGGGGCACUUAGCCGAAAUGGGCGAGUUUUCUCCCAUUUUCGGCCACAGCAAGCUUUCGACCUCCCUCUCCCCAAAUCUUGUGUUCUUUCUACAAAUCUCCUCCAUUUUUCUUGAGUUUUAACUUCACAUUGCAAGUUUUGAGCAUUUGAGACAACUUUUGGAGCUUUGGAAACUCAGGAGCUCAUUUGCUUGGAUCUCCGAGUUUUGAUCGCCUCUCUCUCGAUCUUCAAGAGGUAAGAGCCGAUCUUAAGCUCAAUGUAUGUUUUAAACAAGUUUUAUGAAGUUUUAUGGGGUAGAAUGGCAUGUAUAGGGUUGUAUGAGUUAGUUGAGCUAUGUUAGGUUUUAUGUGAUUUUUUUGAGCAAUGUAUGUUGGAAAUGUGUUGUUGUGAGUGUUGUAGUUGGGGUAUAUGUUAGUUUGAGACCCCUAGGUGUAAUGUAUGUGAUGUAUGCAUGUUUUAGAACAAGUUUAUGCAUGAUUGGUGGUUUUGGGAGGCAAGAGGCUCAUGUGAGCAAAGUUUCUGCCUGUUUGGCAGAAACCAGGUUCGGCAGCCGAAGGGACUUUCGGCUGCCGAACCCCCUUGUGGAGGCAGCAUUCGGCUGCCGAAGCUUGCCCCCGAAAAGAGACUUUCGUCUCUGUCUGGGAGUUUCGGCCGCCGAAGGUGCCGCCGAACCUGCCUGACUUUCGUCUCUGUCCAGGACUUUCGGCCGCCGAAGGUGCCGCCGAAAGCGCCCUGUUCAGCCACUUCAUGCAUGUAUUCCUAUGUUUAUGUCAUGAUGUUUUAGGGGGUUUUUGGAGAGUAUAUUAGAGUUAUGUUUAUAUAUGUUUGGUCCCUCAUUGGAGUCCACCUGUGUAGGUUCAGACCCGAGGAACCGAGGAUCCCAGCAGUGAGUCAGCUGCUACAGAGUGUUGUUAGAGUCUUCAGAGCAACCAGAGGUGAGUAGAAUAAACUCUUAAGUUUUAAAAUUAAUGAAAUAUUAAUUUUGAGCAUGUUCAUGCAUCACGAUUGCCAUGAGAUAUUUUAGGAUGUUGCAUUAGAAUUCACGAAUAUGUUGCACUGCAUAUUAUGUUGAUGUUGUGGGUAAAUACUGAAUGAUCCACUAGUCCUUGAUAUGGAAGUCCAGGGAGCCUUUGACUACGCCCUUGGCACUAGAUAAUGGAAGACCAGGGAGCCUUUGACUACGCCCUUGGCACUAUGGAACGCCAAGACCAAGUGCCUGAUAAGGCCUUGGGGCAGUGUAAGUAAUGUUAUGCUUAAUGGAAGACCAGUGAGCCUCUGACUACGCCGCUGGCAUUAGAUAUGAUGAUGGGACUAGUUGGUGACAGGUUUACCCUUGAUGUGGCUUGUUUGUGAUGUGACACAUUUCAUGAAGCAUGAAUUAAAAAUAUAAUGUUUUUAUUAUUCUGCUCACUGGGCUCUUGUAGCUCACCCCUCUCCCCUAACCCCAGAUGUGCAGGUACAGGGUAGAUCAGGAGGUUAGCCAGAGAUUUGAAGUAUGUUUAUGUAAUAGCUAGAUUGUGGACAUGACAAAUGUAUUAUGAUGUAAUGUAAGAGAUCAUAGCAUGUUAUGUAAUGAGAUAUUUAUAUUGAGGUUAUAGUUGUGCUUGACCCUAUGAGUAUUGUUAUCCCAUUGAUACAUGAUCUAUAGAUGAUGCUUAUGUAAACUAACUCAACAUAUGUUGUAAUGCCUUUGAGGCUUGAUGAGAUCCCACAGAGGGACUAUGUUAUGUAUAUGUUCAGAGUAUGUGCAGGUUGAGUUAGUAGAUGAUGAAAUGUAUGAAAGAAAAGUUUUAAUUGUUUAUGAUGAUGUUGAUCAUGUAUGGGAUUAAACAGGUUUACAGGUUACAUGUCAGGCUUGCUACGGGUCCCGGCGGCCUUAAGCCGAUCUGGAUCCUAGCGCCGGUAGCGGUCCGAUUUUCGGGGCGUUACAGAUACCUUCCCAACCUUUUGCAAGACCUCAAAGGGCCCGAUGUACCGUGGAGCUAGCUUACCUUUCUUCCCGAACCGAACCACCCCUUUCAUUGGGGACACUUUGAGCAAUACCAUAUCCCCCUCCUGAAACUCCACUUGUUUCCUGCGGAUGUCCGCAUAACUCUUUUGCCUGCUUGUAGCAGUCUUGAUUCUCUCUCGGAUAAUGGGCACCACCCUGCUGGUGAUCUCUACAAGUUCAGGCCCUGCUAAGGACCUCUCUCCAACCUCUUCCCAGCACACAGGUGAUCUGCACUUCCUCCCAUACAAAGCUUCAUAUGGAGCCAUCCCGAUGCUAGCAUGAUAGCUGUUAUUGUAGGCGAACUCCACUAAGGGUAGAUGUUGCCUCCAAGAACCGCCAAAAUCUAGCACACACAUCCUGAGCAUAUCCUCUAUUGUCUGGAUGGUCCUCUCUGACUGUCCAUCAGUCUGGGGAUGGAAGGCAGUACUGAAAUCCAACCUGGUACCCAUAGCAUUCUGCAGACUCCGCCAGAACCUGGAGGUGAACUGGGGCCCUCUAUCAGACACUAUAGAAACGGGAACCCCAUGCAACCUUACAAUCUCGUCAACAUACACCUGCGCCAAUUUAUCCACAGAGUAGUUGCUCCUUACAGGGAUGAAGUGAGCAGAUUUAGUGAGUCUGUCCACAAUCACCCAUAUGGAGUCUAAUCUGUUGGAUGUUGCCGGUAGCCCCACUACAAAAUCCAUGGCGAUAUUUUCCCAUUUCCACUCUGGAAUCGACAGUGGGUUAAGCAUUCCAGCCGGCUUCUGAUGUUCCAGCUUCACCCUCUGACACACUUCGCAGGCUGACACAAACUGUGCCACUUCUCUCUUCAUAGCUGGCCACCAAUACACUCUCUUCAGAUCUUGAUACAUCUUGGUGGCUCCAGGGUGAACACUGUAUCUUGCAUUAUGAGCCUCUCUCAUAAUGUCUCCCUUUAGCCUAUGUCAUCUGGUACACAUAGUCUAUUCCCAUAGCGGAGGAUCCCCUUACUAUCGAAUCUGAACUCACUGCCCUUGCCUGACUGAACAGUCCUGGCAAUCUUCACUAACUCUGGGUCCUCGUGCUGUUUCUGAGCUACCUGCUCCAGAAACACGGGUGUUACUUUUAUCUGUGCAAUCAGAGCACCUGUACCAGACAACUCCAACUGUAGACCUUCAUCAAUGAGCUUGUAAAAUUCCUUCACCACCGGUCUCCUCUCUACCGUGAUGUGGGAUAGACUGCCAAGUGAUUUCCGGCUUAAGGCAUCAGCUACUACAUUAGCCUUACCCGGAUGGUACUGGAUCUUGCAAUCAUAGUCACUCAACAGUUCUACCCAUCUCCUCUGUCUCAAAUUCAGCUCUCUCUGACUCAAAAUGUGCUGCAGGCUCUUAUGAUCUGUGAAGAUCUCACAUUUUACCCCAUAGAGGUAAUGCCUCCACAUCUUGAGGGCAAAGAUAACUGCUGCCAUUUCCAGGUCGUGUGUGGGGUAAUUCAGCUCAUGCCUCUUCAGCUGUCUAGAAGCAUAAGCGAUCACCCUACCAUUCUGCAUCAACACACAACCCAGGCCUACUCUGGAUGCAUCACAGAACACUGUGAAAUCCUCAUUGCUGUUUGGCAGAGCUAACACUGGUGCUGAAGUCAACCUCUUCUUGAGCUCCUCAAAGCUUUCUUCACACUGAUCGGUCCACUCGAACCUCUGAUUCUUUCUGGUCAAUCUGGUUAAAGGAGUUGCAAUCUUAGAGAAGUCCUGGACGAACCUCCUGUAAUAACCAGCCAAACCCAAGAAACUUCUGAUCUCUGUCACUGAGGUGGGCCUUGGCCAGUUAGUCACAGCUUCAACCUUCUUGGGGUCCACCUCUAUCCCAUUCUCUGACACUAUAUGCCCCAAGAAUGAUAUGCUCCUUAACCAGAACUCACACUUGGAGAACUUGGCAUACAAGCCAUGUUCCCUCAAGGUCUGUAAAACUAUCCUCAGAUGAUGGGCAUGCUCCUCUGCAUUCCUGGAAUACACCAAGAUAUCGUCUAUGAAGACAAUAACAAAGUGAUCCAGGUACGGUCUAAACACUCUGUUCAUGAGAUCCAUGAAUGCUGCAGGGGCGUUAGUUAACCCAAACGGCAUUACAAGGAACUCAUAGUGCCCAUAUCUGGUCCUGAAAGCUGUCUUCGGUAUGUCUUCUUCUCUUAUCCUCAGCUGAUGGUACCCUGAUCUCAGAUCUAUCUUGGAGAAACAACCCGCUCCUGCUAGCUGGUCGAAUAGAUCGUCGAUCCUUGGCAAUGGGUACUUGUUCUUGGUAGUGACUUUGUUCAACUGCCUGUAGUCGAUACAAAGUCUGAGGGAUCCAUCCUUCUUUCUCACGAAUAGCACUGGAGCACCCCAAGGUGAGGUACUCGGUCGGAUGAAGCCCUUAUCUACCAGAUCUUGCAACUGCCCUUUCAACUCUUUCAAUUCUGCUGGUGCCAUCCUGUAGGGAGGGAUAGAGAUCGGUCUAGUUCCAGGCAUCAAUUCAAUCUCGAACUCUAUCUCCCUAGCAGGUGGUAGUCCUGGAAGCUCUUCUGGAAAGACAUCCAGAAAUUCUCUGACAACUGGCACUGAGGCUGGCUCCCUGACCUGACUAUCUAGCUCUCUCACGUGAGCUACAUACCCCUGACAUCCCUUCCUAAGCAGCCUACGAGCCUGUAGGGCCGAUAUUAGACCUCUAGGCGUACCCCUCUUGUCUCCUCUGAAGACGACCUUUGACCCGUUCUGAUCUCUGAACCUGACUACCUUGUCCCUGCAGUCCAAGGUAGCACCAUGGGUAGAUAGCCAAUCCAUCCCUAGAAUGACGUCAAAAUCUGUCAAGUCUAGAACCACAAGGUCGGCGGAGAGGCAUCUUCCCUCAACAAAUACUGGACUGUACCGGCAGACUGACUCUGCCACUGACGGGUCACACUUGGGUCCACUGACCCAUAGGGGACACUCUAACCCAGAGACCAUCAACCCUAAUCUCUCAACUGCCCUCGGAGCAAUAAAGGAAUGAGAUGCACCUGGGUCCAUUAAUGCAUACACAUCAGAACACCCAAUGAUGAGAUUACCUGACACCACGGUGUUGGAUGUGUUCGCCUCCUGCUGAGUCAUGGUGAAGAUCCUGGCUGGAGCUGAUGGACCUUCACCUCGGGAACCUGAAGAAGAGGCUACUCCUCUCCCUCUACCUCUGCCACUGCCCUGAGUUGUGGCUGGAGCUGCUGGCUGUGCCACACUGCCUGAAGCUGUCUGUUGGGGCUGGCCCGUGAAAGGUGCUCUAGGACAAUCCCGAGCUAUGUGUCCCUCCUGGCCACAUCUGAAACAUACAUUGGUCCCAAAUCGACACCCUCCUUUGUGUGGCCUCCCACACCUUUGGCAUUCUGCACCGUCUGAGCCUGAACUCGAGCCACCGCCUAAUCCCAGACCGGAUUUCAGCUUAUUCCAGAACUUGUUCUUCUUGGGCUUCUUGGUGUUACUCCAUCUCUUACUACCUGAACUCUGAGUAGAGGGUCCUGACCCUCCUCUGCCUGGGGUCUUAACCCCUGAAGACUGGGUCACCGACUGCUUCACUGACCCCUCAAUUAUAGCACUGGCCUCCAUUCUUCGAGCCAUAUCCACCACAGUGUGGAAACUUUCCCUCUCAGCUGAUUGAAUCAAUGAGGAGUACCUGGACUGUAAUUUCAUGACAUAUCUCCUGGCCUUCUUUGCAUCUGUAUCUAGAGCUUGCCCUGAGAAGGGUAAUAGCUCCAGAAAUUUAUCUGUGUACUCCUCUAUGCUCAUGUCUUAUGUCUGUCUCAGUUGCUCAAACUCAAUCAUCUUCAACUCUCUGGAACUAUCUGGAAAGGCCCAUCCAGCAAACUCAUUGGCAAAUUCCUCCCAUGUCAUACUUUCAAGUCUCGGGUCCACAUAACACUUGUACCACUCCCGUGCCUUCUUGCACUUUAAAGUGAACCCUGCCAUCUCAAUGGCUCUUCUGUCAUCUGCCCCUAGCUCAUCAGUGAUCAUCUUCACUGCUCUCAGGUAUUCAAAGGGAUCAUCCCCUGACUUGUAUUUAGGAGCAUCCAGCUUAAGGUAAGCUGUCAUCUUCACCUUGCUCCCACUGGCUGAGCUAGGUUUAGGAGGUUGAGUAACUGGGGCUACUGGUUCUGUAGGUGGUGGGGGUGGGGGGUGCAGCAUUCCCCGAGAUGGGGUUUGCUGGGUGAGGAUGGAAGGAUGAGGGUGGAUAGGCUGAGUACUGUGGGUAAGGUGGAUAGAAAGGUGGAUAAGGCAUGUGAGUAGGGUAGGGGUUAAAGCUGGAGUAAUCCGAUUUACUUCCCAUCGGAUACCCGGGACUCUGUGCAUAGGGUGGAUAAUAGGGUGGAAAACCAUACCCCGAGGCCUGAGUGCCUCCUUGUGACUCCCCUGUCCCUUCUUCUGACAUGCUAACAUCCAGAUUCCCAUCCCUUCUCUGAUCUUCUUCCAUAACCUCCCUCACAUCUGAAGAACUUCCUCCUCUGUCUGUCCCCCUUCUGCUAGUAUCAAAAGACCUUCUAGGGUCCCUUGACACUCUUUCUCUGUUUACUCUGCAUGACAUUGCCCUAGGCAAUGUGGGAGGACGGGCGCUCGUGCCCUCAUCCUCUGGUGGGGCUCCUGUCAACCGUGCAGAUCGACGAGUUCCUCUCAUCCUGUUUUCUCUGAAAAACCAGCACAUAACUCACAAGCAUUAACAUCAUAUGGUUCAUGUGGGCACACAUGAACCCUCAUCAUAUACAUAGCAAACAUAGCAUAUUAUUUAUGCACAUGCAUUUAAUCAUGGCAUAUCACAUCUUUAAUCAAGGCAGGACUCUACAUCCUAUCCUAGUGGACAUGACUUUUCCUAUUGUGCUUGACCUUCUAUAACCUCUAUGAGCCCGACACGCUAGGUCCGACCAUAUGAACCUAGGGCUUUGAUACCACUCUGUAACGCCCCGGAAAUCCGGACCGCUACCGGCGCUAGGAUCCAGAUCGGCAUAAGGCCGCCGGGACCCGUAGCAAGCCUAACAUAACCUGUAAACAUGUUUAAUCCCAUACAUGAUCAACCAUAUACAUAAAAAAAAAAAUCAAAACUUUUCUUUCAUACAUACUAUCAUCAACUAACUCAACCUGUGCAUACUCUGAACAUAUACAUAACAUAAUCCCUCUGUGGGAUCUCAUCAAGCCUCAAAGGCAAAACAACAGGUGUUGAGUUAAUUUACAUAAACAUCAUAUCAUAAGAUCAUGUACAUACAAAAGGGAUUAGCAAUACACUAUGGUCAAGCACAACUCUAACCUCAAUAACCUCAUUACAUAACAUACUGAAAGUUUUUACAUUUCAUCAUAAUACAAUUGUCAUGUCCACAAUCUAACUAUUACAUACAUAUGACUUUUCUCUUCUUGCCUUCUCUAUCUAUCCCGUACCUGCAAACCUGGGGGUUAAGGGAGAGGGGUGAGCUAGAUGCCCAGUGAGUAGAACUGUAAAAAGAAUAUUUAAAACAUGCUGUCAUGGAAUGCAUCACUACACAAACAUUUCACACCACGGGUGGACUGAUUCAAAAAUCCCUCAGCUCCAUGCCCGGCCCUAAAGAGGGCACCACAGGACUUCAUAUGCCCGGCCCUAUUAUGGGCACCACAGGACUUCGUAACUCGGAGCUAUUGCCCGGCCCUAUUAUGGGCACCACAGGACUUCGUAUUCAGAGGGCUAAUGAAUCAUCCUAAUGUCCAUCCACUAUCAUCUAUCACAACAAUGCAAUGCGGCAUAUUCGUGAAUUCUAAUGCAAACAUCCUAUAAUAUAAUCAUGAUGCAUGAAGCAUGAUAAAAACAUUUAAUUUCUUAAUUUAAAAGGUUAAGUUUAGUUCCACUCACCUCUGGCUGACUCUGACAAUCUCUGUAGCAGCUGGCUCACUGCUGGGGUCCUUGGUUCCUCGGGUCCGAACCUACAUGGGUGGACUCCAAUGAGGGACCAAACAUACAUAAACAUAACUCUAAUAUAACCCCCAAAAAUCCCCCUAAUGCAUCAUGAAAACAUCACAUAAAAUAUGCAUGAAAUGGCUGAACAGGGCACUUUCGGCGGCACCUUCGGCGGCCGAAAGUCCCAGACAGAGACGAAACUCAGGUAGGUUCGGCGGCACCUUCGGCGGCCGAAAGUGCCAGACAGAGACGAAAGUCUCUUUUCAGGGGCAACUUCGGCAACCGAAAGGCCUGCCUCCCCAGCCAUGUUCGGCGGCCGAAAGUGCCUUCGGCUGCCGAACCUGGUUUCUGCCAAAGGGCAGAAACUUGGCUCCCUUUGCACAUUUCGCCUCCAAACCUUCCAAACAUGCAUAUUUUUCAACCAAAGCAUGCAUACAAGUUCCUAGGGGCCUCAAGCAAGCAUAUACCCCAUCUACAACACUCCAAACACACACAAUCAAGCCACAUUGUUCAUCAAAGCAUCAAAAACCCAUAAGCUCAACAUAUACCCUAACAUGCAUUCUACCCCUUAAAACUUCAUAAAACUUGUUUAAAACACAUAAUAAGGGUGGAUCCGAGCUUACCUCUUGAAGAAACGAGAGGAAAGGCGAUCCUAGCUUGGAGAUGGAGAGAUUGAGCUCUUUGAACCUCUAAGUACCCAAAUCUUGCUCUAAACUCAAAAAUCUUCAAAAACAAAGUUAUAGGCUCAUUAAAACGUGUGAGAUUUGAAGGAAAAGAUGCAAGAUUGGUGAGGAAUGACGGAGAGCUCACCUUGGCCGAAAAUGGGGGAAAAAGCUCGCCCGUUUUCGGCUAAGGGACCCUUUUAUAGUGGCUGGCCAGGCCACGUUCGGGGGCCGAAAGUGCCUCCGCAUCCAUGCAAUGUUCGGCGGCCGAACCUGCACUUCCCUCACUCAUGCUUUCGGGGGCCUAACGUGCCUCCAAAAUGCAUGCAUGUUCGGCGGCCGAACUUGGCUUUCGGCGGCCGAACCUGGAUUUUCCUCCAAAGAUUUUUCAUGUAAAACUCAUUAAAUUUCAUACUUAAAAACAUUAAAAACAUGAAAACCUUUUAUAAAAACAUGCUUUUACCCUUCUAGAGGUUUCCGACACCCAAAUUCCACCGGACGGUAGGAAUUCCGAUACCGGAGUCUAGCCGGGUAUUACAUUAAGUAUAUGCAUAAAGGGGUCCAAAACUAACCUAAAACCCCAAACAACAAACACAAACAACCACAAAUCAUGAAUAUACACAAAACCCUCCAUAACACCCUCCUUAACCUAACAUGCAUUUCUACCCAUAAAAACUCCAUGAAACCUUCAAAAAUCAAAAAAGGAAGUUCAGGAUCUUCACUUACCUCUUCCAAAUGAGAGAAUAAACGAUCCCAACGUGGAGUGAUGGAGAAAUCUUCCCUCAAAACCUCCAAACUUCCUAACUUUGCUCUUUUACUCAAAAACUUCAAAACAAACAUAAAACUCAUCAAAACUUUGAAUGAUUUGAAGGAAACAUGAAAAUCACCCAAGGAGAACCUCAGCCUCACCUCUGGUUGGCAAAAAUGGAAAAAGUGAUCCAAAUCACCGACCUUUGACCAUUUAUAGGUGGCUGGCCAGACCACCUUCGGCGGCCAAACGUGAAGCCGAAUGCCAUGCAUGUUCGGCGGCCGAAAGUGACCUUCGGCGGCCGAACAUGGGCUUUUCUGCCUUGGUAUUUUUUCUUUCAAAAACUCAUUUCUUUUUAACACUUUAAAACAUUAAAACUGUUUUAAAACAUGUAAAAACAUAACCCGAACCCUUCUAGGGCAUUCCGACAUCGGAAAUUCACCGGACUACAGGAAUUCCAAUGCCGAACUCUAGCCGGGUAUUACAGCUACAUCCUAUAUCAACGUAUCAAAUUCCAGAGUUAAUUGUCUCAUUAGUUUGAACAAUCAUUAAGAGAGUUUCAGCUUCAUGAUUUUCCACAAAGUUUGACUUCUCCCUAUUUUCUCUGUCAUUUGACAUUUUGGUACGACAUUCUGAACGAAAUUGACCAAAUUUAUGGCAUCUGUAGCAUUCAAUUUUGGAUUUGUCAAAAUGCUGAAACUAUCCUUUUCCUUUGUGCGAUUGAUCACCGUCAGUUUUGAAAUUUGUGUUUCCAUUUCUGUUGCCACGAUCUCUCCUUCCUCUUCCUCUUCCACUUCCUCUACCUCUUCAUCGUUAGUUUUAUAGCUUCUCUCCAUAGUUCUCGCAAAAUAGCUUGUGAUAGAUUCACCAUCCUUCAUUUGUAGAGUCUCAAAAUCUCAUCUCAAGACUUGAAGCUGUGCAUGCUUUACUCUUGCGAAGUCUUGAUAUUUCUUUUUCAUGGAGUCCCAAAUUUGUUUGGAAGUAUCUUUACAUAAAAUAGUCUCUAAAAUUGAAUGAUUGAUUGCCUAAAAUAAAUAAUUUUUCGCCUUAAGAUCCUUCAACUUUAGCCCUUCAAUUUCUGCUUUUUGCCCCUCAGUCACUACUGCUUCACUUGUUGGUGCCAGUACUCCAUCUGAAACAACUUGUCAACACUCUUUCGAUAUGAGAAUAUUUUCCAUCAACAUACUCUAGUGAUCAUAGUGACCAUCGAAGCAAGAUAUCGUAGGUUGCACAAAACUAUCAAAUGCUAUUGAUAAUAUUUGAAAAAUGCAAAAAAAGCUACAGCUUAAACUUGGGUUUGAUAUCACUGUUAGUAGCAUUUUUUAAAAAUAUAGCAAAAAUAAAAUUACAGUAAGUGUAGUAUGAUAAAAGACCAAAUAAAAGUGAAAUCUCAUCCAUAAAAUUAAAAAUAAAUAGCCCAAAAUAGGCUUUACUAACCAACUAAGAAACAACUACUAACAUAAAAGCACUAAACCACUAAUAUAAAAACACUAAAAUAGGAAGCGUUAAACUGAUAACAUAAAAGCACUAAAUCACUAAUAUAAAAGCAAUAAAAUAGGAAGUUAAUUAGUUACUGCUACCAAAAAUUUGUAAAGAAAUUAAAUUGAGUGUAGAAUGUAAUUAAACACCACAUGCAUAAUUUACAGAUGAAUUUGUAUGAUUAAAGUACAUGAUUUAAUUUGAUAAUGUUAUAUUAUUUUGUAUUUUAUUUGACUGAAAAAUAUAAAAAUUUAUUAUAAAAUUAAUUUCCUAUUUCAAGUUUAAUUCUAUUAUUUUACUAACAAUAUUAUAUCACAAAUAAAAUUUUGAUAUUUUAAUAGUUUGAAAUAUUUAUGAAUAAUUAUCAUAAUAAUUGUUGUGAAAAGAAAAACAUUUUAUAAUAUGAUUUAAUUUAUAUAUUUUAAUAAUUUUUUGAAAAUUUUUAACAGGAAUUUUUGUAUAUUAUUAUUAUUUUUUUAAUUGAGAAUUGAAAAUUAGAUGAGUAGAAUAUGAGAACUCUCAAAUUUACUCAGAUGUACUUGCCAUUAAACCAGUAUUUUGUAUACUAAUUUUUAAAAGAAAUUUUUAUCCGAUAGUCAUAUAAUUAUAUUUUAAUUGUUCUUGAUUUCUCGCAUUAGCUUUAUAUUAAGGCAAUUUAAACUCGGUCAAUUGUAGUAAGUCUUCAUCUGAUCUGUCAAGUUGACUUCAUAUUUAUAUAUUUGGACAACAUAAUAUUUGGAGAAUACAAAAUUAUAUAUAAUGUUCUGAAUAUUUAAAAUUAUUUAUACACACCUUUCCGUUUUAUCAUUUUUAUUCAUUUUAUAUUUUUAUAUAUAUUAAAAAAUAUAGUUUUUUAAUUAUAUUCAUAUUAAAUAUAUUAAAUUUUAUUAAAUAUUAAAAAAAUUUUUAAAAAUAAAAUAAAAUUAAAUACGAUUUAUAUAUUAUUAUAAUUUUAAAAAAUAAAUAAUAAUUUUAAAACAAUAAAAAAAUAAAUAAAAAUUUAUGGAGUUUAUUUUAUUGUGAUAUUUUAAAAGCCUUGAAUCUAGGUCUUUUUUUUAUUUAGUUUUAUCGUAUGGGUCUUGGUCUAUAUAUUAUAAAACGUUAAUUCUAGAAGGCUUAGUAAUCAAUAAUUCAACAUGAUUUUAUCUCAUUGGAUAGAUAUUAUUAAUUAAUUAGAUGGUCACCACCUAAUUAGCUCAUCUCCACAACACGGCUUCAACCUCAAUAUCUUUCACACUUGUAAGCUCUCUAUAUAUAUAUAUUGUAGGAAACAUCUGUCCGAGGUAUUUUAGCUACCCGACUUUCAUUUACUAAAAAAUUAAAUUUAUUGAUCCAACCAGUCAAAUAAAUGCCGAAAAUCUAAUUUGACGGUGGUCAUUGCUUAUAAGUUAUGAUAUUAUAAAUGCUUUGUUCUUUCAAAUGUAUAAUAAAUUAUAAUUUAUUAAGAUUAAUUUAACUAAUAUCUAAUUAAUUCUAAAAAAAGACUAUUAAGAAUUAUAAUCCUUUAUUUAAUAAAUAUGAUAAUUAGUCAGUUCAUAUUCUGAAUUUUUACAAAUUACCAUAUAUAAUAAAUGAUCUUAGAUGGAUCAAAUGAGCUUAUAUAUAUGAUAAACGUAAUCACUCACAUUUACACUAUUAAUAUUAAUAUCUAUAAAAAUUGGUAAAAUUAUACGUAUACAAUUAAAAAUUAAAUUUUUUACGGAUGCUAAACUUGAAAUCUCUUACCUUUUGUUUGACAUAACUCAUUUUAGAAUAAAAGAAUUUAAAUAAAUUUUAGUAAAAUAUAUUUUAUUUUCUUUAAAAAUAAAAAUUGUAUGAAUUAAAAAAAAAUGUUAUAUUCCAAACAAUAAAAUUAAUGAAAAAAAAAAUUAAAUUGAAUCAUUAUAAAAUCUUUGAUUCCAAACAAGAUCCUAAAAGCUUGAACUAUGAAAAACCUUAUAAUUAAUUAAUAAUUUAUAGAUAAUUUGUCAUUUAUAAGUACAUCCAUAAUUUAAUUAUUUAUUCAUAAUUUAAUUAUUCUUAUUAUUUUUUAUGAAAUUUAACUUUUUAAUACAUUUCUGUGUAUAUCCUAUUUUUAUAGAUGUAGAUUCAUAUUUAACCAAAUCAUAUAGUGUAUAUUUUAUUUUUUUAUAAUAUUUACUUCUAAACCAAUCAGUUAUUUAUUUUCCCAACAGAUAAUAUGGCAGGGAAAUACCGUUUGGAUUGGCCAACCAGAAUGGUGAUCGCUUUACGCAUCGGAAGAGGAUUGGUAAAUCUGCAUGAUCGAUGUGAGUCUUCCCUUGUAUGCUUAGGCCUUGGCUAUAUCAAAGCAUGAUUUUUCUGUUUUAAUACAAAUGAAAAGUGCUUCUUGAUUUGAGUAUGUAAGGGUUUAUUUAUUUGUUCAGGCUGUUCCUGCAAUUCAAAAUGAUUGGCCCAAAGGCAACUAUAAGUUUGUUGAUGAAAAAUUAGAGAGAUACUUUGACAAGGAUGAAAUGGAUCGAAUGAUAGAAUGUGCUUUAGCAUGUUUAGAGCGUUAUCCACAAAAUCGACCAGAAAUGAGUAAGGUAAUUUCAUAAAGCUUUAUAUUCUAUUUUAUAUUAUGUAUACAUACGUGAGUUUUAAACAAUUUAGCAUUUUUUGUUAUAUUUUAAUAUUUAGACAACAUAUUUUUAUCACGGUUGUAAAAUUAUUAUUUUAAUACUGAUAAGAUAAUAAUUUAAAAUUAUUAUAGAGAAAAUUCAUUCUAUAUUCAAUAAAAUUAUAAUUUUAGUUGCAUUUUUAAUUCACUGUGAAAAAAUAAUUAAACCGUUAUUUUAUUCUAAUAAUGGAGAUAGAGGUAAUGAUUGUUAAACUGAUAUUAUUAAUUUAUAAUUACAAUUAAAAAUAUAAAACAAUAAUUUAUAGUUAUUGUCUUAAAUUUAUUUUUAUAGUAGUAAUUAUGAUAAACUAAUAACAUUCAUGUGUUAUAAUUAUAGUCUAAUUUGGGAAAGAAAAAAAAACUCAAUUGCUUUUUUUUGAACGGAAAAUUAGAAAUUAGGGAAAUAUAAUAUGGAAUCUCUCAAAUUUAUUUAGAUGUACUUAUCAGUGAGUGUAAAAAAGAAAAACUCAAUUACUAAAAAUUAAAUUUUGUAAGAAUUAUUAAUAAAGUUAAUUUAUUCCAUUUCUUGGCAGAUUCAGUACUUUUUUUUUCCCUUUUUCUAAUUACUUUUCUUGGCAAAGCAGGUUGUUGAAGUUCUAGCAGGAAACAUUUAUCGGAAAAAUCUCAAGAAUUGAGAUGAAAUGUUUGAAAAAGAUAAUUAUUUUUUUUCCUUUUCACUAGAAGUUGGAAACUUCCUUGAAAGGCCGAUUGGACACUGAAAUAAAAGAUAGACUUCCGUUGAAGUGGCAAAGGAGUGUAACUGGAAGACUAUUGCAAUUGAAAAAAAAAGUUCCGUUUGAAAUAAAUCGAAUGUAAAAAAGUGAUUUAGCUUAGAGUAAUUUUUUUAAUUAACUCUUUUUAGUUAAUAAAAUUAAAAUUUUAGUUAUUAUGUUUCUAAAUAUGCAAAUUAAAUUAAAUUCUUAUAAAUUUUUAGUUUUCAAACAGGAAAAUAAAAGGUUUUGGAAGGUUUGAAUCCAAAUAAGAACGUUGAGAGAAUUAUAUCACCGCCAAAUUGCUGGACUAUCUACAGUAGCAUUUCUUUUUCAAAAACAAUUGAAAAUGAGGUUAAUUCUUAUUCUAUUAACUAAAAUUAAAAAAAAAAAUUUAAAUGGAGAUUGAAAAAAUAAAAUUUAAUAUCUCACAUAUUUAUUUAAAUACACUUAUCACCAUAUUAAGAUUGUGAGUAUAAUAUUUAUUAUAUUUUAAUUAUAAUUUAAGAAUUUAAUACGCUAAUAAAUCAUAUAGAGAUGUAAUUGCAUAUUUAAUAUUAUUUUAAUCUGCAUUCCCAGGUUUAGCCUGAUAGUAAGUGCAUUCGGUUAAACCUGAUAGAUCUCAGGUUCGAAUCCCAUCCCCAUUUCAAAAAAAAAAAAAAAAUAUUAUUUUAAUCUUUUAAGUCAAAAUCAAUAAUUUCAACUCCAACCAUAGGUUAUGGCACUAAUCAAGUAAGAGAGAAAAAUAUUUUUAAAGGGAAAUACUUAUUUUUAAUAAAACAAAUUAACUCAGAGUUAGCUUCUCUUAUUAGUUUAUAUGAAUUUUAUUAUAUUAAUAAUAAAAAUAUAUUUGUUAAAUAUGACCAAAAUUUUAAAAAUGACCCUCUUUUAAAUUCCAAUAUUAAUUUAAUUCCAAUAACUUAUCAUAUUUCUCCUUAUUAUCCAUAAUAAACAAUGACCAAGAUUUUAAAAUGACCCUCUCUAAUUUAAUUCUAAUAUUAAAAAUGACCAAAUUUAUUAUCUAUAUUAAACAAUGACCAUGCUUUUUAAAAAUGAUCCUAAUUAAGAUCAAACUAACAACUUUGUAGUUUCUUCAUUUAUUAAUAUGCAAGUGGGAGAUAAAAAAUCAUUAGUUAAUUAAUUUGGUACGUCCUAUUUUAUAAUACACUGAGCAAUCUGAAAGCUGAUUGGCCCCCACAAAUGGAUUAAUUAAUAAUUCAACCUUCUUAAUUAAUGCCGCCUUCAUUGACAGCCUGGGUACUGUUCAGAAACUAACAAUAUAGUAAUCUUACUAUUGCACCGACUCUGCAUAAUUUGUAUUUUUUUGAUACUCCCUACUUUCAAACUUUAAUUUUCGCUAUCGCUGUUUAUUUGAUGGAUUCAAUUUUUGAAUAAAUUAAAUAUUUAAAUUUAAAUAUUUAUAAAAAUAAAAAUAAUCAAUUUUAAUUAAAAAUUAAAUUAAAUUGAAUCGAUCUGAUUUAAUUCGAUUUGAUUGAUUUGAAUUUUUAAUAAAUUUUUUAUUUUUUAUAUUUUAUUUUUAAUAUUUUAAAAUUUAAUUAAAAUAUUUUAAUUUUAAUAUAAUUUAAUAUUUUUAUAUUAUUGAACAUAAUAUAUUAUUAUCAUUAAUCAAUUCAGCUUGAUUUUUUUAUUUUUUUUAUCAAAAUUAAAUAAAAUUGAAAUAAUUAAAAAUUUUAAAAUUAAAAAUCAAAACAAACUCAAAUGAAUAAAAAAUUAAAUUAAAUUUUUAAAUUAAUUUAAUUUGAUUAAUUUUUUUGAUUUAAAUCGAAUAUUACUGGCUCUAAUUUUUCCAUAUAAAUAUUAUGCACAUGUAAAACAUAUAGGUUAAAUAUAUAUUAAAUAAGAUAUUUUCUUAUUAAAAAAAUAUUAUGCACAUGUAAAACAUAUAGGUUAAAUAUAUAUUUACAUAUUUAUAUUUUAAUAUUAUAUACAAAAAGAUACAAGAGAAAGAUACAAGAGUGUAUAUAUAUAUAUAUAUAUAUAGAUGACUGACUCUCUCUCGCUCCUUGGCUUUUCAUUUCCUAGCUUGACUGACUCUCUCUCUCUCUGUCAUCCUAACCUUGUGGGCAGCCAUGGCAGAACCAAGCAGAGGAGGUAUGUUACAACUAAACACCCUAUUUGAAAUUUCGAUUGUGUGAAAUUUAUAUUUAUCAUACUAUAUCUUUUAGUUCGUAACCUAUUAUUAACUUAAAAGUAAACUUAGUUAGAUUUAUUCGAGUUGUGAAUUGAAUUGAAAUAAUCGGUUAAAUUCUAUGAUAGAUUAGUCAAUGGAUUUAAAUUUUUAAUUCAGAUUAAAAUUUAAAAUCAGAAGGACUAAUUAAAAACUUCUCUUCUUAAUUGAAAUUAAAAUUGAACUAAAAUCGAUAAUUUAAAUUAAUCGUACAGUUUAGUUUCGAUUUGAUUUUAAAUUUUUAAAAUAAAUUAUCUUAUAAAAUUCUGUAAAUUUUUAAAAUUAAUAUAUAGAUAAAUCAAAUUAUUAAAUAAUUAAGUUAAAUUUUUUACUCGUAAAAAAUAUAUUUCCAUUUAAUUUUUUUUAUAUUAUAUGAAUGGGUAUAUUUUGUAAAAAAAUUAUUUAUUGAAUUAUUAAUUAAAUAAUUUUUAGUACUCAUAUUUAUUUCUUUACGUUUUAUUUAAUUUUAACUAAAUUUUUUAAAAAUUUUUUCACGUAUGUGUGGAAUUUAUGUUUGAUAUCAAUGCCAACCCACAAAAUUGCAGAAUAACAAAAUUAGCAUUUGAUCCAGGUGUUCACAAGUACAGCUUUGAAGAGCUAGCAAAAGCAACAGGUGAUUUCUCCAACAACAACCGCGUUGGACAGGACGGUUCUGGUGAAGUUUAUGAAGGAACACUUCCCAAUGGUAAACAAGUUGCGAUUAAGAGGCUUCAAUAUAAUUCAGAUCCUGAGAAACAGCAAGUGGAACUUCUAUUUGAGAAUGAGGUUAAAACCAAUAGCCGCACUCGUCACCCGAAUAUUGUGGAGGUCGUCGGAUACUGCAGCGAAGAAGCUGAUCGAUUGAUUGUUUACGAGUUCGUGUCCAACAAGAGCUUGAAAUCUCAUCUCUAUGGUGAGUACUUCUUAAAUUUUCUCAUUGGAUUUAUAAUUUAUUUAUCAUGAGAAUUAAAUGAUUAAGCCAUUUUGUUUGGUUACACAAGUGGGAAGAAGACAGCUGGCGACCGCCCCGAUCGAUUGGCCAACCAGAAUGAAGAUUGCUUUGGGUAUAGCAGAAGGAUUGGCAUAUUUGCAUGAAGAAUGUGAGGUUUUAACUUUAUUUAGUUUUUUUUUUUCCCAAGUUUUCUAUAUUGCACAUUAUACUUUUUAAUUUUAUGCAUUUUUAGGUAAAUCAGGAAUCAUCCACCGAGAUAUUAAAAGUGAUAAUAUUCUUCUCGAUGAUAAAUUUAAUCCUAAGGUAUGAUGAUAUACUCACAGAAGACAGCUAAACAUUUUAUAAUUAAUAUUAAAAAUGUAAAUAAAGUUUACAUUUAUAACUAUUAACUGUUUUAAUUAAUUACAAGUAAUUUUAAUUAUAAAUAAGUGGCCUUUCAAAAUCUUGAUUUAAAAUACCUUCUGUUUAGAAUUAAAAAAAACUUGUAAGAUUCAUAUCAACUUUGAAUUUAAAUUUAACUUAUUAGUUAUAAAUUAAUUUGAAUGACACAAUAAAUUACUUCUAUCAACUUUUUUCUUUUCAGAUUAGAAAUUUUGGAAUUUCCAAAGAAUUUGCGGAUUCAAAAACUCACGUUUCCACUAUCCCAAUGGGAACUCCAGAGUAAGAUUCGUUCUUAUUUGUUUGCUAAAUUUUCUUUCUCAAAGAAAAUUGGUUGAAUUAGUAGUUCUCAUUUGAUAAACACUUUCUUUAAGUGCAGUUAUCUCGCUCCUGAGCAUUACACCCAAGAUGAUCAAAAUAAGAAGCUCACCGAUAAGUCUGAUGUAUUUUCCUUUGGUGUCGUACUUCUAGAGCUGAUUACGGGAAAAUUAGCUGCUUUUGAGAAGGAACGCAGGGAAUAUAUUUUCUUAACUAUUUGGGUACUUAAAAAUAAAGAAUUUGAUAUUUUGUAUAUUCAAUAUUCAAGGGUUUUUUAUUUUUUAUUAUUUUUUCCCUGAUGGAAUGCUUAACUGACCUUUGUACAUCUAUUUUGAUUAUUCACAGGCCGUGCCUCUACUGAAACAAAUUUUGGAUGCAGACUAUCAAGAUUUGGAUGCUGAAAAUUGUAAAGAACUUUUUGAUUCCAAAUUACCGAACAAUUUUGAGAAAAAUGAUAUGGAAAAGCUUAUUUAUUCUGCUGCUGCUUGUAUAUAUAAACCUGCAAAGUUACGCCCACAUAUGUGCGAGGUAAAUUGACAAAACCAAACCAGUUAUUUUUGGAUUAUGCUUUGCAUGUGAUUAUCAGUAAAAAUAUAUGAAAUAUAAUUUAAAAAGUACGUAAAAAUUAUUUGAUAAUUUUGCAUAUGUUAUUAAAAAUUGGGAGGGUGACUGCAUGUGAUUUUUUGAUGCAGAUAGUUAAAGUACUAAAUGGAGAUAUGGAACCCAAAACUAUAUGGGUGAGAAGUGAUUGCAAGUACCUAUACAAUGGGUCACCUUACGCUCCAUUUCCUCAAGCUCAGGGAACCUCCAGCUCUUGAUCUCUAUCCAAUACAUGAAUUAACCUCCGCCUUGUAAUAAAAGAGUAUGUGUUCUUGCUAAAUGCACGUGCUUUUCUAAGGGAUCAAUUAGUUAAUAAGAAUGUGUUCCUUGCUGAAUUUUUUUUUUUUCAAUAUUAAUAAUGAUUGAUAUUGAAUAAUUUUUCAUGUAUAUAUAUAUAUAUAUAUAUAUAUAUAUAUAUGCAGAAUAUAUAAUAUCCAUUAAGUAUUAUUUUAAAACAAAGAGAUAAUAAUUUUUUUUAGUGAGGGUUCCUUCGAAGUGCAACAUAUAUAUGUAUAUAUAUACACAUAGGUAUGAUUGGUAAACGUAUGGAAAAUUUUUUUGGAUAAAUCAUAAGUCGAAUCCAACAAAAUAAUUAAAGAUUUAAUAGCUUUUGAUAAUUUCAAAUUCAACAUUUAUAUUUAAUAGCAUCGAUCUUGAUAUUAAUAUAUAUAUAUAUAUAUAUAUUAAAAUAAUGAAUACGUACAUAUUAAUAUAAAAUUAUUCAAUUAAUAUCAAGAUCAGAGCCACCAAAAAUAAUCUAUUAACGGGUGUCGAAUCUAUCAAUUUAAUUUUACUUCCCUUUUCUUGAUUUAGAUGACUAGUUGAGAUAGAAGAAUAGUUUGAAACAAAAAGUAAGAAGAAAAGUUUUUUUUUUUCUAUAAAAGUGAUUUUGCGUAAGUUAAGAAAAAAAAUUUAAAAGAAAAAAUAAUAAAUAGUGCAAUUGAAAAUUGAGAAACAAGUUAUUGAUUAAAAAUUCCAGUUGAAAGUAAUCAAAUUGAGGUUUUUUGCAGUUGAUAAUUGAUUAAAAAAAAAUAUUUCAUGUUAUUAUUUAUUGUUUGGUUACAGUGGUCAAACAAGCGAAUCUCACCGAUUCUUCUUUAUGAAUAAAUUAAUCCGCUUAGCGCUUAAAUUAAUUCCUAGUUAACUAACUGUAACGGUCAUCUGCCUGCUUGCGGCAAUUCCGUCCCACAUCGACGGAAUAUGAUAAAUUGGAAUUGUAUAUAAUAGCUAGCACGAAACUACUAAUUAACUUGAUUAACUAUUUUGGGCUGAGUGGAAAGUGGGUCCAAAAGUUAUUUAGGUCAGUUCCGGCCGGGCUGCUUCAAUUAGUAUCAGAGCCACCUUGGGUCAGACAAAUUGUGCAUAGCUAGUGGGCCUGCGAGUAAAGGGCUACCCGUGAGAGACAAGAUGGAGCUGCCCGAGGUACUAGCGAACCACAAUACCCGAGGGUCCAGUCCUGAUUAGCAAUUGUAUUGGAUUCAGUUGUCCUGGUUAGCAAUUGUACUGGAUUCCGUUGCGAUGAGGACGUAGCAAAAAUUUAGCGGAAUCGAUCUGCUUGUGGCAAUUCCGUCCCACAUCGGCGGAAUAUGAUAAAUUGAAAUUGUAUAUAAUAACUAGUACGAAACUACUAAUUAGUCAACUGCAUUAAGAGAGAAGAACCCAAACUUGACCAAUAAAAACAAGCGAUUUAUUUAAAUCAAAUCUACUAAUUUCUUAAUAUAAACUAACAUGUUAACAUGUUAAUUGCUACUUGUUAUUAAUUCAAUUAAACAAUUACGGAUUUAAUUAGCAAUAUGUUGUCUUCCCAAGAUAUUCAAGUGAUGAAAAGAAUUGAAGUACAUAACCUCCCAACUUGAAUAAAACCUCAAUUUAAUUUACCCUUCAACUGAAAAUAAUUAUAUAGGCACACAAGAAUAAAAUUCUAAGAUUGGGAGAGUCUUUAUAUAGGCACACAAGGAUAAAAUUUAAUAGUUUAAAAUAAACUCUACACCCCCUAUCUUAUCUCUAUCCUAAUCCGAUUGACAACUAAUUAUAUAGGCACACAAGAAAACAAUAAUGGGAAAUUAACAAAAAAUAGAAAUAAGAUGAAAAGAAUUGAAGUACAUAACCUCCCAUCUUGCAUAAAAACCUCAAUUUAAUUUACCCUUCAACUGAAAGUAAUUGUUUAGCCUGUAAAGGUCAUAAUAAAAUUGCAACAACUAAGAACAAGAAGAAGGAAAGAAGAAAAAAAAGACAAAAAGAAGAUGGAGAAGAAGAGGGGGUCGGCGGCACCCAGAGGAGAGGAGGGGGGAAGGAGAGAAUAUGAUGUGUAGGUUUAAUUCUAAGAACCUUUAUAGGGUGAAUCUUUGCUAAGGUGGCAAAAUCUGCUGAGGUAGCGCCUUCUGAAGCUCUCCAUUGCCUUGAGUUACAAGUUGAGUCAAGGUUGUAACCUUUCUGUCCAAAAAUCUUUUAAUUCAGUCUCUUUUCGUUCUUUUUCUUAAUUUUCGAUAAAAAACCUAUCCAAAUUUAAAUUCUAAAUAAAAAUUAAAUAUUUAUAUCAAAAUUAUAGUAAAAUCAUGGAAUUAAAUGAGAAAAAAGUUGUGAGUUUUGCAACAUCAUCUAUCUAAUUCAACAAAUAUAAAUUGCGUAUAGGGUGAAUAAGAUCAAAUUCACAAGAAAUUGACACUAAAAAUCUCCAAUUAAUAAGUAGAAAAAAUGAAUAAUAGAAGUAGAAAGAGAAUUUUAAUGAAAAUUCAAUUAAAGUAAUAAAUCAAGAUAAUUUAAUAAAGAUAAUUUAAUAAGGUCGUGAAAAUAUAUAGGGAAGCUAAUAUGGUAGCGGAUUAUCUUGCGAAUAGUGCGCAUGGUGGAGUUUUUGGUAUGAGUUUUAUUGAUUUGCCUUCAUCUAGUAUUAAGCUCCUCUUGAAUGCUGACUGUAUGAAUGUUUUUCAUGAUCGUAUAAUAAACUAAAGGGCUCUAUCCCUCCUUUUCAAAAAAAAUAAUAAUAACAAUAAUUAAGAGAAAAUUAAAUUAAUACAAAUAAAUUAUAGUUGAAGAUUAUAGUCCAUUUCAGUUUUGAAAAUUGAUCAUAAAAACAAAAAAAAAUCUUUAUUUAUUCUAAUAAGUUAGUUUAGUUAUAGAAUACACUCUGUAUAAUUAUGGCACACGAGAUCGUGGACAUGCCGGUCGACGAGCAACAAAAGCAACAAGUUAUGGUUCCUCCAACAUCAUUCCAGAAACUUCAUUUGAUGAGAUGGAUCGUUUUCCCAAACCCAUUGUCUUUAGGAGAAGAUGAACAUGUUACAUUUAAUAAAAACCUUAAACCUUUCUCUUCUUAUUUUUCAUAGACCAGAGUUCUCCUUAUCAUUUUAAGCUUUUCUCUUUUUAUUAUUUUCUUUAACCGAUAACUUAUUGUUUUAUUCUCUAUAUUGAAUAUGACCAAUCUUAAAAAUAACUCUCUUUUAUUUAAUUUCAAUAUCAAAUAUUACAUGAGAUUUCUGAAAUAUUGAUAUAUUUUUUUUUAUUGGUAAUUCAAUAAAAAUUCAUUGGUGAAUAGUAUGAUCUAUUUUUAAAAGUCUCACUGAUAAAUUUGUACCCUGGAAUCUAUUCUGGAAUUCACUAGUAAUUUUUUACCCUGGAACUUUUUUUCAAGCUCACGAGAUCAGUUGGAAAAUUGUUGUCUUUCUUUGCCCCCUAUGAAUAUACAAUGGUUCCACAAAUUAGAUAUAUACACUAACUGCAUGUCAUGGUUUGCUUAGAUGAUGAAUCUAGCUCAUACUUUGAAAAAGGUUGAUUAAAUUGAAGAAUCUGGCUCAUUGCAUGAGAAGAAUUAUAAGGGUUUUGGGCUGAAGCAACUAGCAGUGGCAAGAAGUGCAUCUGACAUUUAUAUAGGCGUAUAAUAAACUAGCAAAUGCAACAGGUCAUUUCUCGCUCAAUAACCAAUUUCGUCAAAUUUCAAGGGAUUCUUAGAGGGCAAGAUUUGUGCUAUUAAUUAAAUAAAAUUUUAGGGAUUAUGUUAUAAUUUAUUGUUAAUAUGUGACAUGACAUAUAGACUAAAAAUUUUUUUUAUCAAAAUUGAUUGAGAUUAAUAGAUAAAAUUAAAAUAAAUGUGAAAAGAUUAAUUUUAUUGUAUAAAAUUUUAAAAUUAGAAUAUAAAUGUGAAAAAUCAUACAUUUUUACAUCUUUUUAUCCAAUAGAUUUUGUUAUUAGAUAAACUAGUUGACACCCACAUGUUGAGUAAAUUUUAAUUAUACAGUUAUUAAUUUUAUUGAUAAAGAAUAAAAAAUAAAGUUUUUAUGGUUAAGUGGUAUCGAAGUUGCAAUACGGAUAAAAAGAUCUCAAUUUUUCUUAUAAAAUUCCAAAUCAAAAUUUUUAGUCAAAGUAUCCCACCAAUUUAUUAAAUUGUUUAAUUACUCUUUUGCAUUUAUUUUGAAUAACAAUACAAAUAAAUUUCAUUAUUAAUUAAAUCAUCAAAAUCCAUAUUAUAUUUUUAAUUUUUAACAUUAUACUAAUUUGUAAAAAUAGGAUCUAUUCAUUAAAGAUAUGUGUAAUAUAAUUAUUUUCAUAACUAUAUAUAGAUAUUACACUAGAACAAGCAAUUUAUUGAGACACCCAUGUAUCCAAAACGUAUAAACUAAUACACUGGGCAAUCAGAGAUAUCUUUAUUGAUUACAGAAUAGGUAUUUAUACAUACAAGUGUGACUUAGUUAACAAGUAUUUAAAAUCUAUACAAACUAGGAAACCGAAAUCUAUACAAAUUAGGAAAAUAGAAUCCUAAUCCUUAUCAGUAUAGUCUCAAUCCUAAUCCUUAUCACUUAUCAGUAUAGUCUCAAUCCUAAUCCUUAUCAUAAACCAUCAAAUACAUGCCAUUUAUCAAUAAUCUUUUUUAUUAUAAGAUUUUAAAAAAAACAGUGAUAAGAGAAAAAAGAAACACAACGGUUUAAAUAUUUAAUAAAUUUAGUCAUAAAAAUUAAAUUAAAUGUAAUAUUAAAUAAAUUUAACAUGGACGAUAAAAUGAUCAAAUGAGUAAACUUAAUCGUUUUAGAACAAUCAAACAUUAUAUUGCGACUUAUAUAGUCUGUCAACCAAGUUGGUUUCCUAGUAGAAGGAGGCUGACCUCUUUCAAUAGGUUGGAUUUCCUGUGAACUUUCACUAGCAAUUUGAUAUUGCAAGUCAGAUUAUGAAAGUUGUACAUGUUUGUUAUUUUGGUUCUCUAUUUCUUCAAAGGAGACUGAUAUAGGUUGCUGUUGUGACUCAUUUUUAGCCUAAUUCCAUAUGUUUUCUUCAUAAAAAAUCACAUCACUACUGAUCACAAUCUUUUUAGUGUUUGAAUUUAACAACUUAUAAGCUUUAGAAACUUCACUUAAGCCAAGAAAGACAUGUUUUUCACCCUUAUCAUCUAACUUUUUCAUUUUCUCAUAAGAUAUAUAUGCAUAUUUGAUGCAACUGAAAAUUGAACAAUGAUCAACAACUGGUUUUCUUCCACUCCAUAUUUCCUCAGGAGUCAUAUUUUGUAUUAAAAGUAUUAGACUUCUAUUUAGUACAUGGAUAUUCCAAUUAACUGUCUCAGGCCAAAAGUUCUUCAGAACAUUGCCUUUAGCCAGCAAUCUUCUCACCAUAUUAAGGAUUGUUCUAUUUUUCCUUUCCAAUAUGUCAUUUUAUUAUGGCAAAUAGGCAGCGAGUUCUCUUCCAAUGCUUUAUUCAUCACAAAAUUGUUCAAAUUCCUUUGAAUAAUAUUUUCCACCAUGAUUGGUAAGGAAAGUUUUAACUACCUUCCUUGACUCAUUUUCAACAUGCGCUUUGAAGCUUUUAAAUGCACAAAAAGCUUCUGAUUUAGCUUGUAAAAAGUAAACCCAAGUCUUCCGAGAAAAAUCAUCAAUGGAAGUGAUUAAAUAUUUCUUACCCCAUUGAAAGUUGGAUUAAUUGGACCAUAUAUAUCGAAUGGACCAGAUCUAAAAAAUCAUUCGCUCUCCAUGAUUUUCCUUGUGGAAAUUGAGAGCAAUGUUGUUUACAAACACACACUCUUCACAAACUUGAGAUGGAAUAGUAAUUUGAGGAAGACCAUUCGCCAUAUUCUUAUGUUGGAGAGUUCUUAAUCCACCGAAAUUCAAGUGACCAUAAUAGAAAUGCCAAAAUUGAGAUGGAUUCUUCAUUUCAGCCAUCAAAUGGGUUUAGGCAAUUUGAAUUUGCAAUGGAAACAACUUGUUUGAGCUCAUUUAAAUAAUUACAAUGGCUUCUCUUGAAGGAUUAUAAAUUUCACAAGCUCCCUUUUGAAUGGUUAUCAUAUAGCCCUUCUCUUGCAAUUGACCCGCACUAAGUAAAUUAUUUUUUAAAUCAGGAACAUAAAGCACACUAGAAAUAGUCUCCAUAAAACCAUUCUUAGUUUUAAUAUCAAUAUCACUUUUUCCCAUCACAUUCACUUUAGAACUAUUACUAAAACUCACAGUUGAAUGAAAAGUUUUAUCUAAGUGGGAAAAGAGAGACUUUACUACCACACAUAUGAUUGCUACAUUCUGUAUCAAUGUAUCAAACUGCAGAGUUAAUUGUCUCAUUGGUUUAAACAGUCAUUAAGAGAGUUUCAGCUUCAUGAUUUUUCUAUAAAGUUUGACUUCUCCCUAUUUUGACAUUUUGGUACGACAUUCCAAAUGAAAUUGACCAAAUUUAUAGCAUAUGUAGCAUUCAAUUUUAGAUUUGUCAAAGUGCUAAAACUAUCAUUUCCUUUUGUGUGAUUGAUCAUCGUCAGAUUUGAAAUUUGGUGCCAAAGAUCGUAGGAUUUUCUUCACAAUGGUGACAUUUUCCAUCUCCUCACCAUGAAAUCACAUUUUAUUGCUCAAUAAAAUAGGAAGUUAAUUAAUUACUGGUACCAAAAAUUUGUAAAGAAAUUAAAAUUGAGUGUAGAAUAAUUUGGGUAAGUAAACACCACAAGCAUAAUUUACAGAUGAGUUGGUAUGAUUAAUAAUGAUUACCAAAUUUUGAUACAACGGAUGACUAUUGUCUUGAUCUAAUAGUAAAAACAAAGGUGUUUAAAAAAUUAUGGUUCAAUCUCACCGUCACUUUUUUUUUUUUUUUUUUUUGCAUUUUUUGGUCAAAGUGCUAACUAACAUUUUUUUUUUGCCAAAGUGAUUACUAUUCUUGUAAUUCAACCUCAUGCUAAACCUACCCUAAAGAAAAUCCAAGUCUGAACGCUAAAGUUACCCACAUCUUUCUUCCAUCCUAUAAUAUAAUUUUAUUAUAAUUGAAAGCAAAAUUCUAUAAAGAAAAAUAAUUAGAAAAGUUUUCAUAAAUUAAAACCGAUUUUUACAAACAAAUUUUUAAAAACAAAAUCUCAUCUCUUUAAAAAGUUGACCAAUUUCCAUAAAAAUUAAUUAAAAAUAAAAUUUUAACUAUUUAAGUUCUCUAUUCUAUAUAUAUAUAUAUAUAGAAAGUAAAAUAUAAUUAAAUUUAUUAUUAUAAAAUUAAUAAUUUUUAGUAACAGAAAUUAAUAAUUUUAUUGUUAAUAAUGUUAUACAUUUAAUUAAUUUAUUAUAUGAUAUUAUAGUUUACUAUUUCAAGUUUAAUUCUAUUAUUUUACUAACAAUAUUAUAUGACAAAUAAAAUUUUGAUGUUUUAAUAGUCUGAAUAUUUAAAAUUAUUUAUGUACCUUUUUUUUCACAUAUAUUAAAAAAUAUAAUUUUUUUAGUUAAUUUUUUAAUUAUAUUCCUCUUAAAUAUAUUAAAUUUUAUUAAAUAUUAAAAAAUAUUUAAAAAUAUUUUAAAAAUAAAAUAAAAUUAAAUACGAUUAUAAUAAUUAAUUUAUAUAUUAUUAUAAUUUAGAAAAAUAAAUAAUAAUUUUAAAACAAUAAAAAAAUAGAUAAAAAUUUAUGGAGCAGAAAAUAGUAUUUUAUUGUAAUAUUUUAAAAGCCUUGGGUCUAGGUCUUAUUUUAUUUUAUUUUAUGGGUCUUGGUCUAUAUAUUAUAAAACGUUAAUUCUAGAAGGCUUAAUAAUCAAUAAUUCAACAUGCUUUUAUCUUAUUGGAUAGAUGUUAUUAAUUAAUUAGAUGGUCAUCACCUAAUUAUCUCAGCUCCACAAUACGGCUUCAACCUCAAUAUCUUUCACACUUGUAAGCUCUACAAAUAUAUUAAUAUUAAUAUUUUUUUAUAAUGUUUAUAUAUUAAUAUUUAAUAGAUUUUAUUAUUAAUAUUUCAAUAAAAAAUUAUUGGUAUUACAUAAUUUCUGAUCAUAAAAUUAAUAUUAUGUUGCAAUUAAAUUUAUAAAAAUAAUUUAAUUAUAUUAUAUAUAUUUAUCUAAUAAUAAAUAUUUUUUAUUAUUUUAAUAGAUUAAUAUAGUAUAAUAAUUUUAUACACUUUUAAUCACAUUAUAAAAUUAUGAAAUAAAGUAUAAGAAAUAAUUAUUAUUAUAUUUUAUAAAAAUAUUUUUAAUAUAUAAAAGUACUAUAAAAAUUAAUAACAAAGAAACUACAUACCAAAAUAUUUAAAAUUAUAAUAUUAUUCUUUUAUUAAACAUAUAUAAGAUUAUUUUAUUAAAUUAAUUACUUAAUUUAUUUGUUUUUUUAUAAAUUAUUAAUAAUUCAAUAAUCGAUAUAAUAUUUAGAAUUAUUAUAUUAUUUUACUAUUAAAUAUUAUAUGAGAAUAUUUAAUUAUUUAUAAUUUAUUAAAUACAAAUUAAUUAAUUAAUUAAUCUAAUAGCAUAAUAAAUUAAUUAAAUCUAUUAUUUUUGAUAAAUUAUAAAUAAUUAGUGAUUGUAACGGUCAGCGCUUGUGGAUUUGCGGCUUUCAUCCCACGUCGGGGAGAUGAUAGAAAAUUGGAAUUGUAUAUAAUAGCUAGCACGAAACAACUAAAUAACUUGAGUUAACCAUUUUGGGUCAAAUGAAAAGUGGAUCUAAAAGUUAUUUGGGCCAGUUUGGACCAGACUGUUUCAAUUGGUAUCAGAACCACCUUGGGUUAGACAAAUUAUGCGAAACUAGUGGGCCUGCGAGGAAAGGGCUAUCCGUGAGAGACGAGGUGGAGCCGCCCGAGAUACUAGCGAACCACAAUACCCAAAGAUUCGGUCCUGGUUAGCAAUUGUAAUCGAUUCAGUUGCGGCGAGAACAUCGUAAAUUUAGCUGGACCGAGGUAACAGUCAGCUGCAUGCUUGUGGAUUUGCGGCUUCCGUCCCACAUCGGGAGAUGAUAGAAAAUUGAAAUUGUAUAUAAUAGCUAGCACGAAACUACUAAAUAACUUGGGUUAACCGUUUUGAAUCAAGUGGAAAGUGGGUCCAAAAGUUAUUUGGGCCAGUUUGGACCGGGCUGUUUCAAUUAGUAUCAGAGCCACCCUGGGUCAGACAAAUUGUGCGGAGCUAGUGGGUCUGCGAGGAAAGGGCUACCCGUGAGAGAUGAGGUGGAGCCGCCCGAGGUACUAGUGAACCACAAUACUCAAGAGUUCGGUCCUGAUUAGCAAUUGCAAUCGAUUCAGUUGCGACGAGGACAUCACAAAUUUAACUAUUUUGAGUAAGUGAAAAGUGGAUCUAAAAGUAAUUUAGAUCAGUUUGGAUCGGGCUGUUUCAGAUUCCGUAUAGUAUCUAAUCAUAAUUUUAUUUUAUAAUUCUAAAUAUUAAUAUAUUUUAUAUAUUAAUAUUUAAUAUAUUUUAUUAUUAAUAUUUAAAUUAAAAAUAUUAUUAAUCUUAUAUAAUUUCACUAUCAUAAAAUUAAUAUUAUACCACAAUCCAAUAAAAAAAUAAAUUUAAUUUUUAUAAUUUUAAAUAUUUAUAUUAAUUUAUUUAUUUAUUUUAUAUUUUUCUUUAAUUAAUUAUUUAAUUUAGUGUUUUAUACAUACAUUUAAUACAAUAAUAUUAUAAUUUUAAAUAUUUUUUGUGUGCAGUUUUUUUUAUUAAUUUUUAUAAUAUUUUUAUAUAUUAAAAUAAUAAAAUAUAAAAAAUAUAAUAAUUAUAUAUUAAUAAAUUUAUAAUUAAAUAAAUUUAUAAUUAAUUAGUAUUAUUUAAUUAUAAUAAUAUAUUAAAAUUAAUAAAAUAUAUUAUAAAAAAAUUAUUGUAAUAAAAAAUAUAAUAUAAAUAAAAUUAUUAAAUUAAUAUAAUAUAAAAAUAAUAUAUUAAUUAAUUAAUAUAAUUAUAAUACUUUAAUAAUUAAAAAAAUAUAAAAAAAUUAAAUCAUGGGAGCUAGGCCAUGAUUACUAAUAGUUAGUACCAAAUUAUUAAUAACUUAAAUUAAUUUUAUAAAUAAUAUAUUAUUCUAUUUCAAAUUAAUAUGGAAUUGAAUAAAAUUGUAUUUAGUUAAAAUGUUAAUUAUAAUUAGAAAUUUAAUUUGUUUGAAAAUAACUUUUGCAUUAAAAUAUGAAUUCAUUGGAUUAAUCCUAACCGAUAAUCAUUUUUAUCAUAUAAAUUGUUGGGUUGACAAUUAAUAUCACCAGCCAGUUUCAAUUAAAACAUAUUACUAAUCCCAUUUAGGAAGUACAAAGAUCGUUCCAGAAUUAAAAUUAUAUUAAUUAUUAACUAAAAUCAAUCUUUAAAAAUUGAAUUUCAAGUUCACUCUCAAAUUUAGUUUAAUGGUAAGUGUAUCUGAAUACAUCUGAGAGAUUUCAGAUUUUAUUCUCUCAAUUUCCAAUCCCAUUUAAAAAAAAAAUUAAAUUUCAAAUAAAAUGAAACUUUUUUUACGUAAAAUAAAGAAAAAUUACUAAAUUUUAGGGCUGUAAUCGAACCGAGCUGAGCCGAAUUUUGAUACGUUCAGUCUCGAUUAGAAAAUAAAUUUAAAAGCUCGAGUUUGACCUUGAGCUCGACUCGAACUCUAUUUAUAAACUCGAGCUCAAUUCAUAAAAUAAAUAUUAAACUCGAGCUCGGUUCGAACUCGAUUCGUAAUAAACUCGUUUGUCACAUUAACGAGCCAACUCAAACUCUAUUCAAAAAACUCGAAUUUGAACUCAUUUAGACUCGAAUUUGAGAUCGAUUAUAUUAUAAAUAAGCUUAAUAUAAUUUAAAUUUAUUUAAAUUAUAAAUAAAUUUAAAUUAUAAGGUUAUUAAGAGACUUCUAAAUUAAAUUUUUUUAGCUAAUUGAAAUCUCUCUAAUUGAAAACUAAUGAAAAAGAAUGUCGAAUGGUUGUCUUUUUAUAGAGAAGUCACGAUUCUCCAUAUCCUUUCAACUUUCGAUGUGGGAAUAGUGUUAGCAAACAAGUUUGUUCGCGAGGCUGCUCACGAGCUUGUUCACGAGGCUGCUCACGAGCUUGUUCACGAGCCUAUUCACGAAUCAGCUCGCGAGUCUAAAUAAGCCGAAUACUGUUAAGUUCAAGUUCGACUCGUUUAUUAAACGAGUCUAAAAAGUGAGUUCGAGCUCGGUUCGUUUAGAAAACAAGUCGAGCCCGAUCGAGUUUUUAUCGAGACGAGUCUCGAAUAGUUCACGAACAGUUUGGUUCGUUUACAUCUCUACUAAAUUUAGAAAAAAAUUAAAAUUAACUAAAAUUUGAUACUAAAGGGAUUUUAUAAUGUAAUUUUGACUAUUAUAAUCGUUACAUAUAUAUUUAUAUUCCUGCAUUAUAUAUUUAAAAUAAAUUCAUUGAACACUUAAGUUAAGACUGUAACUCAUUGCAUAUCUAAUUUAUAAAAAUUCUACCAAUUAAAUAUUAAAUAAUUAUAUUCAAAUUUUUUUAUAUAAAAAAUUCCAUCGAAUUAUACUGUAGAUCUUGUUGGCCAUAUUUUAAAUUUUUUAAAUGAAAAGAUUGCCCUCUAUAAAGGAGAGUAAUUUUAUUAUUUUAUAAAAAUUUAAAGUAAUAUCGAUAAAUCUAGAAUAUAAUUAAACAAUAAUAAAUGAAAUUAAUUUUUACUUUUUAUUUAUAAGCUAUAGAUAAAAUGAGUAAUUUACAUUUAAUUGCCAUGAUUCAUGUACGAUUAAAUAUUCAAAUAUGUUUUGAUUAUAGUUUCAGUAUUAAGCCUUUAUUUAUUUAUAAAAUAUAAUAUAUAUUUGAAAAAUAUUUUUCUAUGUUUUGAUUAUAGUUUCAUGUAUUAAGCCUUUAUUUAUUUAUAAAAUAUAAUAUAUAUUUGAAAAAUAUUUUUCAUGUGAAAUAAUAUUAUAUUAUGUAAAAUGAGAGUAAUUUUUUAUUUUAUGAAAAUUUAAAGUAAUAUUAAUAAAUCUAGACAUAAACAAUAAUAAAUGAAAUUAAUUUUAUUUUUUUUACACUCUAAUGUAGAAGUGAGUAGUUUUCGGUUCAAAUUGAAAAAAUUGAUCGAAUUAAAUUAAUUCAAAAAUUUAGUGUAGUUUUUUUAUUUUUUUCGAUUUUGUACGAUUUUUAUUUUUAAAAUUUUUUAUUAUUUCAAUUCAAUUUGAUUUUGAUAAAAAAAAAUUAAUAAAAUUAAACUAAACCGAUUAGUGAUAAUAGUAUAUUAAUUUUUUCUAAUAUAGAAAUAUUUUAAUUAAAUUUUAAAAUAUUAAAAAUAAAGUAUUAAAAAUAAAAAAUCUCAUUAAAAGGUCUAAUCAAUUAAGCUAAAUCAAAUCAAAUCGAAUUAUAUCAGUUUAUAUUUAAAUGGUUUCUAUUUAAAAUCGAUUCGAUUUAAUUUUUAUAAAUUCUAAAUUUUUAAUUUUUAACUUUUUCAAUUCGAUUUGAUUUUAAACCGAACUGACGAAAUGUUACCUUACAUGCUAUUGAUAAUAUGAGUAAUUUAAAUUUAAUUUUCAUGAUUCAUAUACAGUUUAAGUAUUAAGUCUAGGGAGCUUUUUGGCCAAGUUUCCCUCUGUGGUACCUCUGUGGAUCGAUGCUCUCGCCUUUUCCUCUUCUUAAAUCUAACUUCUUCUUUUUCUUUCCCCAUUGAAGAUGAUCUGCGUCAAUUGACUAUCGAAGCGGCUCAUCCCGUCAAAGGUCAGGAUAGCCCAAAGCAAUGAUCGUCCUGUGUUGGAACUGCCGAGGACUCGACAAUCCUCGGACAGUAAAUACAUUAAAGGAUUUGGUUACUAGUUACAAGCUGGACAUUUUAUUUUUGAUGGAAACAAAAGUUCUUAGUUCUCGUAUGGAAUUUUUUUGUAGUUUUUUACAUUUUGAUAGUUGCUUCUCAGUUAAUAGACAAGGAUUAGGAGGAGGCCUUUCGUUAAUGUGGAAGAGUCAUGUGUCUGUUUCUGUGAUUGGCUUUUCUUCCAAUUUUAUUGAUUCGAUUGUUUCGCAAGGUAAUAUCCAAUGGAGGUUUACUGGUUAUUAUGGAUUUUCGAAAUCACAACGAUGACGUCAUUCUUGGAACCUUAUUCGAGCUUUAUCUCGUAGAAACUCUCUUCCGUGGCUUUGUUCGGAAGACUUUAAUAAUUUAUGCUCGAGAGAUGAGAAAGAAGGAGCAACUUUACCAAAUUAUCUUAUGCAGGGGUUUAGACAGAUACUUGAGGACAGUAAUCUUAUUCAAAUACCUACUGUUGGCUCUUUCUUCACAUGGGAGAAGCUUGAUAGAGCCCUUGCUACUGAGGACUGGACUCGUAAAUUCACUAAUGUUGUCUGCUCGGUUGUUCAUGUUCCUAGAUCGGAUCACAAACCGUUGGUGAUUAAUACAGCUCAUAAGGAUAAUAGGGGAGAUAGAAGGAGAUUUCGAUUUGAUAAUGCAUGGUUAUGUGAUGAGAGUCUGGCUAAGGUUGUUAAAGGAGUUUGGGUUAAUUCUAUACCACACAACCUUUUGAUGAAACGUGAUGAUUUAGUUUUAGCUCUUUCGUUGUAGAGUAGGAGUAGAAAUAGAGAGUUUUGGCAAAAGAAGAAGACUAUACAGAGAUUAUUGGAUAAUGGGCCCAGUACUGUUUCUCACGCCUCUUUAAAGAAAGAUUGGAAUUGUCUCCUUGAGCAGGAAGAAACUAGACUUAAAUAGCAGACAAAGUGCUUUUGGCUUAAAAAUGGGAACCGAAAUACAAAAUUUUUUCAUGCACAAAUUAAUGAUAGACAGAAUGAACCUUAUUACUAAAUUAAAGGAGUCGUCGGGUACCUGGAUUGAGGAUGAGCAGGAAAUUAAAAAUCAUAUUCUGCAUUAUUUAAAGUCUAUUUUUUAUGGCAGUUCUGUGGAUUGUGAACGGGUUUUUGAGUUGGUGCCGCCAUUGAUUAGUGAUACCGAUAAUACUGAUCUUUGUGCUCCCUUUUCGAAUGAGAAAUUUAGAGCUGCUCUUUUUCAGAUGCAUUCAGAUAAGGCAUCUGGGCCGGAUGGGUUAAAUCCUACAUUUUACUAGAGAUUUUGGCACUUGAUUGGCAAUGAUGUUUUCGAUGGUUGUCGCCUUGGCUUCAACAAGGUACUUUUCCUUCUUCUCUUACUGAAACAUUGAUUGUUUUGAUCCCUAAAGUAGAUAGCCCUGAAACUAUUAAAGACUUUUGUCCAAUUGCGUUAUGGAAUGUGUUAUAUAAGAUUGUGGCUAAAGCUUUGGCGAACAAAUUUAAAAGGGUCCUUCCUAUGAUUAUCUCUGAGAAUCAGUCUGCCUUUAUCCCUCAUCGAUUGAUUACCGAUAAUGUUAUGGUUGCGUUUGAAAUGAUGCACAAUAUGAAAACUAAUAAGGGCAGAAAUGAUGGUAAUUGUGCACUUAAAAUUGAUAUUUCUAAGACUUAUGAUAUGAUAGAGUGGGAGUUUCUAAAAAGCAUGGUGGAACGAUUUGGUUUUUCUACUCAAUGGAUUAGGUGGUUGAUUAUGUGCUUUUCGGAAGUCUCUUACAAUAUCAAUUUUAAUGGUGAUUGGAUUGGUCCUAUUGUGCCUGGUAGAGGUAUUCGACAGGGGGAUCCUAUAUCUCCGUAUCUCUAUUUGGUGUGUGCGGAAGGCUUAUUGUUACUACUUAAAGAUGCUGAAUCUAGGAGCUAGUUGCAGGGCUGUAGGGCAGGUACUAGGGGUGAGCAGUAUUCGGUUCAAAUCGAAAAAAUCGAUCGAACCGAAUUAAUUUAAAAAUUCAGUUCGGUUUUUUAUUCAAUUUGGUUCAGUUCGAUUUUUAAUUUCAGAAAUUUCAGUUAUUUCGGUUCGGUUCGAUUUUGAUCAGAAAAAAAUCGAAAAAACCGAACCGAACAGAUUAGUGAUAAUAAUAUGUUGUUUUCAAUAAUAUAGUGAAAUUAAAUCAUAUUAAAAUUAAAAUAUUUUAAUUAAAUUUUAAAAUACUAAAAAUAAAGUGUAAAAAAUAAAAAAUUUAUUAAAAAUCGAAACCGAUCAAACCGAACUGAAUUGAACUGAAUCAGACCGGUUCGGUUCGAUUCAGUUUCUAACCAAAAUCGAUUCGGUUCAAUUUUCAUAAAUACUAAAAUUUUGGUUUUCGGUUUAUUCGGUUCGGUUUUGAACCGAACCGACCGAAUGCUCACCCUUAGCAGGUACUAGAUGCCCAAAGAUCUCACAUUUAUUUUUUACAGAUGAUUCUCUGCUAUUUUUUAAUGCUAGACUGGAGGAAGUAGAUAGUAUUAAAUCUAUUCUCAAUACCUAUGUGGCUGCUUCUGGACAAGUGAACUUCAACAAAUCUGACAUUUUCUUUAGUCCCAAUGUGGUCUCCUCUGUAAGGUCUAAUAUUAGUAAUAUCCUGGAUGUUCAUUCACCAUUGAGUCAUAGUGCCUAUCUGGGAUUACCUUCUCUUAUUAGGAGGAACAAAAAAGCAAUUUUUAGUUUUCUAAAAGAAAGAAUGUAGAAGAGGAUUAAUUCAUGGAGCAGCAGAUUUCUAUCUAGAGCAUGCAAGGAGAUUCUCAUAAAAUCUGUGUUGCAGGCUAUACCUGCAUAUUGCAUGAAUAUUUUUUGGAUUUCCAUUACUAUUUUGAAGGAAUUGCAUAGAAUGGUCAAUGACUUUUGGUGGGGGGUAAAAGAGAAGGGCGGAGGGGUAUUAAUUGGCUAGCGUGGGAGAAGAUGUGUAGUAGAAAGAAGGAGGGGAGUAUGGGGUUUCGGGACUUUAGAAGUUUUAAUUUGUCUUUACUUGGCAAACAAGUGUGGAAGUUCUUAACAAAUCCUAAUACUCUUUGUUGUAGAGUGUUUAAAGCAAAGUAUUUCCCAAAUGGUAAUUUAUUUUCCGCCAAUGUAAGUAAUGGUGCUAGCUUUGUUUGGAAAAGUGUGAUGACAUCAAGGAAGUUGAUUCGAAGGGGUACAAGGUGGAGUGUGGGUAAUUGAGAGAAGAUUUUAGUGGCUUCAGCUCCCUGGGUUCCUAAGAAGGAUAUCUUUUUUGCUGAUGAUGGCUCCGAUUUUAUUGAACCACAUUUGCGUGUUUGUGAUCUUUUUUAAGGUAAUGAGAGGGUUUGGAACAUUGCUCUUUUAAUAGAGCUUUUUUGUUCAAGAGAUAUCAGGGCUAUUAUUAGUAUUCCUAUUAGUAUUACCAAUAAGGAAGAUUCCUUCUUGUGACAUUUUGAUAAAAGAGGUAUGUAUACGGUAAAGUCUGCAUACUUUGUAUGUAUGGACUUGCUAGGAAGAUCAUCUUUUAAUGUGGGGGGUGAGUUGUAGACUAGUUUGUGGAAUGUUUCUGUCUCUCGAAAAGUGAAAGAUUUCUGUUGGAGAGCUUGUAGAAAUAUAUUGCCUACAAAGGAUAACUUAAGGCAAAAGGGUGUGGAUGUAGAUGCUAGAUGUCCUUCGUGUCAUGAAAAUGAAAGUGUCAAUCAUAUUUUGUUGCAUUGUCCUUUGUCCAAGAAAGUUUGGAGGUUAAGGGGAGUGGAAAAUUUGCAGUCUAAUGAUAAUUUUUUUAAUUUUUUACUGCAGAUCUUGAAAUCUCAAGAUAAGGUUCAAAAAACCUUUGUAAUGGUCUGUGCAUGGAGAUUAUGGUCAGCAAGGAACUCAUUAUUAUGGAACCAGGUGCAAAAUUCAGCAGCUCACCUUGUGGAAGACGUCAUGCAUCAUAUCUCGGAUUAGGAAGUUGCUCAACGUGCUGGUGCUUUACAUGGAAAUACCAUUGCUGCUUUAUAUCGGGGCAGAAACUUGUUUUAUUCUUCCAACCCUGCUCGUGAUCCUAAAGCCAUUCCUCUCUAAAUUCGUGCGUCAUCUCCAAGUUUGGACAAUUUCAGUUGGUUUUGUCAAGUUGAUGGGGUUUUGUUUCAAGUUUAAGAUUUUAUUAGCUACGGUUUUGUUGUGGAAAACUCUGAGGGUAUAUUUCAACGUGGUGUUUCUGGUUUUUCGAAAGGUAAUGGUAUGCCGGUAAUUGUUGAAGUUUUAGCUCUCCAUCAUUGUUUGCUCUUUGCGAUGAAAUUUUUGUCUUUUAAUGGCUGCAUUCUUAUAGACUGUUUGUAGGUGAUUUAAACUCUUCAGUCUCUACAUUUAGACAUUUCUGAAUUGAGUUUGAUUUUGAAUGAUUAUAAAUCUUUGUUAGACUUUAGAACUGAUAUUACUGUUAGAUGGGUUCGUCGUUAUGCCACUCUAACUGCUCAUACUUUGACUAGAGAAUCUAUUAGGUAUGAUCGUCUUUCUUUUGGAAUGAUAUCCCUCUUUGUUUGAUAAAAUUUUAUUAAUAUAAUCGGUAGUUUUUUUUAACAAAAAAAUAUUAAGCCUAGGGCUUUAUUUGUUAGUAAGAAAUAAUACAUAUUUAAAAAAUAUUUUAAUUUAACAUAUUUUAAAAAAAAUAUUUUUCAUAAAAAUAUAUUUAAUAAAAUAAUUUAUUUUUUAUUAUUUAAUUUGUAAUUUUAAAAAUAAAAGAUAAUAAUACAUUUAUGUACAGUAGUAUUAAUAUAAUUCUGAAAAAAAAAUUUUAUUUUUUUAAAAGAAAAUAUCAUUUUCUUUAAAAAUUAUAAAAUUUUUCAUUUGAAAAAAUAAAUUUCCCUUGAUUAAUUUUUCUAAAUAUUUCAAGUUUUAUAAAAUAUAGAAAAUAUUUUUUUAAAAAAAUAUUUUGCAUGAAAUAAAGUUUUAAUCCACUAAUUUUAAAUAAUAUAAAAAUAUAAAUAUAUAUUUAAAGUUAUUUUAGAUCUUAGAUAAAAUCAGUUAUUCCAACUCCAACCUUUGGUGGUGGCACUAAUCAAGUAUAUAAGAAAAAUAGUUUUAAAGGGCUGCUUUUAUUAUAAUCGAGUAAAAUUAUAUAGUUAAAUAUUUAACAGGUGAUAUUGGUCAAUUUUAUAUGAAUUUAUUAUAUUAAUAAUGAAAUUAUAUUUAUUAUGUAUGUAAAAGAGUUGUAUUAAAUAAUUAUUUUAAUAUGUAUGAUUAAAAAUAAAAUGAUCAUAAAAUUAAAAAUUUAUUUUGUAUUCUCACUUUUCAAUUUUUAAAGAAUUUUAAUAAAUUUAAAGUCCAUAUUGUUCAUUGAUAGAGUCUUAGCAUAAGUGUAUCCAUUCAUACGUCUAGGUGGAAAUCACGUUAACCUUAUGCUCUAAUUAGGGGUGUAAACGAAUCGAGCUGAGCCGAGUUUUGAAGAGCUCAAGCUUGGUUCGUUAAAAUUUUUUCGAGCUCGAGCCGAAUUCAAGCUUUACUCAUUUCGAACUCGAGCCGAGUAUUAAGAAGUUCAAGCUUGGCUCGUUUAGCAAACGAGCUUAGACGAGUCGAGUUUUUAUCGAGCUGAGUCGAGCUUUUAUCGAGUUUAGUCUCGAAUAGUUCACGAGUAGUUUAAUUUAUUUACAUGUAUAAUGAGUUUUAGUUUAAAACUAAUAAUUUUAAAACUAAAAUAAUUUUAAUUAAAUAAGUAUAUCUACAAAUUAGCACGUAAGCUUAUAAAGAUGAGUUUUUAAAUCUUAAUGAUCCAAAUAUAUGCAAGUUUAAAAGUGUAAUUAAAGUAUAUAGAGUUUAAUUUUAGAAAAUUUAGAUUUAGCUCAUGAAAGUAUAUGCAGGGUUUGAGUUUAUUUCUCUUAUGAUAGCAAUUUCAGUUUGCUUAAUGAGACUGUUCACGAGUCUAUUCGCGAGCUUGCUCAUGAACUCAGGAACGAGCCGAGUUCACGAGUUUUAACGAGCCGAAUACUAUGGAGCUCAAGUUUUGCUCGUUUACCAAACGAGCCUGAAAAUUAAGCUCGAGCUUGGCUCGUUUAGAAAUCAAGUCGAGCUCGGUCGAACUUUUAUCGAAUCGAACCUCGAAUAGCUCACGAACGAUUUGGUUCAUUUACAACCCUAGUCCUAAUAAACAAUAAACAACUUGUUAUCUUUAUAAGACUUUUAUAUUUUUAUUUUUAUAUAUUUCAUAAUUUUAUAUUGCCCACUACACGAAAUUGAUUGGUAGUUAAAAUCUCUCUCUCAAACAUUUGGAUUGGACCUCAGAUAUAAAUUAUUAAUGGCACCCAUGUGCCCAUUAAAAAAUAAAUUAGGUACAGAUAAACCUGAUUAGCUUUACUGUAAGUUUCAUUAAUUUAAUACUUCAAUAUCUAUUUCUUUAUUUAUUAUUAUUUUUAAAAACCUCAUUGAUGAGAUGAAUAGGACCUUCAAAAUUUAAAAAGCAUUGUUGAUAUUUGUCAGCCGGCUUAGAUUAUUAUUUUUAUAAACAAAUUUUAACAAAUAAAAAAAAACUCUUACUNNNNNNNNNNNNNNNNNNNNNNNNNNNNNNNNNNNNNNNNNNNNNNNNNNNNNNNNNNNNNNNNNNNNNNNNNNNNNNNNNNNNNNNNNNNNNNNNNNNNNNNNNNNNNNNNNNNNNNNNNNNNNNNNNNNNNNNNNNNNNNNNNNNNNNNNNNNNNNNNNNNNNNNNNNNNNNNNNNNNNNNNNNNNNNNNNNNNNNNNNNNNNNNNNNNNNNNNNNNNNNNNNNNNNNNNNNNNNNNNNNNNNNNNNNNNNNNNNNNNNNNNNNNNNNNNNNNNNNNNNNNNNNNNNNNNNNNNNNNNNNNNNNNNNNNNNNNNNNNNNNNNNNNNNNNNNNNNNNNNNNNNNNNNNNNNNNNNNNNNNNNNNNNNNNNNNNNNNNNNCAUGUGAUUUUUUUUUUCUGAACUAAUAAAAGACCACACUGAAAAGAUUUUUUUUUUUUUUUAAAAAAAACAACUCCUCGUUGAAACUUAGAAUAAAGAGAAACUCAUUAAUAAAUUUAUAAUAUGCAUUACACAAAAUGACAUUAACUGGAGGCCAAAAUGACAUUAACUGGAGGCCACAUGCUGCGAAUUCUACGCUCAACGUUAUUUUUUUUAUAAGAAAAAAAACAAAAAAAGGAAAACGACGGUCCUAACGCUAAAGUUACCUACUGUCUUCCUUCAUCCUUCCUAUAUCUAACUCUCUAUCUCUGACCAUUCACAUUCACACCCUAUAGAAACUCUAUUAUAUAUAUACUCGCAACAAACUUAUGGUCGUGGUUGCAUAAGUCUGCAACUUCAUCGCCUCUCGCUUGGGGAUGAAUGGGGCAGAUCGCCGGAUGGAAACUAGAGGUAUUAAUUGUUUUCAGCUGAAACUGUUGUACCAAAUAGUAAUAGUUUCAUGGAGAUUUCAUUUCAUCUAACUAAUUGAGGCAUGUUGUUAUUGAUUGUCACUAAGCACAGAUCAGAAUGAAUCUGGCUCAUCUCCUGAGAAGACUAUUGGGCCAAAGUCAUAUUCAUACGGUGAACUAGCAAGUGUAACUGGUCAUUUCUCGCUCAAUAAUCUAAUUGGUCGAGGUGGUUUUGGUCAUGUUUUCAAGGCAUUAUUAGAUGGUGAGAUUCGUGCUAUCAAGAGACUUGAUUUUCCAGAUGUACAGUCUGAAGGAGGUUUGGAGAGGGAGAUUAUGGUUGUCAAAAGCGUCAGUCACAAAAACCUUGUUGAACUAGUUGGUUACUGCAUUGAUGGAGCCAAUAGAUUGCUUAUUUUAAAGUAUUUUCCAAAUGGGUCCUUGAGAUCUAAAUUACACGGUGAGUCCCAUAUCCUUUCUUUUACUUUUAUGUUCAUAUAUCCAAUCAAUAUGACAUGAAUAAUCUUGCAAAUUAUAAAUGGUAUUGUAGGAAGUGGGGAUGUUUUGGACUGGAAAACAAGAAUGAAGAUCGCCACAGGUUCUGCAAAAGGAUUGGAAUAUUUACAUGAACACUGUGAGUAUAUACUACUACAUAUUUUUACUUGGCAGGAUUUUAACCUUUGAGUGUGAAUUUAUUUAUUUAUUUUUGUUUAUAUUGAUAAUUUCUUUUCUCUCAAACAUUUAUAUUUUAUAUUCUUUUCAGGUAAACCUAAAAUUAUUCAUUUAGAUAUCAAGCCGGAUAAUAUUCUUCUUGACGAAGAUUUUGAACCCAAAGUAAGAUAAUUUUAUAAUAAAUAAUCAUUUUAUUUAUAUCAUGGCAUAUGUAUAGUAGAACUUUCAUCUGAAAUUUUAUUUUUGAAUAAUAUUAAAAUAUUAUGUUAACUCUUUAAUGACAUAAUUUAAUUUUUGUAAUUAAUUAAUAAAUUUGGGUUCUAAUUCUUUUUUGGUUUGGCCAUAUAUUUUUGGUUUUUUUAAUAAAAUUUAUUGCUUAUAAAAAAAAAUUAAUAAAUCAACCUUAGUAGGUUUCUUGUCUUUUUUUUUUUUCAUGAUUUAAUAUUUUCUUAAUAAACUUGAUUGAAGUACGGAAAAUUGUGUAAUUUACCAAAUAACUUUAAUUUUAAAUUAAGAUAUAUAUAUAUAUAUAUAUAUAUAUAUAUAUAUAUGGCAUAAUAAAUUUAUUAAUCAACUUAAAUAAUUUGUUUAGAUAACAGAUUUUGGACUUGCUCAAUUUUUUACCGACGGUGCUACUCACAUAUCCAAAUCAUCAGUUAUGGGAACCCAUGUGUAAGAUAUAAUUUUCUUUCUAUCAUUUAAUUGCAUUGCUAUUAUUUUCUAUUUUUUCAAUGCCAUUAUUAUCUCCUCUUAAAAUAGUUUAAAAUAAAAUAAAUAUUAAAAUAGAUAAAAUAACACAUAAAAAAAUAUAAGUACUCCUUAAUUUGAUAGUAUUAGUAAUCUUAACAAAUUUUAUUACAGUUAUUAAUAAUCUUAACAAAUUUUAUUGCAGUUACGAAGAUCCAUUUACAACAAAAUUGGGAAAGUAUUCUGAUAAAUCUGAUAUUUAUUCUUUUGGAGUUACACUUUUAGAAUUGAUUACUGGAAGAAAACCUAUAGACAAUGGCACUGAUAUUGUUACUUGGGUAUGACUCUGUUUGCUUUAAUAAAACUAUGAUAUAAAAAUUCUAUUUACCAUUUAUAAAGUUUUGAAUUUAGAUCUCAAUUGGAGUUAUUUAGAUUUAAAUUCAAUGCAUUCAUGAUUCAUUAAUAAAUAAUUUUUUAAUCAAUAUCUUGUAGGCAAAUCCUCUAAUUAAAAAGGCUUUGAAGAGAAGGUAUACAAAUUUUAUAGAUUCCAAUUUACAAUCCUUUGACUAUGAACAAAUGUAUCAAAUGGUUUCUUGUGUUGAUUCUUGUCUAAAUCAACCUCCAAGCUCUCGUCCAACAAUGGAAAAGGUAAAAUUUUUCACAUAACUAAUCUCAAAACUAUAUAUAUAUUAUCUCAAAACUUGUAAUCAUUUUAUUAUUAUGUUAUGCAGAUACGUCUAGUUCUUGAAGGAAAAUCACUCUCGAAAGAAUUAUACGAUCAUAAAUUGCGAAGGAGUAUUAUACAUACAGGUUUAUAUUCUUUUAUGCUAAUUUAUUAAAAAUUAUAUGCAUAUUUGAUCUAAUUGAUGCCUAAAUUUUCAUUUAAUGUGUCAUAUCUUAAUAUUUGAACAAUGUUGAUUUUCAACUACAAAAAUAUUAGUUUUUUAAUUUGAAAUUUAGAAUAAAAUAGUUUUUAACCAAAAUUGAUAACUUAUUAAUUAAAUAUAAUUUUUUAUUUUAUAAUUAUUCAAAAAACUGUGAAAAGAAUGAAAAAUUACUUUGAAGUUUUUUUUUUUUUUGGAAAUAGGAAUUAGGGGAAUAAAAUAUGAGAACUCUCAUAUGCACUUUCCACCAGAAUAAGUCUAUGAGUGUAAUUACCUUAAAGUUUUAAAACAUAAAUCUAAAAGUUCAUACAUGUAUAUAUGUAGAGGUACUAACAGUUUUACAGAUCCGAAAGGAUCUAGGUCAUCGCCUGAGUUGAAUAGAAGUAUAAUUACUGGGCCGAGGCAAUAUUCAUUUGAACAACUAGUAAAGGCGACCAAUUAUUUUUCUAAUAACGAUCUCAUUGGCGAGGGUGGCUUUGGACAAGUUUAUAGGGGAUUACUAGAUGGUGAAACCCUUGCUAUUAAGAAACUCAAAAAUCAUCGAGAUUUACAGUCGCAAGAAUACCUGAAGAAUGAGAUUAUUGUUGUUAGCAGCAUCCGCCACAAAAAUCUUGUUGAACUGCUUGGUUACUGUAUUGAAGGGGCCAAUAAAUUCCUUGUUUUUAAGUAUUUUCCCAAUAAGUCCUUGAGCUCUCAAUUACACGGUGAGUUUCAUCCUUUCCCUUUAUAUAUAUAUAUAUAUAAUUUUUUGUUUCAUAAUCGUUAUGAAAAUUAAUAUAAAUAAAAAUUGAUUUUUGUAGAAAGCGAUCAGGAUUUGAACUGGGAGACAAGAAUAAAUAUCGCUAAAGGCUCUGCAAAAGGCCUAGAAUAUUUGCAUGAACACUGUGAGUAUAUAAUUAAAUAUAUUCAUAGCUAAUAAUUGCCAAGCUUUUUAGCUCUUGAGGUUCUAAUAUCUAUUGUUCUUUCUUUGAGUUAAUAUAUAAUUUAUUUUAUCUUAAAACUUUUUAUUUUUUUUGUAUGUUAGGUGAACCUCCUAUCAUACAUUUAAAUAUCAAGUCAGACAAUAUUCUUCUUGAUGAAGAUUUUAAACCAAAGGUAAAAUAUUUUGAUAAUUAUUGGAUCCAUAAUACAGUGGAACAUCAAAUAUUGUUGGAUGUCAAAAUUUUAUUUUUAAGAGAGCCACUGAGUUUGCCUCUCUUAAACUGUGAGUGAAAGAUAUAUCCACCAUCUUAUAAAUAGAGGGUUUUUAAACUCAUAGGAACUAAUAAUAUUGAUUUUACUAUACCACAAAAACUAAAAUGUAUUUUAUCUUUUUGAUGAAUAUUCUUAAAGUACACAUAACAGUGUAAUUUGUUAGAAUAAGAGUAUAAGAAGUAUAUUUAUGAAAUUUGGUGUAGAAAUAACUACACCUUUUUUUUGUAUAUAUAUAUAUAUAUAACAUAAUAAAUUUAUUUAUCUACUCUUUUUUGAAAAUAAAUUUAUUAAUCUAUUUAAAUAAUUUUGUUUAAUUAGGUGGCUGAUUUUGGACUUGCACGCUUUUUUUCGGAGACUAUUAUUCACAUAUUCAAAUCAGCGACUAUGGAAACCAAAGCGUAAGAUAAUUUAUACAUGUUUAAAUUUUUUAGUGUCAUUAUUAUGUUCUACUUCUAGAAUAAUUAAAAUAAAAUAAAAUACAUAUGAAAACAGAAGGAAACUAGUGUUUCUUUAGAUUUUAAUUUCUUGAAUCUUGACAUGAAUUUUGAUUGAGCUUACUAAAUUGCAGCUAUAUAGAUCCAUAUGCAAUAAAAACUGGAGAGUACACUGUAAAAUCAGAUGUUUACUCAUUUGGUAUUAUGCUUCUAGAAUUAAUUACCGGAAGAAGACUCAUAGAAGAAGACGGCUCUGAUGUUGUUGAAUGGGUAAGGCGUAUGCAACUAGUAUACUUUAAAAAUUUAUGAUAUGUAAUUGUAUAAUUAAAAUAUAAUAAAAGAUAUUUAAGAUCCAAAACUCACCAUUCACAUGCAAUCACUGAUAUUAAUGCAUUUGAAAUUCCCAAUUGAUGUAAGUCUGAGUUAAUAAAUAGACAUAAUUAUAUUUUUAUUGAUAUUCUACAGGCAAAAUCUGAAAUUAAGAAGGCUUUGCGGGAUAAAAAAUUUGAAAGAUUUGUAGAUUCUAGAUUGCAAAUGUUUGACGAUGAAGAAGCGUAUCGAAUGUUGUUCUGCAUUGAUAUUUGUAUAAAUAACAUUCCAAAAUUUCGCCCAUCAAUGAAGAAGGUAAAUUUUUUUUUCUUUUCCAUAUAUUAUGUUAUAAUUGAUAAUAUAUACAAUAAUUUCAUUAUUAUUGUGCCAUAUAGAUACUUCUAACUCUCGACGGAAUUUUGCCUCAACAAAUUAUGCAAUGAGAAGGGUGAUAACAAAUUGACACUGUACCCCACUUUAUAUAUAAUUUCAUCUCCGAUUAAUAGAAGUACAAGUAUUGGGCUGAGGCAAUAUUCAUAUUAACAACUAGCAAAGGCCACCAAUCAUUUCUCCGGUAACAAUCUUCUUGGCGAGGGUGGCUUCGAACAAGUUUACAUGGGAUCAGUAGAUGGUCAAUUCUUGUAACACCCCUAUCCAAUUAUUUAAUUAACCAAGUUAGAGACAUUAUAUUUUGUAACUGUUCUCUUUUUUUUUUAUUUUUUUUAUAUCAUAUAAUUCAUUACCUUUUUUUUAUCGAAAAUCCGACAGAGUUUCCCCUGAAAUAUGAACUUAAUUCCACCUGUGAAUAGAAAUAUCACACUUCUAUAAACUUCAAUCUUAACCCUCAAACUUCUUUUAACAUCAACACAAUUUCAAUUCAGAUCAAACACUUCAUAAUCAUCUCAUUAAUCUCAACACAAAAACUUAUACUAAUAACCCAUAUUUACACCAAAAUUAAAAUCUUUAAAUAUAUCUAAUUCCAACCAUAUAUAACUUCAUCUCUAAAACUUUGCCAUAUUUCCAAAAUUAACUUUAUAUAAAGUUUAUAAAAUAUACUCCAAGAUAGUUAAUGAUGUAACUCUGGUCGGGUUGAUCAGAUCUUGAUCUACUGCUCCUUGGACCUACAACCUGCGCGAGGAAAAAUACAUUCCUACGCGCUAAGCAAAUUGCUUAGUGGUGCUCAACUUCUUUUUAUAUUUAAAAAUAAAUCAUUUAAAUCAAAAUUCAUUUAUCAACAAUAAAUCAAACAAAUAACAAUAAACUAUAUAGCAAAUAAUUUGAAACAAUUCUAAAUCAUAUUAUUAUUUCACAUAUAUACAAAUUUUAAUUUCAGUAUUUUCUUUUUCUUUUUCUUCAUGUAAAAAAAGGUUCUAUUUUCUCUUAAUACUUUUAUUUAUUUAUUAUUUUUCUUUUGGCCCCUAUAAAUUUAAAUGGGACUGUUAAGUCAGAUAAGGAACUGUAUCUAUAGGGCACAAAGUGCCAAAUAGGGAGUGAGGUUUUAAAAAUUUUAAUAAUUAAAAAAAAGGAAUAAUUAAGAUAGAUAAAUGAAGGGAAAAGAAAAAUUGAUAAACUACUUUUACCUCUAACUUUUCAUCUAUUUAUAUUAUUUUUCCUCUUUUACUAUUUUUUAAAUUGAAUUUUCUAUUUUAUUUUCCAGUGAAAUAAAAAUAAUUAUAAAGUAUAUACCAAAACCCCAAUCACAAUAAAGUAAAUAAAUUUUAUUAAAAUUAUUUAUUUAUAAGAGAUAAAAGGGCGGAAAGGAUAAGAAUAACAUUAUUUAUAAAGUCGAUUAAUAAAAUGUCACUAUUAAUUAUUUUUUGGUUUAAAUAAUGGAUACUUUCUGAUUGUUGCAUUAAGUCAUUGAUGGGACCCAUGAGCCCACGUCUAUUUAUCACUAAAAAAAUAUUUACCACAUGCUGCGCAUUAAUAAAAAGAAACUCAUUAAUAAAUUUAUAUGCAUUGCACAAAAUGACAUUGACUCGCCGCUGGAGGCCACAUGCUGCCCAUUCUACGCCAACUUCAACAUUAUAUAUAUAUAUAUUUUUUUUAAAGGAAAACGAAGGUCUGAAUGCUAAAGUUACCUACCGUCUUCCAUCACCCUUUCCACAUCUUCCUCUCUAUCUCUGACCAUUCAUUCACACUGAAUAUACUUGCAAGAAAGCUGUGGUCGUGGUUGCAUAAGUCUGCAACUUCUGACGACCUCUAGCUUGGGGCUGAACCGGGCAGAUUCGCCUUAUGGAUACUAGAGGUAUUACUUGUUGUAGCUGAAUGUGUGGAACCAAAUAGUAGUAGUUUCAUAGAGCUUUCAUUUCAUUUCAUCAACUAAUUGAGGCAUGUUGUUUAUUCUAUGGUCACUAAGCACAGAUCCGAAUGAAUCUGGUUCAUCUUCAUCUGCAUCUGAGAAUUAUGACGGUAUUGGGCCAAAGUCAUAUUCAUACGAUGAACUAGCAAAGGUAACUGGUCAUUUCUCGCACAAUAACCUAAUUGGUCGAGGUGGUUUUGGUCAUGUUUUUAGAGCAUCCUUAGAUGGCGAGACUCGUGCUAUCAAAAGACUUGAUUAUCCGGGUGUAGAGUCUGAAGGAGAUUUGGAAAGGGAGAUUAUGGUCGUAAAAAGCAUCAGUCACAAAAACCUCGUUGAACUGAUUGGUUACUGCAUUGAUGGAGCCAAUAGAUUGCUUAUUUUAAAGUAUUUUCCAAAUGGAUCUUUGAGAUCUAAAUUAGAUGGUGAGUCCCAUAUCCUUUAUUUUACGUUUCAUGUAACUAAUGCGACAUAAUUAAUCUUGCAAAUUACAAAUGGUUUUAAUUUUGUAGGGAAGGAGAAUGUUUUAGACUGGAAAAAAAGAAUGAAUAUUGCUAUAGGUUCUGCAAGAGGACUGGAAUAUUUACAUGAACACUGUAAGUAUGUAGUACAACAUAUUCCUAAUUGGCAGGAUUUUAGCUUUAGAGAGUGAAUUUAUUUUUUUAUUUUUUGUGAUAAUUUAUUUUCUCUUAAAAUUUUAUACUUUUCCCAUAUUUUUUCAGGUAAACCUAAAAUUAUACAUUUAGAUAUCAAGCCGGACAAUAUUCUUCUUGAUGAACAUUUUGAACCUAAGGUAAAAUAAUUUUAUAGUAAAUAAAUAUUUUAUUUAUAUCUAUCACAUAACCUUAUCACUACCUUAUCACUCAAUACUGAAAUUUUAUAUUUUGAAUUGAAGUCAUCGUUUGUUUAAUAUGAUUGUUGUAAUUAAUUAAUAAAUCUGGGUUCUUCUUUUUUGGUUUGGCCAUAUAUUUUUGGCUUUUUUAAUAAAAAUUAUUGCUUAUUGGCGAAGGCAAAAAUUAUAGGAAAGUUUGAUUUUCUUGUAUAUCUUGGAUCGGUAGCAGUACAUGUAUAUAUAUACAGUGGAUACAAUAGACUUAAAAUAGGUUUACAAAAAAUGUAAUACACAUGAAAUAACUGAAAACAGUUUUUCUAACCAACUUUGGCGCCAUUAUUUUCCACGUGGCUUAACAUCCCCUGCAAGUUGGGGAGUAUAUAUCAAUCAUCCUCAGCUUGGAUAAUAUUUCUCGAAAAGGAGCAAUAGGUAAGGGCUUUGUGCAAAUAUCAGCGAGUUGGGCAGCAGAUGGUAUUGGAAGGAGUUUAAUCAACUCAGAGAGCAGUUUUUCACGAACAAUAUGGCGGUCUAUCUUGAUAUGUUCAUGAAAGAUUGGAAUUUGCAGCAAUUUGUAUAGCAGAUUUGUUAUCACAAUAAAUAAUGGCAGGUUGAGGGUGACAGACAAAUAGGUCAUGAAGAAGAUACAAUAGCUACUGUACUUCUCACAGGUGAUAGUUGCAAGAGCUCAAUAUUCAGCUUCAGAGGAGCACCGAGAAAUGGUAAGACUGCUCCUUUGCCUACCAAGAAAUUAGAGCGGAUCCUAGAAGGAGACAAAAUCCUGUAACAAAUUUUUGGAUGUCAGCACAACCUGUCCAGUCUGAAUCACGGAAACCUUUCAGUUGUAAGUCUGAACCAGUAGAGAAGAAAAGACAUGCAUCCGGAGAGCUCUUGAUAUAACGAAAUAUACAAUGGGCUGCUUGUAAAUGAAUAGAGGUAGGUGGGGCGAUCCAGGAGCGGACUAAGUUGUUGAAGGAACGGACUAAGUUGUUGAACUGCCAGGUCUUGUGGAUGUUAAAUAGAGUAAUCCCGCUAUCAGUCUUCUAUAGAAAAGGAUAUCAUCCAAGGGUGUGCCAGAAUUGAUACUACGCUUAGUUUUGGAGUCCAUACACUACAAAAAAUUUCCAGAUUACGGAAGGAUUUACUAACGAUUUGAAUCUGUUAGUAAUUUUAAUCGAUUUAUUAACGAUUUUAAAAAUUUAUUAGUAAAUUUUAAUAUAAAAUAUUUUAUAUAAAAAUUUAUUAACGAAUUUAAAAUACGUUGGUAAUAUAUUGGUAUUACUAACGGAUUUUAAAAUUUAUUGAUAAUUUAUAAAUAUAUAAAAUAAUUUAUGUUGAAAUUUAUUAACAGAUUUAAAGUCCGUUAAUAAAUCUGUCGAUAAUUUAUUAACGAAUUUUAAUAUGUUAGUAAAUUUUAAAACGUGUUUAAAGUACUAGCGGACUUUUAACGUGUUUAAAAAAUUAUUAAUGAAUUUGAAAAUUUAUUACUAAAUUUUAUCAUUAAAUUAGUAAGUAAAAAAAGUGUUGAAUUUAUCACCUUAUGCUAUCUAUUAUUUUUUUUUUUGAAAUAGGGGUUGGGGGAGUCGAACCUUAGACCUUUUAAGGCUACAGGAUGCACUUUUCACCAGGCUAAGCCUUGGAGUGCUUAUGCUAUCUAUUAUUAAAUUUAAUAUGACAUUUCGCAUAAAAUUUUUGCCUUUUUUUUUUUAAAUCCACAUUUUUCAAUUAUCAACGAAUUUAUUAAUGGAUUUAAAAUCCGUUGGUAAUUUUUAAAGGAAAAAAAUCUAUUUUUUAUUUUUUUAAAAAUUUAGUAAUGGAUUUCAUUAAUAAACUGUUAAUAAUCCACAUUUAUAAAUAUAACACUAUCUCUUCUUCUUUUAUCAUUCAUUCGUUUUAUCAUUUUCUUUUCCUUUCCAUUAUUUUCUUUCUUUUUCUAUUACUUUCUUUUAUUUCACUUUCUCAUUUCAUAUUUUUUUCUUCUCAUUUUUUUGUAUUAUUUUCCUUUCAUUUCUUAUCCUUUUUUAUCACAUUCUCUUCCAUCUUAUAUUAUUUUCUUUAUUUUUCUCCAUAAUUUUUCUUUUCCAUUAUUUUUUUUCUUUUUUUUCUUAUUCUUUAUUUUUUCUAUAAUUAUUAUUCAUAUUAUUUUCUUCUAUCAUUUUCUUUCUAUCUAUAUCUUUUCUUCAUUUAUUUUAUUCUCUAAUUAUUUUCUCUUUUUUUUCUCAUUUUUCUAAUCAUCUUUUUACCAUACUCUCAUUCUUCCUUCUUUUUCAUAAUUUUUAUUUUUCUAUCAUUUUUUUCUUUUUCUCUUUUUUUUUUUUCUUUUCUUAUCAUUUUCUCUCAUUUGCUUUUCUCUUAUCCCCCCUUCUAUGUAUUUCUAAUAAAUAUUAGACAUAAAUUAAAAAUUUAGUAACAAUAAUAAUAUAAUUUUAAAUCUUAUUGAAUUAAUAAAAAAUAAUAUUAAUAACAAAAUUUAUUAUUUAAUCAAAAUAAUAAUUAUUUUAAACUUAUUUAAAUUUCCAAUGGAUCUAUUAACGAAUUUCAAUCAGUUGAUAAUUUACUAAUAGAUUUAUCAACGAAUUUCAAAUCUGUUAGUAAAUUAUUUUUCUCUCAAUUUACUAAUGGAUUUAAAAUCCGUUAGAAAUAAUAACGGAAACUCCGUUAGUAAAUCUGUCAGUAUUACUAACGGUUUACCAACGAGCUUUUUAACAACGGAUUAUAAUCCGUUGAUAAUUCAUUUACCAAUGUAUUUUUAUAGGAUUACCAACAGAAAAAUUCAUUAGUAAUCCGAAAGUUUUUUGUAGCGAUAAGAGUGGGAGCUGGUUUACAAUCUGAAAAGCCAAAGUCAUUAAGGAUCUCAAGGGCUAUUUCCGCUAACAAAGAGAGAUGCCAGCUUUAGUUCUUGCUACUUUCAACCUCAGAAAAAAACUCAAAUCACCAAAGUCUUUUAUUUUGAACUUAUUAUUAAGAAAAGAUUUAACAGUGUUAAUUUUUUGUAAAUUUGUGCCAACCAAGAUAACAUCAUCGACAUAAACCAAUAUCACAAUAAUAUGAACAUCAUAUUUCUUAACAAAGAGAGAAUAGUCCGAGAUAGACUGUUUAUAACCUAGGGAGAUAAGAGUAUUACACAAUUUUGAAUACCAUUGACAAGUGGCUUACUUUAAACCAUAAAGUGACUUGUUUAAGUGACAAACUUUGUUAGACUGAGAGGUAAAGCCUGGAGGAAGUGUCAUGUAUACUUUUUCAUGAAGAUCUCUACGAAGGAAUGCAUUAUUGAUGUCCAACUAUUAUAAAAACCAUCCAUUAGCAGCUGCAAGAGCUAAGAGAAAUCGAACAGUGGUUAUCUUAGCAACAGGUGAAAACAUAUCAAAAUAAUCAACACCUUCAAUGAAACGGUCCGACUCAAACUGACCCAAAUAACUUUUGGAUCCACUUUCCACUUAACCCAAAAUAGUUAACCCAAAUUAUUUAGUAGUUUCGUGCUAGCUAUUAUAGACAAUUUGGAUUUUCUGUAAUUCUACCGAUGUGAGGCGCCUUCCCACAUUAAGCAAGCAAUUGUCUAUCACACUGCCUUUCCAAAUUAAGCAAGCAAUUGUGUAUCAUACUCUCCCCCGCUAAAUUUGCAACGUCCUUGUCUCACACGGGUAGCUCUUUUCAUGCAGGCUCUACAUACUUUUUCCGACUCAGGGUGGCUCUGAUACUACGGGUGGCCCUUUCCUCGCAGGCUCACUAACUCUGCAUAAUUUUUCUGACCCAGGGUAGCUCUAAUACCAAUUGAAACAGUCCGAUCCAAAUAACUUUUGGAUCCACUUUCCACUUGGAUCUCCUGCUAAAUUUGCGACGUUCUCGUCGCAACUAAAUCGAAUACAAUUGCUAAAUCAGGACCGGACCCUCGAAUAUUGUGGUUCGCUAGUACCUCGGGCGGCUGCACCUCAUCUCGCACGGUAUUUGGAAUUCAAUGCGGGAUUCUCAAAAUAGGAUAUUUAGUGAAUGACUCCUUUAGAAGCAUAAAAGGCUGGUAUUUGGAAUUCAACUCCAUUGUCACUUCUGAUUUUUUGGAUCUUAGUAGAAAAUUGAGUUUCUACAAGAUUAAAAAAGGAUUGAAGGCAAGACCUGGCAUCACAUUUAGAGUGCAAUAAGAAAAUCCAAGUGAACUUAGUGAAAUCAUCCCCAACAGUUAAAGAAGAAUUUGUGACCAGUUAUUGAACAUACUGAAAAUGGCCCCAAAUAUCUACAUGUAUUAGUUCAAAAGCUCUAUUUGUAGUAGAUAUGCUAUCAGAAAACAAAAGCCUUUUUUGUUUUGCAAAGUGGCAAAUAUCACAGACAACUUUAUUAUGAGAGGCAAAGAUAUCUGGAAUAUGAGCUUGAAGUGUUUGAAGUCUGGAAGGUGAAGGAUGACCCAACCUGAAGUGUCAUUUACCAAAAUUACUAUCAACAAUACAUACUCUAGAAAGAUUGAAAGGCACUAGCAUGUAGAGACCAUUGUUCACUUUAGUUGUACCAACUAUCUUCCAGUGAGUCAAUUCCUGUAUGAAACAAGCAUAUUGCUGAAAAACCAGGCAACAAUUACCAGAAAGAGUAAGCUUAGACACAGAUAAGAGAUUGAAGGCAAAUUCUGGAAUGAAAAGAGCACCAUUCAGUAUCAAUUUGUCUGUCAAUUGAACUGUGCCUGCAACUUUUGCAAGAAGCUUGGAUCCAUUUGGAAGAGUAACAACAAUGGGUGGAAUGUUGUGAUAAGUACUGAAAAGAUGCAGUGAAUGUGCAAUAUGGUCUGUUUCACCAUGUCCACUAUCCAAACAUCAGAACUGGCAGAAACAGAUAAUGCCAAAUGUGUACCUGGUUAAGGAUCAAAGGCAGAUACCAAGUUUGUAACAGGAGUAGAGAUUGCCUGAGAGUUGUUAGAUGUUAACUGUGGAUAGGAUUUAGCUUCAAGAUGAGAAUCAUUGAGGAGUGCUAGUAAGCCAUGAUAUUAUUCUUGCGUUAAUGAGAAUCUUGAUUUCUCAAUAUUUGUCUGAGGUCCAAUUGAACUGAUGGCUUGAACGUUAUCAACAGCGGUAACAUUGUUGACAGUCACAUUUGAUCCUCUUGGUUUAUAACCAGGGGGAUAUCCAUGUUUCUUAUAGUAAGUUUCUAUUGUGUGCCUGUACCUUCCUCAAAAUGUGUAGUAUCUAUUGUCUCCAGAGGAGUUAACAACAGAUUUUCCAGCUGAAUGAGACUUGUAAUUGUAUGAAGGGACAUAUCUAAAUCUGGAUAGAUUAGAUUUUGCAAUCUAACUAAUUAAAUUAUAAAAGAUUAAUUAAAUUCUGUCAAGAGUUUUAACCAAUAUUAUUUGGCUAAAACGAUAUAAGAGAAAAGAUAGGCCGAAAGACGAUAGCCUUAUUAAAAUUUUUCAAAAAUUGAAAAGUAAGUUUAUAAUAGUCAAGUGAGUUCAUCUAAUAGCCAAGUGAGUUUAUCUAAUCAACCUUAAUAGAUUUUUUAUUUUUUUUUCAUGAUUUAAAAAAAGGAAUAUAUUCAUGAAAUUAAGUGCCAAAAUAACUUAUUCACCUUUAAAUUAAUAUAUACAUUAUAUAUAAAUGGCAUAAUAAAUUUAUUAACCAACUUAAAUCAUUUGUCUAGAUAACAGAUUUUGGACUUGCUCAUUUUUUUACGGAUGCUGCUACUCACAUAUCCAAAUCAUCAGUUAUGGGAACCCAAGUGUACGUAGGAUAUAACUUUCUUUCUAUAUUUAAUUGUUUUUUUAUAUAUAAAAGAAUUGCAUUACUAUUAUUGUCUUUUUCAUUUUCACUGUCAUUAUUAUCUACACUAAAAUAAAAAUUAAAACAAAAAAAGCACAUAAAAAUAAAUUAAAACUCCUUAAUUUGAAGAUAUUAUUUUCUUAAAGAAAAUCUAUAUGAAUUUUAAUUGUGAUAAUUCUAUUGCAGUUACGAAGAUCCACUGACGACAAAAUUAGGAAAGUAUUCUGAUAAAUCUGAUAUUUAUUCUUUUGGUGUUACACUUUUAGAGCUGAUUACCGGAAGAAAACCUUUAGAUAAUGGCAUUGAUAUUGUUACUUGGGUACGACUAUUUGCAUUAAUAAAAACUAUGAUAUAAAGAAAAUUUUUUUUCUCAUUGAUAUAUAGUCGUUUAAAAAAGUAAAAUUUUGAAUUUAGAUUUCAAUAGGAUCUAUUUAGAUUUUAAUCCAGUGCAUUUAAGAUCCAUUAAUAAAUAUAUAUAUAUUUUUUUAUCUUGUAGGCAAAUCUUCACAUUAGAGAGGCUUUAGAUGGAAAAUAUGCAAAUUUUGUAGAUUCCAAAAUACAAUCUUUUGAUGAUGAAGAAAUGCAUAGAAUGGUUUCUUGUAUUAAUUCUUGCUUAAAUCGACUUCCAAAAUUUCGUCCAACAAUGGAAAAGGUAAAAAUUGUUUCCAUAAUUAAUUUAAUUGUAGUAUCUUUCAAUAUAAUUAUGUGAAAGCCUAUUACAUAAUUGAUUUAUAAUUAUUUUAUUGCUAUAUAUGUCAUAUAGAUACGUCUAGUUCUUGAAGGAAAAUCGCUUCCAGAAGUAUUAUACGAUCACAAUUUGCAAUGCGGUAUGAUAUAUAAAGGUCCAUAUUAUUUUAUGUUAAUUUAUUAUAAAUUAUAUGCAUAUUUAUAGAUCUAAUUGAUGCCUAAAUUAUCAUUUAAUUUUCAACUGUAAAAAAUAAGUUUUUUAAUUUGAAAUUUAGAAUAAAUUAGGUUUUAACCAAAAUUGAUACAUAUUAAUUAAAUAUAUUUUUUAAUCUUAUAAUUAUUCAAACAAACUGUAAAAACAAUGAUGAAAACUUUAUCUUAAAGUUUUAAAACAUAAAUCUAAAAGUUCAUACAUGAUUUCUUAAUCGUUAAAUUUGUUAAUCAUUGAAUUAAAACGUAUAGUUAAUAUAUAUAAUAGUGAAUAGUUUCAGGAUUAAAAAUAUAAUUUUAUUUGAAUAUAAUUAUUUAUAGAGUUAUGAUUUAUCUUAUUAGUUAUUUUUAAUAAUUAUAGGAGACAAGAACAAAAAAAUCAUUUAUCAACCGAAAACCUCCUUUGUUCCCUUAUAUAUAUGAAAAGUGCAAAAUUAAGAAUUACCAUAUUUUAUUUAUUAUUUCUUAAAAAUGAAUAUGUAAUUACAUUUACAUUUAAAUCGGUUAGAGUUUUUUAGAAUUAAAAAAAUAAAUUAUAAAUAUUUAAUUUAUUAAUUAGGAAUCAAUAUAUAAAUUGGAAUUUUGUAUUAAAUAGUUAACAUUUUAGUCAAUUUACAAGUUCAUUGACUUAUUUAUUAAUUUUACAUAUUAUUCUUUUAUUAUUUAAGGAAAAGUAAAUAAAUAGGAAUAAUUCUUCAUAAGAAAAAAAUAUAUAUUAUCAAUGGCCAUGAAACCAUUUGCUAUUUUGAAGUUGUUAAAUUUUAUUUUAAAAGAUUGUUAAACAUAAUGAUUGUUUAUUGAUUGUCACUAAACACAGAUGAGAAUACUAUUGGGCCAAAGUCAUAUUCAUACGGUGAACUAGCAAGGGUAACUGAUCAUUUCUCGCUCAAUAACCAAAUUGGUCGAGGUAGUUUUGGUCAUGUUUUUAAGGCAUCCUUAGAUGGUGAGAUCCGUGCUAUUAAGAGACUUGAUUUUCCGGAUGUACAAUUCGAAGAAGGUUUGGAGAGGGAGAUUAUGGUCUUCAAAAGCGUCAGACACAAAAACCUCGUUGAACUGGUUGGUUACUGUAUUCAUGGAUCCAAUAGAUUGCUUAUUUCAAAGUAUUUUCCAAAUGGGUCCUUGAGAUCUAAAUUACAUGGUGAGUCCCAUAUAUCCCUUCUUUUACUUUUAUGUUCGUAUAACUAAUCAAUAUGACAUGAUAAAUCCUAAAAAUUACAAAUCGUAUUGUAGGAAGUGGGGAUGUUUUGGACUGGAAAAAAAGAAUGAAGAUCGCCAUAGGUUCUGCAAAAGGAUUGGAAUAUUUACAUGAACACUGUGAGUAUAUACUACUACACAUUCUUACUUGCAGGAUUUUAACUUUUGAGUGUGAAUUUAUUUAUUUAUUUAUUUUUAUUUAUAUUACCUCAAAUAUUUAUAUUUUAUAUUUUUUGUAGGUAAUCCUAAAAUUAUUCAUUUAAUUAUGAAACCGGAUAAUAUUUUUCUUGACGAAGAUUUUGAACCUAAGGUAAGGUAAUGUUAUAAUAAAUAAACAUUCACUAUACACCAAAUUUUAAUCAUUGAAUACCGAAAUUUUAUUUUUAACAAUAUUGAAAAAUUAUGUAAACUCCUUAAUUACAUAAUUUGAUUUUUGUAAUUAAUUAAUAAAUCUGAAUUCUAAUUCUUUUUUAGUUUGGCCAUAUAUUUUUGGCUUUUUUUAAUAAAAUUGAUUGCUUAUAAAAAACAUUAGUAAAUCAACCUUAGUAGGUUUUUUGUCUUUUUUUCAUGAUUUAAUAUUUUCUUAAUAAACUUGAUUGAAGUACGGAAAAUUGUGUAAUUUACCAAAUAAAAAAAGUAAAAGUAUAUUUAUAGAACUAAGUGUGAAAAAUAACUUUAAUUUUAAAUUAAGAUAUAUAUAUACAAAUGGAAUAACAAAUUUAUUAAUUAACUUAAAUAGUUUGUUUAGAUAACAGAUUUUGGACUUGCUCAAUUUUUUACCGACGGUGCUACUCACAUAUCCAAAUCAUCAGUUAUGGGAACCCAUGUGUAAGAUAUAAUUUUCUUUCUAUCAUUUAAUUGUAUUGCUAUUAUUUUUUAUUUUUUUAAUGUCAUUAUUAUCUUCUCUUAGAAUAGUUUAAAAUAAAAUAAAUAUUAAAAUAGAUAAAAUAAUACAUAAAAAAUAUAAGUAAUCCAUUAAGAUAGUAUUAAUAAUUUUAACAAAUUCUUUUGCAGUUAUGAAGAUCCACUAACAACAAAACUGGGGAAGUAUUCUGAUAAAUCUGAUAUUUAUUCUUUUGGAGUUACACUUUUAGAAUUGAUUACGGGAAGAAAACCUAUAGACAACGGCAUUGACAUUGUUACUUGGGUAUGGCUCUAUUUAUUUUAAUAAAACUAUGAUAUAAAAAUUUUGAAUUUAGAUUUCAAUUGGAAUUAUUUAGAUUUUAAUCCAAUGCAUUUAUGAUUUAUUAAUAAAUAAUUUUUUUAAUUAAUAUUUUGUAGGCAAAUCGUCUAAUUAAAAAUGAUUUGGUGGGAAGAUAUACCAAGUUUGUAGAUUUCAAUUUACAAUCUUUUGACCGUGAACAAAUGUAUCGAAUGAUUUCUUGUGUUAAUUCUUGUCUAAAUCAACCUCCAAAUUCUCGUCCAACAAUGGAAAAGGUAAAAUUUUUCACAUAACUAAUCUCAAAAUUAUAUAUACUAUCUUCAAGUUUGUAAUUAUUUUAUUGGCAUGCCAUGUAGAUACGUCUAGUUCUCGAAGAAAAAUUGCCUUCAGAGGAAUUAUACGAUCAUGAAUUGCAAUGGAGUAUUAUUCUAUACUCUUUUAUGUUAAUUUAUUAGAAAUUAUAUGCAUAUUUAUACUAAAGCUUGAUCUAAUUGAUGCCUAAAUUAAUUUUCAUUUAAUUUCUGUUAUAUCUUAACAUUAGAAACAAAUGUUGAUUUUUAACUGCAUAAAUAUUAAUUGUUUUAAUUUGAAAUGUAGAAUAAAUUAGUUUUUUUAGUCAAAAUUGAUAACAUAUUAAUGAAAUAUAAUUUUUAUCUUAUAAUUAUUCAAACAAAUGUAAAAACAAUGAUGAAUAUUUUACCUUAAAGCUUUAAAGCAUAAAUCUAAAAGUUCAUACAUAAUUUCUUAAUCGUUAAUUUUGUCAAAUAUUGAAUUAAAUCAUAUAGUUAAUAUUUAUAGGAUUGAAUAGUUUCAAGAUUAAACAUAUAAUUUUAUUUGAAUUAGAAGAAUAUAAUUACUUAUAGGGUUACGAUUUAUCUUAUUAAUUAUGAGGAAGGGGUGAUGUGAAGUAUCCAUCUAAGUUCAUCUACUCGGUGAUUUUGCUUUNNNNNNNNNNNNNNNNNNNNNNNNNNNNNNNNNNNNNNNNNNNNNNNNNNNNNNNNNNNNNNNNNNNNNNNNNNNNNNNNNNNNNNNNNNNNNNNNNNNNNNNNNNNNNNNNNNNNNNNNNNNNNNNNNNNNNNNNNNNNNNNNNNNNNNNNNNNNNNNNNNNNNNNNNNNNNNNNNNNNNNNNNNNNNNNNNNNNNNNNNNNNNNNNNNNNNNNNNNNNNNNNNNNNNNNNNNNNNNNNNNNNNNNNNNNNNNNNNNNNNNNNNNNNNNNNNNNNNNNNNNNNNNNNNNNNNNNNNNNNNNNNNNNNNNNNNNNNNNNNNNNNNNNNNNNNNNNNNNNNNNNNNNNNNNNNNNNNNNNNNNNNNNNNNNNNNNNNNNNNNNNNNNNNNNNNNNNNNNNNNNNNNNNNNNNNNNNNNNNNNNNNNNNNNNNNNNNNNNNNNNNNNNNNNNNNNNNNNNNNNNNNNNNNNNNNNNNNNNNNNNNNNNNNNNNNNNNNNNNNNNNNNNNNNNNNNNNNNNNNNNNNNNNNNNNNNNNNNNNNNNNNNNNNNNNNNNNNNNNNNNNNNNNNNNNNNNNNNNNNNNNNNNNNNNNNNNNNNNNNNNNNNNNNNNNNNNNNNNNNNNNNNNNNNNNNNNNNNNNNNNNNNNNNNNNNNNNNNNNNNNNNNNNNNNNNNNNNNNNNNNNNNNNNNNNNNNNNNNNNNNNNNNNNNNNNNNNNNNNNNNNNNNNNNNNNNNNNNNNNNNNNNNNNNNNNNNNNNNNNNNNNNNNNNNNNNNNNNNNNNNNNNNNNNNNNNNNNNNNNNNNNNNNNNNNNNNNNNNNNNNNNNNNNNNNNNNNNNNNNNNNNNNNNNNNNNNNNNNNNNNNNNNNNNNNNNNNNNNNNNNNNNNNNNNNNNNNNNNNNNNNNNNNNNNNNNNNNNNNNNNNNNNNNNNNNNNNNNNNNNNNNNNNNNNNNNNNNNNNNNNNNNNNNNNNNNNNNNNNNNNNNNNNNNNNNNNNNNNNNNNNNNNNNNNNNNNNNNNNNNNNNNNNNNNNNNNNNNNNNNNNNNNNNNNNNNNNNNNNNNNNNNNNNNNNNNNNNNNNNNNNNNNNNNNNNNNNNNNNNNNNNNNNNNNNNNNNNNNNNNNNNNNNNNNNNNNNNNNNNNNNNNNNNNNNNNNNNNNNNNNNNNNNNNNNNNNNNNNNNNNNNNNNNNNNNNNNNNNNNNNNNNNNNNNNNNNNNNNNNNNNNNNNNNNNNNNNNNNNNNNNNNNNNNNNNNNNNNNNNNNNNNNNNNNNNNNNNNNNNNNNNNNNNNNNNNNNNNNNNNNNNNNNNNNNNNNNNNNNNNNNNNNNNNNNNNNNNNNNNNNNNNNNNNNNNNNNNNNNNNNNNNNNNNNNNNNNNNNNNNNNNNNNNNNNNNNNNNNNNNNNNNNNNNNNNNNNNNNNNNNNNNNNNNNNNNNNNNNNNNNNNNNNNNNNNNNNNNNNNNNNNNNNNNNNNNNNNNNNNNNNNNNNNNNNNNNNNNNNNNNNNNNNNUUAUGGUUAAGUGGUAUCGAAGUUGCAAUACGGAUAAAAAGAUCUCAAUUUUUCUUAUAAAAUUCCAAAUCAAAAUUUUUAGUCAAAGUAUCCCACCAAGUUAUUAAAUUGUUUAAUUACUCUUUUGCAUUUAUUUUGAAUAACAAUACAAAUAAAUUUCAUUAUUAAUUAAAUCAUCAAAAUCCAUAUUAUGUUUUUAAUUUUUAACAUUAUGCUAAUUUAUAAAGAUGGGAUCUAUUCAUUAAAGAUAUGUGUAAUAUAAUUAUUUUCAUAACUAUAGGUGGAGAUUACACUAGAACAAGCAAUUUAUUGAGACACCCAUAUAUCCAAAACGUAUAGACCAUCAGAUACAUGGCAUUUACCAAUAAUCUUUUUUAUCAUAAAACUUUGAAAAAAACGAUGAUCAAAGAAAAAAGAGACACAAUAGUUUAAGUAUUUAAUAAGUUUACUCACAAAAUUUAAAUUUAAAGUAAGAUUAGAUAAAUUUAACACGGAUGAUAAAAUGAUAAAAGGAGUAAACUUAACCGUCUUAGAACACUCAACAUUAUAUUGCGAUUUACAUAGUCUGUUAACCAAGUUGAUUUCCUAGUAGAAUGAGGCUGACCUCUUUCAAUAGGUUGGAUUUCCGGUGACCAGCAAUUUGAUGUUGCAAGUCAGAUUCUGAUUUGUACAAGUUGGUCAUUUUGGUUCUCUAUUUCUUUAAAGAAGACUGAUAUAGGUUGCUGUUAUGACUCAUUUUUAGCCUAAUUCCAUGUGUUUUCUUCAUAAAAACUCACAUCUCUACUGAUCACAAUUUUUUUAGUGUCUGAAUUUAAUAACUUAUAAGUUUUAGAGACUUCACUUAAGCUAAGAAAGACAUAUUUUUCACCCUUAUCAUCUAACUUUUUCCUUUUCUCAUUAGAUAUAUAUGCAUAUUUGAUGCAACUGAAAAUUCAACAAUGAUCAACAGCUGGUUUUCUUCCACUCCAUAUUUCCUCCGGAGUCAUUUUCUGUAUUGAAAAUAUUAGACUUCUAUUCAGUACAUGGAUACUCCAAUUAAUUGCCUUAGGGCAAAAGUUCUUCGGAACAUUGCCUUUAGCCAGCAAUCUUCUCACCAUAUUAAGGAUUGUUCUAUUUUUCCUUUCCAAUACGCCAUUUUAUUAUGGUAAAUAGGCCUGUGAGUUCCCUUUGAAUGCUUUAUUCAUCACAAAACUGUUUAAAUUCCUUUAAAUAAUAUUUUCCACCAUGAUUGGUACGAAAAGUUUUAACUGCCUUCCCUUACUCAUUUUCAACAUGCACUUUGAAGCUUUUAAAUGCACGCAUUUAAAAAGCUUCUGAUUUAGCCUGCAAAAAGUCAAUCCAAGUCUUCCAAGAAAAAUCAUCAAUGAAAGUGAUUAAAUAUUUGUUACCCCCAUUGAAAGUUGAAUUGAUUGGACUGCAUAUAUUGGAAUGGACCAGCUCUAAAAAAUCUUUCGCUCUCUAUUAUUUUCCUUGUGGAAAUUGAGAGCAAUAUUGUUUACAAACACACACUCUUCAUAAACUCGAGAUAGAAUAGUAAUUUGAGGAAGAUCAUUCGCCAUAUGCUUCUAUUGGAGAGUUCUUAAUCCACCGAAAUUCAAGUGGCCGUAACAGAAAUGCCAAAGCCGAGAUGGAUUCUUCAUUUCAGCCAUCAAACGGGUUUGGGCAACUUGAAUUUGCAAUGGAAACAACCUGUUUGAGCUCAUUUAAAUAAUUACAAUAGCUUCUCUUGAAGGAUCAUAAAUUUCACAAGCUCUCUUUUGAAUGAUUAUCAGAUAGCCCUUCUCUUACAAUUGACCAGCACUAAGUAAAUUACUUUUCAAAUCAGGAACAUAAAACACACUAGAAAUGGUCUCCAUAAAACCAUUCUUAGUUUUAAUAUCAAUAUCACCUUUUCCCAUCACAUUUACUUUAGAACUAUCAUCAAAGCUCACAGUUGAAUGAAAAGUUUUAUCUAAAUGGGAAAAGAGAGACUUACUACCACACAUAUGAUUGCUACAUCCUGUAUCAACAUAUCAAACUCCAGAGUUAAUUGUCUCAUUGGUUUGAACAGUCAUUAAGAGAGUUUCAGCUUCAUGAUUUUGUAUAAAGUUUGACUUCUCCCUAUUUUCUCUGUCAUUUGACAUUUUGGUACGACAUUUUGAACAAUAUUGAUCAAAUUUAUGGCAUCUGUAGCAUUCAAUUUUGGAUUUGUCAAAGUGCUAAAACUAUCCUUUCCCUUUGUGUGAUUGAUCAUCGUCAAUUUUGAAAUUUGUGUUUCCAUUUCUGUUGCCACGAUCUCUCCUUUCUCUUCCUCUUCCUCUUUCUCUUCCUCUACCUCUUCAUCGUCAGUUUUAUAGCUUAUCUCCAUAGUUCUCGCAAAAUAGCUUGUGAUAGAUUUACCAUCCUUCAUCUGUAGAGUCUCAAAAUCUCAUCUCAAGAUGUGCAUGCUUUACACUUGCGGAGCCUUGAUAUUUCUUUUUCAUGGAGUCCCAAAGUUGUUUGGAAGUAUCUUUACAUAAAAUGGUCUCUAAAAUUGAAUGAUUGGUUGCCUAAAAUAAAUGAUUUUUCGCCUUAAGAUCCUUCAACUUUAGUCCUUCAAUUUCUGCUUUUUGCCCUUCAGUCACUGCUGCUCCACUUGCUGGUGCCAAUACUCCAUCCGAAACAACUUGCCAGUACUCUUUCGAUCUAAGAAUAUUUUCCAUCAACAUGCUCUAGUGAUCAUAGUGACCAUCGAAGCGAAAUAUUGUAGGUUGCACAAGACUAUCAAAUACUAUUGACAAUAUUUGAAAAAUGCACAAGAAAGCUACAGCUUAAACUUGGCUUUGAUACCACUGUCAGUAGCGUUUUUCAAAAAUACAGCAAAAAUAAAAUUACAGUAUAAUAAAAGACCAAAUAAAAGUGAAAUCUCAUCCAUAAAAUUAAAAAUAAAUAGCCCAUAAAUAGGCUUUACUAAUCAACUAAGAAACAACUACUAACAUAAAAGCACUAAACCACUAAUAUAAAAACACUAAAACAGGAAGCGUUAAACUGAUAACAUAAAAGCACUAAAUCACUAAUAUAAAAGCAAUAAAAUAGGAAGUUAAUUAGUUACUGCUACCAAAAAUUUAUAUAUUUGGUAGUAAGUCUUCAUCAAGUUGACUUCAUAUUUAUAUAUUUGGACAACAUAAUAUUUGGAGAAUACAAAAUUAUAUAUAAUGUUCUGAAUAUUUAAAAUUAUUUAUACACACCUCUCCGUUUUAUCAUUUUUAUUCAUUUUAUAUUUUUAUAUAUAUUAAAAAAUAUAAUUUUUUAAUUAUAUCCAUAUUAAAUAUAUUAAAUUUUAUUAAAUAUUAAAAAAUAUUUUAAAAAUAUUUUAAAAAUAAAAUAAAAUUAAAUACGAUUUAUAUAUUAUUAUAAUUUUAAAAAAUAAAUAAUAAUUUUAAAACAAUAAAAAUAAAUAAAUAAAAAUUUAUGGAGCUUAUUUUAUUGUGAUAUUUUAAAAGCAAAUCUAGGUCUUUUUUAAUUUAGUUUUAUCGUAUGGGUCUUGGUCUAUAUAUAUAUAUUAUAAAACGUUAAUUUUAGAAGGUUUAAUAAUCAAUAAUUCAACAUGCAUUUAUCUCAUUGGAUAGAUAUUAUUAAUUAAUUAGAUGGUCAUCACCGAAUUAGCUCAUCUCCACAACACGGCUUCAACCUCAAUAUCUUUCACACUUGUAAGCUUUCUCUAUAUAUAUUGUAGGAAACAUCUGUCCGAGGUAUUUUAGCUACCCGACUUUCAUUGUAGUGAUCGUGAUUGCAUAAGUCUAGCUCUAGCGACUGUGCAACUUGUGAUGCUUCUCGCUGGAAAUCUAGGUCAUCGCCUGAACUGAAUCGUAGAAAAAGUAUUAGGCCGAGACAAUAUUCAUAUCAACAACUAGCAAGGGCAACUAAUCAUUUCUCUAAUAAUCAUCUUCUCGGCGAGGGUGGUUUUGGACAAGUUUAUAAAGGAUCGCUAAAUGGUAAAUCCUUUGCUAUUAAAAAACUCAAAAAUUUUUCAGAUUUACAGUCGGAAGGAGAUCUAGAGAAUGAGAUUAGGAUUGUUAGCAGCGUCCGCCAUAAAAAUCUUAUUGAACUGCUUGGUUACUGCAUUGAAGGGAGGGGCGAAUAGAUUAUUUAUUUUCAAAUAUUUUCGCAACAAGUCCUUGAGCUCUCAAUUACAUGGUGAGUCUCAUCCUUCCUAUAUAUUUUCAUAACUGGUAUGAAAAUUAAUAUUAAAAAAUGGUUUUGUAGAAAGUGAUAAAGAUUUGGACUGGCAAAAGAGAAUGGAUAUCGCCAAAGGGGCUGCAAGUGCACUGGAAUAUUUACAUGAACUCUGUGAGUAUAUUAUAUCUAAUUUGCUAACCUUUAAGUUUAAUUAUGAUCUCUCAAUAUGUCUGUUUAUUUUACAUCUUUCUUUAAAUUAAUAUUUUAUUUUCUUUCAAAUCUUUUUAUUUUUUUUAUAUCAAUUAAUCAUUCAAUUAUAUAUUUAAAUAUUAAAUUAGAUAAUAUUUUUCUCGAUAAUAAAUUCGAAUUAAAAAUAUAAUAAUUUAAUCAUAAAUAUAUUUUUUAUAUUUAUUUAUGAUUAGACCUAUUUAAUAAUAAUACUUUUUAUAAUUUAAGAUUGAAUUGUUAUAAUUAUAAUUUAGUAAACUUUACUUAUUAAUUACUUUUGUCUUUUUUAAAAAUAAUCUAUUUAAUUUUUAUAAUUUUAAAAAAUUAAUAAUGUAGUCCAGUUAAAUCUUCAUUUAUGUGUUAGUAUUAUUUAUUUAAAAAUUAACUUAUGGUCUGUAUUUAAACCAUAAAAAUUAAACUAUUUUACAUAUAUGAUAUUAUAAAUGCUUUACUUUGUUCUUUCAAAUGUAUAAUAAAUUAUAAUUUAUUACGAUUAAUUUAACCAAUAUCUAAUUAAUUCUAAAAAAAGACUAUAAAGAAUUAUAAUCCUUUAUUUAAUAAAUAUCAUAAUUAGUCAGUUCAUAUUCUGAAUUUUUACAAAUUACCAUAUAUAAUAAAUGAUCUUACAUGGAUCAAAUGAGCUUAUAUAUAUGAUAAACCUAAUCAGUCACAUUUACACUAUUAAUAUUAAUAUCUAUAAAAAUUGGUACAAUUAUAUGUAUACAAUUAAAAAUUAAAUUUUUUAUGGAUGCUAAACUUGAAAUCGAUCUUACCUUUUGUUUGACAUAACUCAUUUUAGAAUAAAAGAAUUUAAAUAAAUUUUAGUAAAAUAUGAUUUUAUUUUCUUUAAAAAUAAAAAUUAAAUUGAAUCAUUAUAAAAUCUUUGAUUCCAAACAAGAUCUUAAAAGCUUGAACUAUGAAAAACCUUAUAAUUAAUUAAUAAUUUAUAGAUAAUUUGUAAUUUAUAAGUACAUCCAUAAUUUAAUUAUUUAUUCAUAAUUUAAUUAUUCUUAUUAUUUUUUUAUGAAAUUUAACUUUUUAAUACAUUUCUGUGUAUAUCCAAUUUUUAUGAUAAUUAAAUAUAUUUUCUAAUAUAUUAAAAGGAUAUAAAAUUCAAUUUGUAAAAUAAUAAAUAUAUUAUAUUAUGUAACAAAUUUUAAAUUAUUUUGUAUCUUUUUAUUAAUUAUAUUUUCUAUUUCAUAAUAGUAUGAAAAUUUCAUUAAAAAAAAUGGAUAAAAAGUUAGAUAUACUCUUUAUAUCUUUGAUAAAAAUAGAAUAUAAUAAAUUUAAUCACAAAAGUUAAUCAGAUAUAAAUACAUAAUUUAAAAGAUAAUAACUAAGCAAAUAAAAUUAUUUAUGAAGAAUAUAAAAAGGGUUUUUACUCUCCCUUUGAAAUCAAGAAUUUUAUAAAAAUUUAAUUCAAUUAAUUUUUUUAAAAAGAAAACUCUUAUUGAAAAUUAAAAAAUUUAAAAUUUUUUAGCAUAUGAAUGAUUUUACAAGAAUUUAUUUAAAUUUUUUUUCUUAUAACUACAUUGCAACACACUACGGAAAAUCAUGCUUUGGCAUAAUAAAUUUAUUAGGGAGAUUUAUAAUUUAAUCCCUGAGUAUUGCCAUUAUUAACAAGUCAGUCUCUAUAUUUUUAGAAACCUAUUAAAACGUCCUUAUUUUUUCUCUCCGUCAACAAAAUAGUCCUUCUGUCUAUUUUUGCCGUUAAAAAUAUAGUAAAAAACUAAAUUACCCUCAUUUUUUUUUCUUCCUCUUCCUCCUCCUCCUCCUCCUUCCUUUUCUUCUUCUUGCUUCUUCUGCUUCUGCUUUUUCUUCUUCUUCUUUUUCUUCUGCUUUUUCUGCUUCUUCUUCUCCUUCUUCUCCUUCUUCUUNNNNNNNNNNNNNNNNNNNNNNNNNNNNNNNNNNNNNNNNNNNNNNNNNNNNNNNNNNNNNNNNNNNNNNNNNNNNNNNNNNNNNNNNNNNNNNNNNNNNNNNNNNNNNNNNNNNNNNNNNNNNNNNNNNNNNNNNNNNNNNNNNNNNNNNNNNNNNNNNNNNNNNNNNNNNNNNNNNNNNNNNNNNNNNNNNNNNNNNNNNNNNNNNNNNNNNNNNNNNNNNNNNNNNNNNNNNNNNNNNNNNNNNNNNNNNNNNNNNNNNNNNNNNNNNNNNNNNNNNNNNNNNNNNNNNNNNNNNNNNNNNNNNNNNNNNNNNNNNNNNNNNNNNNNNNNNNNNNNNNNNNNNNNNNNNNNNNNNNNNNNNNNNNNNNNNNNNNNNNNNNNNNNNNNNNNNNNNNNNNNNNNNNNNNNNNNNNNNNNNNNNNNNNNNNNNNNNNNNNNNNNNNNNNNNNNNNNNNNNNNNNNNNNNNNNNNNNNNNNNNNNNNNNNNNNNNNNNNNNNNNNNNNNNNNNNNNNNNNNNNNNNNNNNNNNNNNNNNNNNNNNNNNNNNNNNNNNNNNNNNNNNNNNNNNNNNNNNNNNNNNNNNNNNNNNNNNNNNNNNNNNNNNNNNNNNNNNNNNNNNNNNNNNNNNNNNNNNNNNNNNNNNNNNNNNNNNNNNNNNNNNNNNNNNNNNNNNNNNNNNNNNNNNNNNNNNNNNNNNNNNNNNNNNNNNNNNNNNNNNNNNNNNNNNNNNNNNNNNNNNNNNNNNNNNNNNNNNNNNNNNNNNNNNNNNNNNNNNNNNNNNNNNNNNNNNNNNNNNNNNNNNNNNNNNNNNNNNNNNNNNNNNNNNNNNNNNNNNNNNNNNNNNNNNNNNNNNNNNNNNNNNNNNNNNNNNNNNNNNNNNNNNNNNNNNNNNNNNNNNNNNNNNNNNNNNNNNNNNNNNNNNNNNNNNNNNNNNNNNNNNNNNNNNNNNNNNNNNNNNNNNNNNNNNNNNNNNNNNNNNNNNNNNNNNNNNNNNNNNNNNNNNNNNNNNNNNNNNNNNNNNNNNNNNNNNNNNNNNNNNNNNNNNNNNNNNNNNNNNNNNNNNNNNNNNNNNNNNNNNNNNNNNNNNNNNNNNNNNNNNNNNNNNNNNNNNNNNNNNNNNNNNNNNNNNNNNNNNNNNNNNNNNNNNNNNNNNNNNNNNNNNNNNNNNNNNNNNNNNNNNNNNNNNNNNNNNNNNNNNNNNNNNNNNNNNNNNNNNNNNNNNNNNNNNNNNNNNNNNNNNNNNNNNNNNNNNNNNNNNNNNNNNNNNNNNNNNNNNNNNNNNNNNNNNNNNNNNNNNNNNNNNNNNNNNNNNNNNNNNNNNNNNNNNNNNNNNNNNNNNNNNNNNNNNNNNNNNNNNNNNNNNNNNNNNNNNNNNNNNNNNNNNNNNNNNNNNNNNNNNNNNNNNNNNNNNNNNNNNNNNNNNNNNNNNNNNNNNNNNNNNNNNNNNNNNNNNNNNNNNNNNNNNNNNNNNNNNNNNNNNNNNNNNNNNNNNNNNNNNNNNNNNNNNNNNNNNNNNNNNNNNNNNNNNNNNNNNNNNNNNNNNNNNNNNNNNNNNNNNNNNNNNNNNNNNNNNNNNNNNNNNNNNNNNNNNNNNNNNNNNNNNNNNNNNNNNNNNNNNNNNNNNNNNNNNNNNNNNNNNNNNNNNNNNNNNNNNNNNNNNNNNNNNNNNNNNNNNNNNNNNNNNNNNNNNNNNNNNNNNNNNNNNNNNNNNNNNNNNNNNNNNNNNNNNNNNNNNNNNNNNNNNNNNNNNNNNNNNNNNNNNNNNNNNNNNNNNNNNNNNNNNNNNNNNNNNNNNNNNNNNNNNNNNNNNNNNNNNNNNNNNNNNNNNNNNNNNNNNNNNNNNNNNNNNNNNNNNNNNNNNNNNNNNNNNNNNNNNNNNNNNNNNNNNNNNNNNNNNNNNNNNNNNNNNNNNNNNNNNNNNNNNNNNNNNNNNNNNNNNNNNNNNNNNNNNNNNNNNNNNNNNNNNNNNNNNNNNNNNNNNNNNNNNNNNNNNNNNNNNNNNNNNNNNNNNNNNNNNNNNNNNNNNNNNNNNNNNNNNNNNNNNNNNNNNNNNNNNNNNNNNNNNNNNNNNNNNNNNNNNNNNNNNNNNNNNNNNNNNNNNNNNNNNNNNNNNNNNNNNNNNNNNNNNNNNNNNNNNNNNNNNNNNNNNNNNNNNNNNNNNNNNNNNNNNNNNNNNNNNNNNNNNNNNNNNNNNNNNNNNNNNNNNNNNNNNNNNNNNNNNNNNNNNNNNNNNNNNNNNNNNNNNNNNNNNNNNNNNNNNNNNNNNGAAUGAGUUUAAAACCAUUAGCCGCACUCGUCACCCGAAUAUUGUGGAGGUCGUCGGAUACUGCAGCGAAGAAGCUGAUCGAUUGAUUGUUUACGAGUUCGUUUCCAACAAGAGCUUGAAAUCUCAUCUCUAUGGUGAGUAUUCUUAAAUUUUCUCAUUGGAUUUAUAAUUUAUUUAUCAUGAGAGCUAAAUGAUUAAGCCAUCUUGUUCGGUUACACAAGUGGGAAGAAGACAGCAGACAAUGGUGACCGCCCCGAUCGAUUGGCCAACCAGAAUGAAGAUUGCUUUGGGUAUAGCAGAAGGAUUGGCAUAUUUGCAUGAAGACUGUGAGAUUUUAACUUUAUUUAGUUUUUUUUUUUUUUCAAGUUUUUCUAUAUUGCAAUUUAUACUUUUUAAUUUUAUGCAUUUUUAGGUAAACCAGGAAUUAUCCACGGAGAUAUUAAAAGUGACAAUAUUCUUCUCGAUGAUGAAUUUAAUCCUAAGGUAUGAUGAUAGAAUCACAUAAGAGAUUUAUAAAAAAUAAUUCAACAGCUAAACAUUUUAUAGUUAAUAUUAAAAAUGUAAAUAAAAUUUACAUUUAUAACUAUUUAACUGUUUUAAUUAAUUACAAGUAAUUUUAAUUAUAAAUAAGAGUCGUUUCAAAAUCUUGAUUUAAAAUAUUAACUUGGAAUUUAAAUUUAACUUAUUAGUUAUAAAUUAAUUUGAAUGACACAAUAAAUUACUUCUAUCAACUUUUUUCCCUUUAGAUUAGAGAUUUUGGAAUUUCCAAAGAAUUUGCGGAUUCAGAAACUCACGUUUCCACUAUCUCAAUGGGAACUCCAGAGUAUGAUUCGUUCUCAUUUGCUUGCGAAAUUUUCUUCUUUCUCAAAGAAAAUUGGUUGAAUUGGUAGUUCUCAUCUGAUGAACGCUUUCUUUAAGUGCAGUUAUCUCGCCCCCGAGCAUUGCACCGAAGAUGGCUAAAAUAAGAGGCUCACUGAUAAGUCUGAUGUAUUUUCUUUCGGUGUUGUGCUUUUAGAGCUGAUUACGGGAAAAUUAGCCGUUUUUGAGAGGGAACGCAGGGAAUAUAUUUUCUUAACUAUUUGGGUACUUGAAAAUAAAGAAUUUGAUAUUUUGUAUUUUCGAUAUUCAAAGGUUUUUUGUUUUUUAUUUUUUUUUCCCUGAUGGAAUGCUUAACUGACCUCUGUACAUCUAUUUUGAUCAUUCCCAGGCCGUGCCUCUACUGAAACAAAUUUUGGAUGCUGAGUAUCAAGAUUUGCAUGCUGAAAAUUGUAAAGAAUUUUUUGAUUCCAAAUUACCGAAUAAUUUUGAGGAAAAUGAUAUGAAACGACUCAUUUAUUGUGCUGCUGCUUGUGUAUAUAAACCUGCCAAGUUACGCCCACAUAUGUGCAAGGUAAAUUCACAAAACCAAACCAGUUAUUUUUGGAUUAUGCUUUGCAUGUGAUUAUCAGUAAAAAUAUAUGAAAUAUAAUUUAAAAAGUACGUAAAAAUUAUUUGAUAAUUUUGCAUAUGUUGAUUAAAAAUUGGGAGAGUGACUGCAUGUGAUUUUGUGAUGCAGAUAGUUAAAGUACUAAAUGGAGAUAUGGAACCCAAAACUAUAUGGGUGAGAAGUGAUUGCAAGUACCUAUACAAUGGGUCACCUUACGCUCCAUUUCCUCAAGCUCAGGGAACCUCCAGCUCUUGAGCUCUAUCCAAUACAUGAAUUAUCCUCGCCUUGUAACAAAAAAGUGUGUUCUUGCUAAAUGCACGUGCUUUUCUAAGGGAUCAAUUAAAUAAUAAGAAUGUGUUCCUUGCUGAAUUUUUUUAAAAUAUUAAUAAUGAUUGAUAUUGAAUAAUUUUUCAUAUAUAUAUAUAUAUUGGCAGAAUACAUAAUAUCCAUUACGUAUUAUUUUAAAACAAAGAGAUAAUAUGCAACAUAUAUAUAUACACAUAGGUAUGGUUGGUAAUAAUUUAAUAAAUAAUUUUAGUUAAAAAUUUAUAUGAAUUAAAUUUAAUAAUAAAUAAUAAUUUUAUUAGAUAGAUAAUUCAAAAUUUUUUAAAAAUUUCAAAUUAAUGAAAUUUAAAUUUUAUUAAUUAAAUUAAUUGUAGAAUUCAUAUAAAUUUAAAAUUCUUAAUUUUUCUGUUUAAAUUCUUAGAAUUAUUUUUAUUAUAAUUCUUUUUUUUUAAAAAAAAUGUGAUUCUACGGAUUAAAAUUAUAACGGUUUCAUAAAAAAAUAUUUUUUCUUUUUAAUUAAGCAAAAUUUAUAAAAAAAAGUAUUAAAAUAUUUAUAAUAAUAUGAAUAAAAAGUAAUGUACUAAAAAAAAGUAAAAUUUUAUAAUAUAUUACAUUUAGAAAUAAAAUAAAAAUUAUUCAAUCAAAUAUUAAUUUUAUUGAAUUAUUAUCUAUAAUAAAUUUAUAUUGAAUUUUAUUAUUUUUUAGUUUAUACUACAUAUGAGUGAAAGGGGUGACAAGUAAUUAAUAAAAUUAUUUAAAAUACUCAUAUUAUAUUUAUUAUAAAUUUAUUAUUAGUUAAAAUUUUAAUUUAUAAAUAAUUAUAAAAUAUGAUAAAAUUUAUUACUAUUCGUAAUAUUUAUAAUAUGUAGAUUAGAUCAUAUAUAUCAAUGCCAUUUUAAUAUUAAAUAACUUUGUUAUUAUUUUUAUAUUAAUUUUUUUUUAUAUAUAAAACCAGUGAUAAAUAGUUAUUCAAAAUAAGUGGAUACUUUCAUUGGAUAAUUUCAAAAAAAAAAAAAAAAAAUUCAUUGGAACUUAGAAUAAAGAGAAACUCAUUAAUAAACUUAUAAUAUGCAUUACACAAAAUGAUGUUAACCGAAGGCCACAUGCUGCGAAUUCUACGCUCAACGUCAACGUUAAUUUUUUUUUUUAUUUUUUUAUUAAAAAAAAAAAAUGAAAACGAAGGUCCUAACUGUCUUCCUUCAUCCUUCUUACAUCUCCCUCUUUAUCUCUGACCAUUCGCAUUCACACUCCAUAAGAACUCUAUUAUAUAUACUUGCAAAAAACCUCUGGCCGUGGUUGCACAAGUCUGCAACUUCUGAUGGCCAAUCGCUUGGGGAUGAACGGGGAAGAUCACCGGAUUGAAACUAGAGGUAUUAAUUGUUUUUAGCUGAAACUGUUGUGCCAAAUAGUAAUAGUUUCAUGGAGAUUUCAUUUCAUCUAACUAAUUGAGGCAUGUUGUUUAUUGAUUGCUCACUAAGCACAGAUCAGAAUGAAUCUGGCUCAUCUCCAGAGAAGACUAUUGGGCCAAAGUCAUAUUCAUACGGUGAACUAGCAAGGGUAACCGGUCAUUUCUCGCUCAAUAAUCUAAUUGGUCGAGGUGGUUUUGGUCAUGUUUUCAAGGCAUUCUUAGAUGGUGAGAUUCGUGCUAUCAAAAGACUUGAUUUUCCAGAUGUACAGUCUGAAGGAGGUUUGGAGAGGGAGAUUAUGGUCGUCAAAAGCAUCAGUCACAAAAAUCUCGUUGAACUAGUUGGUUACUGCAUUGAUGGAGCCAAUAGGUUGCUUAUUUUAAACUAUUUUCCAAAUGGAUCCUUAAGAUCUAAAUUACACGG